rnacentral:lncRNA from 1 species
CCUCCUCCCGGCACUUCUAUUUUUCCUUCUCAACCGGAAGCGCACCAAGCUUCCCCCUCAGCCCCCCGCAUGGCCCGUGAUCGGCAAUAUCCUCGACCUCGGGACCACGCCGCACCAGAACCUCCACAACUUCCGAGCCAAGCACGGGCCUGUGACGUGGUUGAAGCUCGGUUCCGUGAACACCAUGGUGAUCCAAUCAGCUCAGGCCGCCACAGAGUUCUUCAAGGGCCAUGACUUCGCGUUCGCAGACCGCAAGUGUCCCCAUGCAUUGACAGCUCUCAAUUAUGACCAAGGCUCGCUCGCUGUGGGUCGUUACGGUGGCUACUGGCGCGUUCUCAGGCGUCUCUGCUCUGUUGAGUUCCUCGUGACCAAGCGCGUCAAUGAGACGGCCCAUCUCAGGCAGAAGUGUGUCGACAACAUGGUCGUUUAUUUGGAGGAAGAAAUGGCGGUUAAACAAGUAACAACAGGUUAUUUCUUACGUGCUUCGUGUUACGUUGGACGUUUGCGUUGCAUGUGUAACCUUGAAUGACUGAAAUAAUAGUUUUCUUCUUCAAAGGAAAAAAAAAAAAAAAAGCAACAGAGAGAGAGAGAGAAAGGAACGUUUAAACUCCUUACAAAAAUAUCAAAAUAGGAUGAAGGCCAAUACCCUACACAAUAUUCCCACUAGUGUCACAAGUUCUUCUCAUUAAUAUAUGUAAAAUCAACGGUUAAGAUAUCUUGGGACUUUUGCACCAUUAAGAGUUAAUGAUUCACGCUGUCAAAAGAAUCGUAACCUGCAACUAGAUCUACCUAAGAAAACAUUGGGCCUGCUUUUUACGGAUGAAGGAACCGGCGGUCUUUCUUUUUUGCAAAAUGUACAAUUAAGUUCCAGAAUCUUUUUUUUUUUCUUUUUUCUACUAUUGAGUUCUUAAAUUAUACAUCUUUUAAUUUGAGUUAGCCCUCCUCUUAAAUAUGCGAAUGCAUUGGUUACGAUGAAUAUUGCAUCCCCACCAUAUGUUAGCACUGACUAGACUAACUAAUUAGGGAGACAUGAAUUCUUUUUUACUUAGUGCUAAGAUGGGUAAGAAAGAUUAUAAAAAUAAAGAAAUCUAAAUCCAAGUAAACAUUCACCAACCCAAGCGUUGCCUCAAUUUAUUGCAUGACCCCGGGCGACAACUUACCUCGACCCCUAGUUAUUCAAUUUUUCUAUGUCAUUCUAUUUUUAAGUUUUUUAAGAAGUCACUUAAGACACCAUGUUGGCUUUCAAUGAGGACCUAACCGCCAUGUCAACAUUUAUAUAUACUUCUUUAAUGGAAGGACUAAAUCAAAGAAGAAGUUAUACGGCUCGAGGAUCUAAUUGCACAACAAAUUUAGGAACCUAAUUAAAACUUUUUACAAAAGUUUAGGGACUGCUGGUACUUUUAUCCCUUUGUUUUGUUACUAUAAUUGACGAAUUCAAUAAAAUAGAUACCAGUGUAAAUAAUUCAAGUUGCCCAAGAGCUAUUGGUGUUUAAAGUGCUAUUUAGUCAAACUUGCUUUCAUUCUUCUCGAGUUUGAGUCGAACUAGAGUGGCUCUACUGUUGAAUUAUGCCAAGCUCGAGUAGCUUUACCAUUGAAUUGUGUCAAACUCGAGCAUGAUCAAGUAGUUGGGUUUUAUAUAUCUUCUGAUGCAUUGAUCAAGUAUAUCCCCAUUACUAUGCAAGAGAAUGCAAAAGUAAACUUUCCACUUUAUUUUAUUUGUGCAAGCCAAGUUGGAGUUUUUAAGAGUUCAGAUGCUAAUUUAGUUUUUAUUAGUGAAAAAUAUUCGAAAACAAGCUUAUCAAGAACUUUAUUAAGUUCGACUUGAGCUUGAAAAAUCCAACUUUUGUCUUGAAAGUUGCAGCUUGGAGGUUGAUUCCUCCAUCCCUCCUUAAACUAGUUGUAUAACUUGGUGCAAUAAUUUUUUUUUUUUCAUUUCUAAUUCAUUACGUUCUGCUAUACAUUCUCUAAUUAUAAUUAAUCGUUAAAAAUUUCUAAUUUUUAUGCAGAACAAGGAAUCGACUUAUCCCACUUCCUCUUUCUCAUGGCAUUUAAUGUGGUGGGUAAUUUGGUGCUCUCACGGGAUCUUUUGGACCCAAAAUCGAAGGACGGGCCUGAGUUCUUUGAUGCCAUGAACCGGUUCAUGGAAUGGGCUGGCAAGCCCAACGUAGCCGACUUCCUGCCGUGGUUGAAAUGGUUGGACCCACAGGGGAUCAAGGCAAGCAUGGCGAAGGACAUGGGUCGAGCCAUGAAGAUUGCUGAAGGUUUUGUAAAAGAGAGGUUGGAGGAGCGAAAGCAAAGGGGAGAGAUGAGAACGACAAAUGACUUCUUGGAUGCGGUAUUGGAUUAUGAGGGCAAUGGAAAAGAAGGCCCUCGCAAAAUCUCUUCCCAGAACAUCAUCAUAAUAAUUCUGGUAUCCUCUCUUCCACUCUUGGCAAAAAAGAAAUGAUUAACAUCUUAAGGAUAUUAGGUCCAGUUCGGUUUGUAAAGUGGGGUGGUAAACUUAAUUGACAAUUAACAAGCAGGUCAUAUCACGCGUCAUUUUCUACAAACUUGUGUUUUCGUAGAACAUUCUAGCACUAGAUUUUGUAAUAACUAGCCUUUUCCAAUCAACUAUCUAUGAAAACAUUUUACACUUUAAGUUUGUAGAGAACGUUGCAUAACAAAAAGCUACUACUAUUAUAAAGAUGUUUCCAUUCUUUCCUGAUUUAGCCAAUCUGUGCUCAUUUUGUAAUAACUAGCUAAGAAUGUUCUACAAAUCACAAGAAUGAUUUAUGGUUAUUUUCUUUACAAAAAUAAAAAAUAAAUCUAGUGCUAGAAAGACACAUUGAAUGAUUUGUUAAGUUAAGUUGAUGUCAAUUUCACUAAUUAAUAGAACAUGUUGGGUAUCCACAAUGGAUGAGUGAAUGGUAUGUUGAUCAAAUGUAUGAUAUGAUAUUGACUAAAUAUAAUCGAUGUUCAAACACCAGCAUUGAGUAUAAGAAGCCAAUAAGAUUAAGUUGACAAGGCAUGAACAGUUUUUGUCCAUGGACUUAUAAAUGAAAGUCAAGUUAAUGUCGGUCGAGUCAAGAAGUAUUGACAUUGGCUCACAAAAUUUGGUCGAAUCAAACCGACUGCAAGGAUAAAACUAGCGCGAACAGUUAUUGUAGCCAAACUUCUAGGACGGAACAAUUUUUAAAGUUGUUGACCGGCAGUUGAAGUGAAGCAAUCGUUGUAGCCGAGACUACAAAAAGAGCACAUCUUAAGGGAAAAAGACGCACACACAUAAAAAGAACACACUUCACUUUCUUGCCAUUCAUUUUCAGUUAUUUCUCAGCAACUUAAUUCUUGCCAUUCCAGUUGUUUAUUUCAUUUUUUCCAAUCAAACACCUGCUCUUGCCCUUUUAUAAAUAUUCCUGUUGUCAUUAGUGGAUUCAUUUCGUCAAUUUUAGGAUCCAAUCAUCAAAUUCUUGUUCCUUUCUUUAUGCGCAAUUGUCUGUCAAUUUGAAGCAUAGGAGCUGCUAUGUUUGAUAAGGAUUGUAUCAGGUGAAGCAUGAUGAUUUUUACUGUUAAGCCCACGAUUUGAGGGAGUGAUUUUCGAGCGAAACUGAUUAUCUUAAUUAUAGCAAAAGAAUCAGCAUUGGUGGUAACCCUAGCAAGAAAUGAUCUUGUACUAAAUGUGUCUAAUUCAUGGUGCAGGAAAUGUUUUUCGCUGGAUCAGAGACUACAAGCAGCACCAUCGAGUGGGCAAUGGCGGAGCUACUCCACCAACCCGUGUCAAUGAAAAAGGCCAAAGAUGAGAUUAACCAGAUUGUGGGGUUGAACAGAAAACUCGAAGAAAGUGACACGGAAAAAAUGCCGUUUUUGCAAGCUGUGGUGAAGGAAACCCUGAGAUUGCAUCCACCAUUACCUUUGCUUAUCCCACGAAAUGCUAUAAAAGAAACCAAUUUCAUGGGAUUUGAUAUACCCAAAGAUACCCAGGUUUUCGUGAAUGUAUGGGGCAUUGGAAGAUGUUGGAGAAAUCCUCAUGAAGUGUUUUGAAGUUGACAAAACGUUUCCAUCAGUCUAGUCUGAAGGUCUGCAGACUCUGUUAGUUAAAGUCUGAAGACUUCCGGACAGCCAGACUCAAGACUCAAAGUCUAUCCUCAUUGACAGUCUCUAAUCCGUUGAAGAAAGGUUAUCCAGAACUGGAUGUUUUGUUCAGGAUUUAACCUUAUCAUCUAGAGAAGAUCUCGUGGCUGGAGAAGACGUAUCAGAAUCCUUUGAUUGAUCAAGUUUGAUUCAAUGAAUGAAGAUUCGAUGAUUGUCUAAAUAUUAUUGGAAGGUUCUACUUAUGGAAACCGAGAUCCUGAUUGUAUGGACGAACAUGAUUGAUGGGCUAUCAACACGUUCCUUUAAUAGCUCGAACAAUCUUCCUAAUUGAUUCCGUCCAACGGGUAGAUUGGAGGAAUUCCUUUGGUAAGUGCCAACGGGUAUGAUGGCUUAAAGGAGUAUAUAAGGAAGACGUUCUUAGUUGUUCGAGGUGUGCGCGAUAGAAGAAUUCCAAAGUCUGAAGCUCCUAUUUGUUUAGAUAAUUCCUUUAGCGAUACUUGUAUACAAANNNNNNNNNNNNNNNNNNNNNNNNNNNNNNNNNNNNNNNNNNNNNNNNNNNNNNNNNNNNNNNNNNNNNNNNNNNNNNNNNNNNNNNNNNNNNNNNNNNNGAAUCAAGGCAAAGCUGUGCUGUAACUUCUCUUUUGAUCAUAGUGAAAUCCAGCCGGUGGGCUGUCAGUGCGGAAGAGUGGACGUAGGCUUGGAAUAAGCCGAACCACUAUAAAUCCUGUGUUCAAAUUUCUCUCUCUACCUCGAUCGUAUUUCAUUUUGUUAAGAAUUGCUUCCGUAUUUGGGACAAAUUGUUUGUGCGCCUAUUCACCCCCCCUCUAGGUGUUUAUACUAGCAAUAUCAAUUGGUAUCAGAGCCUGUGUACUUACUUUAUUUGAAGUGUUUUACUUCAUAGUAAAAGAUCCAUGGCUAGUAUGCUAGCAUCAGGGCUGAUGGAAGGGCAAAGCAAUACUAGACCACCCUACUUUGAUGGAAAGGAUUACAACAUCUGGAAGAACAAGAUGAAAGCUUUCCUACGAUCAAAGGAUCCUCUGGAAUGGGACGUUGUAGAAAAAAGAAUUACUCCUACCACUGCAUCAGUCUCUGAAAGAGGAAAAGAAACUGAAGAAACCAGCGGAAUGUCUCAGGAAGAAAUAAUCAAGAGACAAACACUCGAUGCAAAAGCAAUUUACUCCUUAUAUUGUGCUUUAUCACCAACUGAAUAUAAUAGAAUAUCUUCUUGUGGUACAGCAAAAGAAGUUUGGGACAGAUUGCAUAUCACCUAUGAAGGAACAGAUCGAGUGAAGGAAACAAGAAUCAACAUUCUUCUCGGUCAAUACGAAGCCUUCAGAAUGAAACCAGGAGAAUCAAUAUCUGACAUGUUUAGUCGUUUUACAGAUAUUGUGAAUGGUCUUGAAAAUCAAGGUCAACCAACUUCUGAUCCCAUGAAGGUAAACAAGCUACUGCGUGGACUCUCCAGGGAUUGGAAUCACAUAAAGACUUCGAUAAGAGAGACGCAGAGAAUUAUGCCACUAUCUGUUGACGAGCUGAUUUGAACUCUUCAGUCCUAUGAAGUGGAAAGGAUCAAUGAAGAUGAAGAUCCAAAAGGUAAGAAAUCCAUUGCAUUAAAAUCAAAUGAUGAUUCUGAUGAUACAGAUUCUGAAGAUGAUAUGGACGAUGAGGAGCUUGCUCUCAUGAUAAGAAGAUUAAGAAAACUAAAUAGAAAAGGAAGAAGGUUCAACUCAAAGGAACAAAGCUUUCAAAGACAGCAGACCAAGUCUGUUGAUGAUGAGGAACCAAAUAAAGAUGUAGUCUGCUUUGAAUGCAAGAAAAAGGGACACAUCAGACCCAACUGUCCUUUUCUGAAGAAGAAGAGAGGAAAAGCUGAAAAUUUUUGAAAAGCUCUCAAAGCUGAAACCUGGAGUGAUACUGAGUGUGAAGAAAGUGAUAAUGAAUAUGCCAAUCUAUGUCUGAUGGCACAAUCAGACUCAGACUCUGGAUCAGACUCAGGAUCAGACUCAGACAGUGAAUUUGAGGCAAGUAAUUUUAAAAUUUCUGUCAAAGUUUCUAAAUAUAUUGAUGAACUAUGCUUUAGUCUUAAGACUUCUCUAAAAAGAAUUUCCAAACUGAAAAAAGAAAACUCAGCUCUAAAACAAAAGGAAAAUGUUUUAGCAGAAAGAGUUAAAAGUCUAGACUUGUAUGUUUCCAAUCUUAAAGGAAAUGAAGAAAAUCUUUUAAAAGAAAAUGCUUUUUUAAAAACAGACUUAUCAAAUAUAUCAAAGAAAUUUUCUAUAGGGUCUGAAAAACUUGAGAAAAUUCUUUCAGCACAAAGACCUUACUUCAAUAAGUCUGGUCUAGGUAUGACAGAAGAAACAAUUCCCUUGAUUGAUUUUCCCAAAGUAAAAGAAAGAAUUAAGAAAAGACUUUCGAGUGAGGUUUACAAAAAUCACUUCAAGAAAGUUUUUGUAAAACCUGUAGGUAGAAAUGCUCUCAGAUGUUCUAAGUGCAACAGUCCGGAUCACUUUGAAAAAGAGUGUCCUAUGGUAUGGAAACCUGUUAAGAAAGUAUGGGCUAAUACUGUUUAUCUUACUAACACCAAAGGACCCAAGAAAAUUUGGGUACCAAAGAAAGCUUGAGACUUUAUUUUAAAUGCAGGUCUCCGUCAAGAAAUAGGUAAAGUGGUAUCUUGACAGCGGAUGCUCAAGACACAUGACAAGAGACUCAAAUUGCUUUAUAAAGCUUGCUCAAGUAAAUGGUGGAAAAGUUUCAUUUGGAGGAAACAACAAAGGAAGUAUUGUGGGAUUUGGAACCGUGAAAAUUGGAACUCUCACAAUAAGUAAUGUUUCCUUAGUGGAAGGACUCAAUUACAAUCUUCUCAGCAUUAGUCAAUUGUGUGAUACUGGUUUCAAGAUCUUCUUUCAAGAAGGAACAUGUUCUGGAAUCAGUAAAGACUCUACUCAGUCUUUCAUGGGUCGAAGACAUGAAAAUAUCUAUCUUCUAGAUGUGAAACCAAAUGAAUCACAAUACCUUAUCUCAAUUCAAGACGAAGCAAGCUUAUGGCACAAAAAGCUUGGUCAUGUCAACAUGAAGCAAUUAGCCAAAAUCUCAUCAAAACAGCUUGUUCGAGGUCUACCCAAAUUGCCAUACCAAAAGACUGAUUCAUGCACUCCAUGUAUUCUGGGAAAGCAGGUAAGAAAUUCUUUUAAGCCGAUAAAUCAUGUCUCUACUAAUCAUGUACUACAGUUGCUGCAUAUGGAUCUCUUCGGACCAACCAGAACUCAGAGUAUUGGGGGUAAGAAGUAUUGCCUAGUAAUUGUUGAUGAUUACUCCCGUUUUACUUGGGUAUAUUUCCUUGCAAGUAAGUCCGAAACCUUUUCGUAUUUUGAAAAAUUUGCUAAAAAGAUUCAAAAUGAAAAAGGAUGUGUUAUCUCUAGUAUAAGAACAGAUCAUGGAGGUGAAUUUGAAAAUCAAGAUUUUACAAAAUUCUGUGAUGAAUCUAGCUUUAAGCAUGUGUUCUCCUCUCCAUAUACUCCUCAGCAAAAUGGAGUUGUGGAAAGAAAGAACAUAUCUCUUCAAGAAAUGGCUAGAACUCUUUUAAUUGAAAGUAAAUUUUCUUCUCGAUUUUGGGCUAAAGCUGUUUCAACAGCAUGCUAUAUCAUCAAUAGAGUCUUCUUAAGAUCUAUUCUUCAGAAAACCCCUUAUGAGUUAUUCAAAGAAAAGAAGCCUAUUGUUUCAUACUUUCAUGUAUUUGGUUGUAAAUGUUUUAUAUUGAAAAAUGCAAAAGAUCGAAUUGGUAAGUUUGAAGAAAGAUCAAAUGAAGGUAUCUUCCUUGGAUAUUCUACAUCAAGCAAAGCUUACAGAGUCUAUAACAAGAAGAGUCAGUCUGUAGAGGAGUCAAUGAAUGUCAAAUUUCAAGACUCAACGCAAGAUGAAUCAAGUCAGACUCAUCAAGAAGAGUCUGAACCUGCUCCAGACCCUCCAAAGUCUACAACUCAAGAAGCAUCUCAGACUCUGGAAAACCAGCAUCAGGUUGUUAGUGAAGAUCCAAAUAAAGAAAGAGAUCAUCAACCAGACAAAUCAACAAGUAACUGGAAGCAUAAGUCCAGUCAUCCCAAAGAUCUUAUAAUUGGCGAAAUUAAUGAAGGAAUUCGCACCAGAUCCAAAAGGCGAGAAGAGUCUAGUGCUGUGGCACUCGUUUCUGAAAUUGAACCAAAGAGCAUAGAAGAAGCUUUAUCUGAUGAAAGCUGGAUUGAAGCUAUGCAAGAAGAGCUCAGACAGUUCAGCAUAAAUGAUGUCUGGGAAUUGACAUCCAAACCAAAAGGUAAAACUGUUAUUGGAGCUAAAUGGGUGUUCAGAAACAAGAUGAACGAGAAAGGAAAAGUCGUACGAAAUAAAGCAAGACUCGUGGCCAAGGGAUAUACGCAAGAAGAAGGAAUAGACUAUGAUGAGACUUACGCUCCAGUGGCAAGGUUAGAAGCUAUUCGACUAUUACUUGCGUUUGCUUGUUAUAAGAAUUUCAGGUUAUUCCAAAUGGACGUCAAAAGUGCCUUCCUAAAUGGAUUUAUCCAUGAGAAAGUUUAUGUGGAACAACCACCAGGGUUUGAAGACCCAAAGAAGCCAGACUCAGUCUUCAGACUGAAAAAGGCUUUGUAUGGUUUAAAGCAAGGACAUCGGGCUUGGUACGACAGAUUAAGUAAGUUCCUAAUACAAAAUGGUUUUGUCAAAGGUAAAGUAGAUACUACUUUAUUUAUCAAGAAAGAAAAAAAAAAGUUUCUUACUUGUUCAAAUAUAUGUGGAUGAUAUUAUUUUUGGAUCCUCUAAUGAAAGUCUGUGCAAGAAAUUUUCAAAGUCUAUGCAGGAUGAGUUUGAAACGAGUAUGAUGGGAGAGUUAACAUUCUUUCUUGGUCUUCAAGUAAAACAAUUGAAGGAAGGAACUUUUAUUUAUCAAGAAAAAUAUGUUAAUGAUCUUGUCAAAAGGUUUGGACUGGAAAAGUGCAAAAAGACCGACAUACCAAUGUCAAGUUCUUUAAAGAUAGACAAAGAUGAAGAAGGGAAGAAAGUUGAUCAAAAGCUGUACAGGAGCAUUAUUGGAUCACUUCUUUAUCUUACUGCCUCUAGACCUGAUAUUUUGUUGAGUGUUUGCAUCUGUGCUAGGUUUCAAUCAGAUCCUAGAGAAUCUCAUCUCAGUGCUGCGAAACGCAUCAUUAAAUACGUCGCUUCAUCAUCAAGCAUCGAUCUUUGGUAUCCUAAGAAGGGAGACUUUAAUCUUCUGGGAUAUUCAGACGCAGAUCUGGCCGGUUGCAGAGUUGAUAGAAAGAGCACUUCAGGAACUUGCUAGUUGCUUGGAAGCAGAACAGUAUCUUGGUUUUCAAGGAAACAAAGCACUGUGUCUCUUUCAACAACAGAAGCAGAGUAUGUAGCUCUUGGAAGUUGCUGUUCGCAAAUUCUAUGGAUAAAACAACAGCUAAGAGAUUUUGAAAUUGAAGACUCAUGCACGGAGAUUAAUUGCGACAACACCAGCGCUAUCAACCUCACCAAAAAUCCAAUUCUUCACUCAAGAGCAAAGCAUAUAGAGAUUCGACAUCACUUUAUUAGAGAUCAUGUUCAAAAUGGAGAUGUUUCAAUUCAAUUUGUUGACUCAAAGAAUCAAUUGGCUGAUAUACUCACAAAGCCUUUGGAGAAAAAUCAAUUUGAGUCUAUACGGUCCAGACUCAACAUUUUGAGGUAUGAGGAUAUCAAAGUCUAAAGACUUUCAGACUCAGGCUUACAAGACUUUAUUUACAGUCUUGGCUCAACCUUCAGACUGUAAGUCUUUCUCUCUCCAAUCUUAUCUUGAAAAGGUACGAUCAUCAGACUGUGUUUAAAUUGUUGCUAUAUUUAAAUAACGUAAAUAUUGCAUCGAUUCAUUUUCAAAAGGGAAGUUAUUUUUGAAAUAGCUAUUUUUGCGGAUAAAGACAGUUAUUUUGAAAAGGCAUAUUUUUAUUUCCUUUGUGACGAUUUGUUUACUCUUCUUUUUAACCGAUUGUGCACUGUCGAUUCCUCUUCACUUUUCUAUUCACUUUUCUCUCAAAAACCCUAGAAAGCAUCGAUCCUCCAUUCCCAUUUGUCUUCUUCGCUAAAUCUUCAAAAAGUUGUCAUCUUUUCUGGGAAAGUCAAGCAAGGAAUCUUUCAAACACUGAGAAAGAUGUCAUCUUCACGAAAGUCCUCAAGAAUCGCAAGCAAGGGACCACAGAGAAUGAGUGAGGGGCCUACGCACUUCGAUCUUACUGAAGAUGAAGUUACUCCAGAUUAGCAACCGAGCCCACAACAUUCUCAGUAGCGUCAUUCUCCACCAUCUAAUCCUCAAGGCAUUGUUCAUCAGCAUCAGGAAGAAAUCGUCGAGGAUGCAGACCCCGUAAGAGUUCAAAAGCCCGCUUUUAUUUACAAGCUAUAUCGUGCCUUAAAAGGAAUUCGUACUCCUUUGAACUAUGUUGAUGAUUUUGUUAAAGAAAAAGGAUAUAGGAACGAAUAUAUCUUUCUGCGAAAAAUGGAAAGUUUGGGAAUCGCUCGUAAAGGGGUGGCUGAGGAAACCCUUGCGAAUAUCCCAAGUGAUCCUCGUGACUGGGGGCCAAAUCCUGUAGAUGGGAAUGACGAUGAUAAUCUGUUCAGUCUAUUUCAACCGAAAAUGGGUAUUGUGGCUGAAAUUCAAGGAAAAAGGGGAGAUUUGUUCAGAUCAAAGGAACAAAAGGAUCUGUACUCGAAAUUGCUGAAGCGUGGGGUAAUAAACCCUAGGAGUGUGGACUUUGAUUUUCUGGAUGCUGUGAAAGUGAACUUGAGGGAAAAGUUCAGUUAUCUUCAGCUUGAAAAGUUCUACUCUGACUCAACUGAGGCUUAUGCUGAAUUGACUGCAUAUUUCUAUUCAAAUCUUAGCUUUUUAGAUGCGAAUAGAUUCUCCUUCAGCGUUAAAGAACAAGACUAUGUUGUGGAUAUGAAUAUGCUGGCAGAUGUGUUAGAAGUUGAGAGAGGCAGAUAUCAACCAAUCAAAGUUUCCAUUGCUCGGGCCACACUUGAACUGGUGAAGGACAGGAGAACGGAUGAGAAGAUCACCUACUCAAGGAUGAAUGCAUUCAACAUCUUGCUUCACAAGAUUGUGAUUAAUUGCCUUCGGCCGAAAUCAACUUCCAAAACUGAUAUUUCAAGCUCUGAGGCAAAGUUGAUGUAUGCCAUCCUCUGUGGAAAGAAGUUUUCUCUCCCUCAUACUGUUAUGUUUCACAUGUAUAGAGCAGUGAUGAAGGACAGAGGUCAACUCCCUUACCCAAGCCUUGUUACGAAGUUAUUCAGACAUCUGAAUAUUUAGCCUCCGCAAAUCUUUUGUGUUCGAUCAUGCGAUCAUAUAGUGGUAGGACUGAAAAUGGUGACCAAAAUGCGUCUGAAGGAACUGAGCAAGGAAUUGGAGAAAUUCAAGGAGAAGACUCCUGCCAAAUCUCAUCAACUCUCUUCUACUGCUAAGAGAAAAGGGAAGGAGCCCAUGGCUGCUCCAUCAAAGAGAAGAAGAGCUCUCCUCGUUGAGGAUGAAGAUGAUGACGAUGACAUCACCAUCUCUGCAAUGGCUUUGAAGAAUUUAAGUCGUCCUAUUCCACAGAAAGAAUCGGAACAAAAGACGAAAGAAGCAGAGGAAAAGGAAGAAGAAGAAAGAGAAGCAGAUGAGAAGGAAGAAGAAGAAAGAGAAACAGAGCAAGAAGUAGAGGAAGAAAGACCUAAAGAAGAAAGAAGAGAAGAAGGAGAACCUGAGGAAAUCUCUUCUCCACCUGUAGGCAUGGAAACAUGGGGAGAUCAGGAGAAAGGAGUGACGUCCUCAUAUCCUGAUGCAAGUGAAGGAGUCAGUUGCUCACCUGUAGACCCAGAAGAUGUUUAUGCAUCUCAAUUUCCAGAGGAAGGUCAUGAAGCUUCAUCGCCAAACCUGCGAGAUUAUGCUGAUCCACCAUCGUCUGCUUUUACUCCAUCAGAUCGAGCCGAAGCAAGUACUCAGACUGAUAAUGGAGCAGAUUUUCGCAGAAUCUUGGAUAUUCUCAUGGAAAUGCGAGGUCAAAUUUAUGCAUUGGGAUGCGAAGUUCAAAGUUUGAAGAAUGAAAGUCAAGCUUCUUCCUGUUCAUUGAAUGAUAAGAUGCAAGCCCUCUCUAUUUAGAAUCAGGCCAAUGCCAAGAGUGAGGAGGUUGUACAGCUGAAGGAAGACUUCAAAAGGCUGGAAGGCAUCGUUCAGUCUAUGGAAGAUUUCCAGCUUGUCCGCGUUCCCAAGCAAUCUUGACUUCAUCUCAUCCUUUUUAAUGCUGACAAAAAGGGGGAGAGAUGCAUGAUUUGAUCAAAAACUUUCAAUCAUUUUUUAACUAUUUGUUGGAUUGUGUUGUUGUUUAACUGUCUGUUUUUGACAGACUUUGACAGACUUUGACUUUGUUUUGUGUCUGGAUGAGAACUGAACUAGACUUGGACUUGACUGCUUCUAUUAACAAGUAUUGAUAUCUUAUGGAUGGUUUUAUUAUAUAGACUAACCUAUUUUCUGUGGUUGCAGAUUCUAGUGUUAAUCUUUUAGCCAUUCAUCUCUAUAAGAUAUGCAUAUGUGUUUGAGAAAUGUUUUGCAGGUCAAAGUUAUCCAAAUCUGCAGGAAUGUUUUGUCACCAUCAAAAAGGGGGAGAUUGUUGGAGAAAUCCUCGUGAAGUGUUUUGAAGUUGACAAAACGUUUCCAUCAGUCUAGUCUGAAGGUUUGCAGACUCUGUUAGUUAAAGUCUGAAAACUUCCGGACAGCCAGACUCAAGACUCAAAGUCUAUCCUCAUUGACAGUCUCUAAUCCGUUGAAGAAAGGUUAUCCAGAACUGGAUGUUUUGUUCAGGAUUUAACCUUAUCAUCUGGAGAAGAUCUCGUGGCUGGAGAAGACGUAUCAGAAUCCUUUGAUUGAUCAAGUUGAUCAAUGACUGAAGAUUCGAUGAUUGUCUAAAUAUUAUUGGAAGGUUCUACUUAUGGAAACCGAGAUCCUGAUUGUAUGGGCGAACAGGAUUGAUGGGCUAUCAACACGUUCCUUUAAUAGCUCGAACAAUCUUCCUAAUUGAUUCCGUCCAACAGGUAGAUUGGAGGAAUUCCUUUGGUAAGUGCCAACGGGUAUGAUGGCAUAAAGGAGUAUAUAAGGAAGACGUUCUUAAUUGUUCGAGGUGUGCGCGAUAGAAGAAUUCCAAAGUCUGAAGCUCCUUUUUGUUUAGACAAUUCCUUUGAGCGAAUACUUGUAUACAAAAGAGAGUCUAUAUUUGUGAGAGACCUUGAGAAGGUGUGGUAGAACAUCUACACUGUGGAAUCAAGGCAAAGCUGUGCUGUAACUUCUCUUUUGAUCAUAGUGAAAUCCAGCCGGUGGGCUGUCAGUGCGGAAGAGUGGACGUAGGCUUGGAAUAAGCCGAACCACUAUAAAUCCUGUGUUCAAAUUUCUCUCUCUCUACCUCGAUCGUAUUUCAUUUUGUUAAGAAUUGCUUCCGUAUUUGGGACAAAUUGUUUGUGCGCCUAUUCACCCCCCCUCUAGGUGUUUAUACUAGCAAUAUCAGAAGAGACCCAGAUGCUUGGGAGAACCCAUUAACAUUCAAACCAGAGAGGUUUCUAGGAUCUAAAAUUGACUACAAAGGUCAAAACUUUGACCUAAUUCCAUUCGGAUCAGGCAGAAGAAUGUGCGUCGGACUUUCGCUGGCGGAUAGGGUGCUUCAUCUCGGUCUUGCGAAGUUGCUCUACCAUUUCGAUUGGGAACUCAGUGAUGGUUUGACUCCAGAGACCCUCGACAUGAGAGAGCGGGCGGGAAUAGCACUAAGGAAGCUCCAUCCUUUAAAGGUGAUACCUAAAAAACGUAGUGUGUAAGGUUUUUAGAAUAUUAUGGUAACUAGUUAUAUUCAUGACUAGUUAUUUAGGAAAUGACAAGACGUGAUGUCAUGUAUCCAAGGAAGACUUCUUAAGAAUGGUGUUUUUAUUCCACAAAUACCUUAGGAAAAUUACCCUAAAUUUCUUAAACUUAUUAUACUUUUACCAAUUUAGUUAUAAAUAUUCUUAUUAUAAAAAUUAGUCCCAAACAUUUUCACGUUUUGCCAAUUGAGCUCAUAUGAUCAAUUUUGAUUAGAAAUCACUAACACAAAUGUCAGGCAUCCUACAUGGUGCAAUUGUCGUAGAUGUGGAAAAUUUUUAAUAUAUUUUUAAAAUUUUUAAAUACUUUUUCUUUUCUUUUAUUUCUCUGCUAGUUGCUGAGCCUUGAGGAUGACUACUAACCAACCAUAGGCUACAACCGAUGAUGGUCACCCUCGCCAAAAUCUGGCAAGGGAGGACUUUGCUACCUUGCCAAAUUCGACAAGUCACAGCUUCAUGUGAGGCUCGACUUUGCCCAAUCUAGCGAGGGCAAGGCACAACCUCAUUAGUCUUCACAAGGGCUGAUCUCAGGUGAGACUUGCCGAAAGAUCAUGAGGCCAACCUUCCCUAAAGGCUAGCAAGGGACAACCUUGCCAACUUCAAGCAAAGCUCAACCUCGUCAAAUCUGCUUAGGACAAGCCUUACUCAAGGCUAACAAGGGUGACCUCACCUAAUGUGGCACCCCUUGACGGCCCCCGAAUCGUUAGGGUCACCACAGUCAACUUACCCUUUACUUGACUUGAUAAUAUAUCACUCUGAUACCAAAGAGUUAUAAUAAGUCUAUAAGUCCUGGGGGUUUAUAUAUAUUUUCCAUAGGUCCCUGCGUAGAAAUAUGACGAAAGUGUAUCCAACAACUCCCUUCCCUAUAUUCAGAAAACGAUGCACACCAACUAAACAUUUAUAGAUAAAAGCCGAACACUUUUAUUUACUUAAACCAGAUGGACAUCAUUAAUUGGUACAUCAAAAUUCCAUAAUCUUCUGUACUUGGCUAUACUUCAAAAGAUGACCGACAUCUCCUCCAACAGUCGUAUACUCAAAGUCCAUCGUUCAGUGUCGGCGUCCAAAAGUUCCUUUUUUUGCUAUCCUUCUCCUUGCGGUCAUAUCCAACCACUUGAUUCAUCUACCGGUGGUAGUGACAACAGAGGUAUCUUAUCUAGUUUGAAAUGUUAGUCCCCAAACGGGGUGAGUACUGUCGACACCCGAAAUUUCCGUCGACAUUUUAAUCAUCCAUUGUUUGCAAAAAAAAAUAAAGAGCUAAAAAGAAAAAAAAAGAGAGAAAUAAAGAGUUGAAGCAGAAAAGAAAAGAGAAAAAGAAUGGAAACAAGAAAAAGAAAAGAAAAAAAAGAAGGAAACAAAAAGAAAAAAAAUGAGAGAAAAAGAAAAACAUAAAAGAAAGAAAAAAAAUAAUAGAAAAGGGAAUGACGAUUCUCUCUCAUGGGGGGCUCGCUCUCUCACGUUCUCUCGCUCUCUCAAAUACUGGGACGCUGAUUCUCUCUGAAGGGAGGGCUCUGGAUCACGAACUCUGGUUCUCCAGAGGGGAUUCUCUCUUUCUGGGACUCUCUCUCUCUCUGCGGUUCUCGUCGAAGGUUAGGGUUUUUCCUCCGUCGGUGCGGGAUUGGAGGUGUUUCCUCUAUUCGGUGAGGAGUUUGCUCGGGGGAUCCGGUUUCCGAAACUGAUUGGCGUCGGUAGCAGCGACGGCAGCAACGGCGGAGCUUGAUUCGACCUCUCUCGUUCGUUAUUAACCGCCUGCUCGCCUCGGUUCUGACUCCGUGCUCCGAGCUCCGAGGAUAGAGAUCCGAAGCUUGAUCGACGGCGGCGACGACAGCGGCUUCCGAUCAUCUUCUUGUUCAUCAUCUAUCGUCGGGACUCCCUCAAACCUUAGAAGACAGAGCAAUUGCCGAUUGAAGAGUUGGAAGUGCGAGGCUCGGAUCUGCACCGCCUUCAGAGAAGGCUCAACAACGAUUUCCCUCUUAAUCGAGUCAUUUCCGAGGGUUUUUCCUCUCAGAUCUCGGCAAGUUUCAUUCAGAUUAUUGAUUUGUUUUCUCUAGUAAUUUUUUUUUCUAGAGUCAUCUCAAUCCUCCCUCCCCUGCCGUUUUCUUUUGUUGACACUGAGCAUGUAUUUCCUCUCGCCGAUUCACCCAUUGAAAUUGCCGGCCAUUCAUUGCAGUCGCCGAUUCAAUCAAAAUCUCACAAGGAGUUUGGAUCAGUCAUUACUCGAAGAACAGCUUCAAUCAUCUGAAGACAGACGCAGCAAAGCAGAGACAAUUUUUUUCAGAGUUCUUGAAGAGGCUGACUGAUAAAGUUGUUGAGGUAUGAAUAUCUGUACUUGAAUAUGUCAAGAACUUCCUGCUGUGAAAUCCUUCUAGAGCUUAAUCUCCUCAAAUAAUUGAUGCCUUAUGCGAUUGACUGCUGGAUUAUGAUGAAAACGUGAGAAAGCAAGUUGUCACUGUUAUUUGCAAGUGUGGCUUACUUGACUUUUGUUCAACUUGACCUUCUGUUGAAUAUAACUACUAUAUUUUUCUCUUUUCAAAAGACUAAAAAAAAAACCAUUUAUACCUGUUCAUACUGUUCCUCAGUGGCAAGCAACCAUUCGAUCAUACUCAUACCAAAUGUUUGACCCUACUCAGUUAGUCUUCGCAAGCUGCAGAUAGCGUUAUUUGUCUACUGCGUUUUUUCAUCUGGUUUAACUGGCAAAUCAAGAACAAAUUCCAACGGGUCCUUUCUAAUGAAGAGUUGUCCUAGUAACAAAUAUUAAAAAGGUGCUAUGGUCUCGUUCCCCCUUUAGUUUUUAUGUUUCCAUCAGUGUAAAUCAAGCUGCGCAAGCUAGACAUGCACCAGAAGAAAGUUGAUUCAUUUUAGUAGAAAUUGGUCCUCUGUUGCUGCUGUGUUCAUCUUUUUUUAGAAUUCCUUGUUCAUAAUAUUGAAUGUGUUCUUUGCCUGAAAGUUGUGAGUUCAUUGGUACACUUCAAUCUGGAUUGAUGUCUGGUAUUUUGCCCUUUGAUGAGUUUGUAGUUGUCGGUAGACCGGUAUGAGUUGUGCCUGAAGUUCACCUUAGUGGAGAAACAUUUCCUCAGCAGCAAAUGAUUUUAUAUCAGGAAAGGAUUUUAUAUCCUUGGUGCAUGUUGGAUGAUCUGGGAAUCUGGUUCAGCUUUUGUUAGGGCCAGUAACAGCAAUGAUGUUUGAGUUUGUCAAAGAAAUACCUAAACCUGAAACUAAAUGGAGGCUGGACUUCAUCUCUCUUUUAGGCGUAUUUUUCUUUACAUGGGUUAUCAUUCAAUUACUUCCUGUUGUCUUGAUAGAUCUGGCUUAUGAGAAAGAAUAGAUACUUGGGAGUAUGAUGAAAAUAUGUGGGUUUAGUGAUCCAUAUUGGCUGAUUUCCUAUGCUUAUUUUCUCUCUUUAUCUUCAAUCUACAUGCUGUGCUUUGUGACUUUUGGCUUAGUCAUAUAUAGUUAAUCCCUAUUGCGUUAUGUUUACCUACGUUCCAAUGUCCCAUUAAAGUUGCAAUGCUUGUGUCUUACUGCACUUCCUCUGUAAAGUUUUACUAGAAUGAGAUUAUGUGUGCUUUUAGUGAGUUAAAUGCAGAUCACGUGCAAUUGAUGUUUGUUGUUCAUGUGUGAAUUUGCUGAUAUUGAAAGUUGGAAUUUGUCUUGGUCUAGAAUGCAUGCUUUGUUUCUAUAACCUCGAAUACUUGUGAAUUUGGUACGAAUUUUUUGUGUGAGGAGUUUGGGAUUAGGUCCUUCACAUAAAAACUGCAAAAAAUGAUUGUAUGUUUGCCUUGCUGCUCUGUUCUACUUUUGAUGGACCUUGAUCUCUUCCAGGAUUUUGUAAAUUCACGUGCUUUUUUGUUACAAUAUAUAAUGAAAUGCUCAAGUUAGAUCAGAGUUGGCUUUCGAAUGUCUUUUGACCGUUGAUCGGUAGAUAUAAUUGAUUCAUGUCUGAAAUUGAACCAUUGAUGAAAUAAGUUUUGCCAUGGUCAAGGAGUCAUAUGGAUCUUCAUGCCUAUUUGUUUGUCGUCUGAACAUGUAUUGUUAUGUCCUGUUUUGAUAAAGAAAGGUAAAUAAAACAGCAUGUUCUAGAUUAAAAUCAAAUUAGUGCUGUUCAAGUUUCCAUCAGUGAUUGCAGACAUUUGGAAACUCAUUAUGCCUUUGUUCCGCUCCUCAGUGACCUGCAUUACUUGCUGAUUUUCUGUUUCUUUCGCUGAUCUAACCUUCUGUGCAAAUGAAUUGAUAUGAGCUGAUUGUUGUGGUUUUCUGUGUUUGAUGUCCUCAUGAAAGUCGAAGAUGGUUUGAUUAGCUUUCUAACGAGCUAUAAUACACCCUGAUCCGAUAUCAUUAGCCACAUGAAAUCUUCUUUAAAAGUCUACUCCAGAAGAAGUCUACUCCAGAAUUUGGAAAGUUGUUCUGGUCUGUGCGGUUAUUUCUGUUACUGAUCUGACCUCUUUGCUAAAUGUCUUCGUUUGAGCUAGAAAAUGAUUUCAAUUGUGUUCGUGACCUUCUAAGGAUUCAUAGGAGGCUUCUCAAAAUUUCCAUUGACAUAUUAUAUGUGUGAUUUGGUCAUCACUUGCCCUGCCUUUCCUUUUUUCAAAUCGAGCUUUGAAAUCUGGAAUUUGUCUUGAACUGCAAUGCUGUCUUUUCUGUGGCUAGUUGUUGUUAGUCUUAAGAUGAGAUAGUAGAUUUGUCCAAAUUGUUUUCAAUAUGUUGUAGAAUGACGGUGUGACAUGCUACUAUGAUCUAUUCUUGAUUGACUUGUUCAUGUUCUUAAUAUUUUUAGAAAUUCAUGCGUUAGGAAUCUUGAGGUGCUUCCUUCAUGGAAUGACAUCCUUUAUCAAUUGUCUACAAAACGGUUUUAGGUACCAUGUGGGUUACACAUUGAUUGCUCCGUUUGCCUUUAAUACAUAUGUUGAGUGAAUUCAAUGGUGUAUGUUUUGGAAUAAGUGAUCUUUAGUUGGUUCAUUCAUUGUUUUGGGUUGAUUGAGGACCAAGGUCAUGUGGCUUGAAUGUUUGUCAUGUUAUAUGCUUUGUGUGUGAUCGUUAGAUAGAUGAUUUAGGUGUAAUACAUAAUGAUGCUAAAUCUUGGGAUUUCACUUAGAAUUUGGUGUAAGGACUUCAUGACUUUAGUCACCAUUUUUGAACACUAAUAAUGUCCUGUUCUUUGAUGUUUUGAUAUGUUUGUUUGUUCCCUUCCACUGCAUAUACCAAGUUAUAGGUUUAUUAGAUUAGGUUUAGAUUAGGAUCCCGAAGAUGGAGAAGGCGUGAAGAUGGUGAAUGUCGAUUUCCACUCCGACUGUUAUCAUGUAAUGCUCAUUUUCCCGACAUAUGUCUCGGGUUUUAUGCAUUGUAUAAAGCCCGACGAGUUGCGGGUUUCCUUUCUUUCUCGAUUGUUUUCUCUUUUAUAUACUUUAGAAUUACAUGAUUAGGUUUACUGAUUUCUCUUGAUUGUUUACUUCAUGUCUUGUGCUUUCAAUUUCAUUGAUUGUUUUCUUUUCAUUUUUUAGAAAUAGAAUAGAAUGAAAGUAAUCCACCACGCAUGAUCACUUAGUCUAGGAAUUGAUGAUCCUGAAAAAUGUAAAAAGAAACACAUGGACAUGUUAGGAAAAACACAACAUACUGUUUAGGUACCGAAAGGGCGCUAAUAGCAAUAUUAGCGUAACCCAAGUCCCCGAACCUAGAUAUCUGGUUGCGUAGGAAUCGAUGGAACACUCUCGACCCUCGAUUGGGUUUCUAGCUGACCCCGAAAGUUGAGGCUAGUGGCGACUCCUGUAUAUUCUUAGGUUGUUAAAUACCUAGAUCGCAUAAUAAACCUACUGUCACGCGGGGUACGAGCUUCGGAGAGCUCGCGAUCUUGAGAUCAAGUAUCCCUAAACCCGACCUUUCCCAACCUUGGAUACUUUUCGAGAGGGGCGGCGAGAUCGGGUCGCGACAAGUACAACCACUUAGCCGUAAAUAUCCACCAAACUACACGAUGCGUCAGACAGAACAAUCAAGGUAUCACGAAUAAAACACAUACCAUCCAUGCAUUUGAACAUACCUCACCAUACAGCCAUGCAUAUAUCACCAUACAACGUGCAUAUACCACCAUGCACUUGUACAUAUAUCAUCAAGCAGCCAAGCAUAUAUCACCAUGCAACGUGCAUAUACCACCAUGCACUUGUACAUAUAUCAUCAAGCAGCCAAGCAUAUAUCACCAUGCAAUGUGCAUAUAUCACAAUGCAUUUGUACAUAUACCAUCAAGUAGCCAUGCAUAUAUCAUCAUGCAACGUGCAUAUACCACCAUGCACUUCAUGCUUGCAUUUCCAUGAGGUUCAUCCCAUGCCAUAUGCAUACAUCCAUAUGUAUGAUUCAAUUUCAAUUCUUUCUUUUACAUGGAUUUCAUCAUUUUUCUUUCAAGGGACCAGUGUUUGCAUCCCACAUUUAUUGCUCGCAUCCAACCUGGCGUUAUGAGGAGCCUCCAGCACACACUUCCGGGCAUCUCGUAUCCCACCUGGCAUCACGGGGAAUCUCCGAGGUUCGCUAUGAAAAUGGUUACCCCUACCCUUUGGGCAUGCAUCAUAAUACAACCCCUCACCCUCCAGGCAUGUAUCAUAAUACAAUCGGGCAUCCUAACACUCCCGGGAAAAACCUCUGGGCAUGUAUUCAUAAUACAACCAGGCAUCCAAAGGGCAUCAACUCAUUCAAACCUUUGGGCAUCCAGACUCCCGGGAUAUCGUCGGCUCACACCUCCGACGGUAUCAUCAUUAUCACAAUCUAUAUUCACAUAUAUGUCUCAUUUUCAACAUGGCAUUUGAUGCAAAAAUAUCAUAGGUCUAAACCAGCUUUUUGAUGUCAUAUGGUAUGCCAAACAUCACCAUAUAAGCAGUACACAUAACACCCAUGAUAUCAUAUUUCAUAAAGCAGUUCAUUGGUUUUUGAAAAUAGAACCAAUUUUCGGGUAAAACAGAAUGCACCUCUUUAGUAAAAAUUCUUGGAAAAUUUGUAAAAAAUCUCAAUAAAUUCUGAAAAUUUAACAUGAGGUAAAAAAUAUCCAGAUGAAGAUAUUUCGUGAAGAACACCAUGUCAAGAAAGUUCUACAUCAAUCACAUAGAUCCACACAUCACAGCAAAAAAAAUUCCAACACCACUUUUUGCACAGUUUCGGAAAUAAUUUCGAUUAAACCUGUAAAUGAACUUCGAAAAUUAUGAUAUUUUGAUAUGUUAUAGAUGAGAUCUAGAGGUAAACUUCUCAUGAAUAAAUCGAAGUAUAAUUCCUUUUGGAUUAAAAGAAAUUUUUUAUAACUCUCCCUAACUCUCGGUUCACUGUGCAGAUUCACCCUUUUCAAAGAAAAUCAUUUUCCCGAUCAAUGCUUGUCAUUUUAUUUUAAAAUUUUAGUAUGUUAUUCCUCAAGAUGUCACCUACAAUUUUCAUCAAGGACACAAGAUCAAAUUUCAUCCAGAUAAUUUUAUAAAAUUCAUAGAGUCGCACUAGAUCAAAAUAAUUGUUUCCAGAUCUACUUUCUUCAAAGAAAAAUGGUUUCACCGACCUAUACUUGUUCAUUUCCUCUCAAAUUUUUAUAUGUUACUAUAUAAGAAGUUAUUUACAACUUUCAUCAAGAAGUCGAAGUGAGAUUCCAACUAGAACAUCGCAUGCAACUCACGAAAUCACCGGAGAUCAAAUAACAGUUUCCAGGUCUAGUUUCUUAAAAGGAAAAUCAUUUCACCAACCAAUACUUAUCCGUUUCAUCCCAAUUUUUAGUAUGUUAAUCUUCAAGAAGUUCUCUACAACAUUCAUCAAGAAGUCAAAAUCAGAUUCCAACUAAAACAUUGCAUGUAAGUCACGAAAUCACCAAAGGUUGGACUGUUUUUCCAGAAAACAGAAUGUUAGGCUAGAACACAACUUUGAAAUUUCACACUUCAUCCACAUCCGAGAUUCACCAUUCAUCACACACCAAACACAACAAGCAAAGGGUAGAUCAAUGAACUCUGCUUGCCUCUAAUCCAAGCAAAACACAGCAAGCAAACGACGGCUCGACAGCGGGACUCGGCGGCUCGACGGUGGCGACGAACCUCCUCCUUCUUCCUCGCACACUCGCUCUCCCUCUCUCGAUUUCUCUCUCUCUCUCUCUCUCUCAGAGUAACCCUCUCUCUCAAUCGGCCCACUCUCCCUCUCUUUCUUUCCCCUUCUCUCAAUCGGCCCACUCUCCCUCUCUUUCUUUCCCCUUCAUCAUUUGCAAUCAUUUGGUUUGCAUAGCUAAUGCCACUUGGCUCUAGGGGAAAGACACUUGGCAAGCUUCUCUUGCCACUUGGGGAUUUACAUGCAACGAAGAUGGGCCUCAUUUGGCUGGGCUUGGGCCAGCCUUGGUUGACUACUUUAUGGGUUCCUUGGGCCGGGCCUCUUGGCCCACUUUGGGUCCAACACUUUUGGGUCUAAAGUCCAACUUUUAAAUGGCCCAAAAUAAUACUCAAUAAGCCCAUAAUUGCUCUUAACAAUUUACUUUAAUCCCCACUUAAUUUCAUAAUCUCAAAUACUCACAUGGCCAUAAAAUUUUGUAAUAUAAAUCAAUAAAAAUCCAACUUAUAAAGUACAUGGCCAAGAAUAAAAUUUUUAUAUCAAUUUAUCCUUUAAUACAAAUCCUUAAUCAUUCAUGGACAUAGGAAAAAUUUCCAACCAAAUAAUUGUCCAUUAAAAUGCUCGGCCUUAAUCUAUUACAAUUUUUCAGUCUAGUGGCCACAACAUACUUCAACGACACAACCAUUCACUUUUCCAUAGGUCGUAAUGCCUCUAGAAAUUGCCAUGAAAUUUUGGGAUACCACAAUUCUCCCCUCCUUAGAAAAUUUCGUCCUCGAAAUUAGACAUUGCCUAUGUCUCUUUACCCCAGUGAGGGUACCUUUCCCUCAUUUCAUUUUCACUUUCCCAUGUGGCUUCCUCCACAUCAUGAUGUCACCAUAAUAUCUUAACCAAUGGUAUUUUCUUCGUCUAUAGGACUUGUUCCUUUCGAUCCAACACUUGCACAGGCUCCUUAAUGUACCUCACUUCCUCAUCCACUUUGAUGGCUUCAUGAUCGAGUAUGUGACCAGGGUCUUGGCUGAUACGUCCUUAGCCAUGCCUAUACUUUUCUGAAAGCUUUUGUUUUACACAUUCUACCAGGUAUAACUUUUCAUCCCAAUUUCCUUUAAAGUCAAGGAUGCAAGCUCUUAACAUGUCCUCUAAUGCUUGGAUCACUCUUUUCGUUUGUCCAUCCAUCUGUAGAUGAAAAGUAGUACUAAAUGGGAGCUUCGUCCCUAAGGCGGUUUGAAGACUUCGCCAAAGGUUGGAAGUAAAUCUUGAAUCUCGAUUCGACGUGAUAGUUACGGGAACACCAUGUAAGCGUACCACUUGGCUUACACAUAUAACAACAAAUUUACCCUUCGGAUAGUCUACGCGAACUGCUAGGAAAUGGGCAGACUUAGUCAAGCGAUCUACUAUCACCUAGAUAGAAUCAUGGCCACUUGAUGUCCUUGGUAAUCCUUGCACGAAAUCCAUCAUCACAUGAUCCCAUUUCCAUUAUGGUAUAUCUAAUGCUCUCAAUCGAACACACCAUUUAGCCGAAUUAUUCCUGUACCUUUGUCACCAUCAAUUCAAGCAUAGAACCAUCAAAAUCGACACCAUUAACAACUCAUCUAGUUCAGUCCAACAAACACAUUCACUACGCUUUCACUGCAACAUAGAUUCAAGCCUAAAAUAUAGUAUCAUUCAUUCGGUUCAAAUAUUGAUAGUCCACCAAAAUAAAACUUGUCUAGUUUCUAUCAAGUAUAUCUCAUGUCUCACCCUAAGGGAUCAUCACUUGGACUAAUCACUCAUCAAAUCCACAACUUGAACUUUCACCUUUUCACCUUGGAAAGACUAUAACCACAAUUGAUCAUAUCCACUAAUUCCACAAAACCUUCUCAAACUGAGAUCAUCACCAAAAUUCAAAGUUGACCAUCAUCAAUUAAGCCUAUUAUUCCGACAUAUAAACCACAUAUAAUUUCGUGUCUCAUAUGACCACUCAAACUCAUGACUUCCAAGAUCAAUCUAUACAUACUAAAUGCCUCCAUGUAAUGCAUCAAGACUUCCAAUGAGAUCCUCUAAUAGGAAGUCACUACUUAGCUCAAGUGAUCAUAAGUUAAUCCUCGAAUUCAUAACUGCACUCUCCAUAAUUCACUCCUAAGCUUGUUUGCAGCACUNNNNNNNNNNNNNNNNNNNNNNNNNNNNNNNNNNNNNNNNNNNNNNNNNNNNNNNNNNNNNNNNNNNNNNNNNNNNNNNNNNNNNNNNNNNNNNNNNNNNCUUAGAUGCUGCGCAUGUUCUUCAGGUCCUUUAGAAUAUAUCAAGAUAUCAUCAAAUGAAGACAAUCACAAUUUGAUCCAAAUAAGGCUUAAUUAUCCUAUUCAAUAAAUCCAUGAAUGCAGCUAAGGCAUUCGUCAAUCUAAAUAGCAUAAUUAGGAACUUAUAAUGUCCAUAGCGAGUCCUAAAUGCGGUCUUAGGAAUGUCUUCUUUCUUAAUCCAUAGUUGAUGGUAUCCUGACCUCAAGUCAAUUUUUAGAAAAGAUCGAACUUCCUUGCAGUUGGUCAAAUAGAUCAUCAAUUCUAGGUAAUGAGUACUUACUCUUAACAAUUACAUGAUUCAAUUGCCUAUUAUCAAUGCACAAAUGCAUCGACUCGUCCUUUUUCACAAACAAAAGUUCUACAAGCUUAACCAUACUUUCACUGCGCCACUCUGAUAGAAUUAUCCUAGAAACACUAUCUUCCUAGUUCAGUUCGUAGUUCGGUUUAUUCCUGCCCCCUUUUGCCAUCCCAGAAGUCUGCUAGGAGCUGCUCCUUGUUUAGGUCCUCUGACCUCGGUGUCCACUCCCCGCCCUCAAUGGACUGGGUCGUUACAGGUACACUAGCUUUCGCCUGGUUCGAACCCAAACUACACAUCCAUUGGAGGGUCUCGUUUCGAUAGGAACUAACUUACAUAGAUAUUAUUCGCUUUGGCCUAUCCCAUCUUAGCCUCAUAGUUUUAUCCUUAGAGCACGAGUAAGUACUACCUCAGGAGAUAAUUCAUCCUAGUCCAUUGCUUACGGAGUUAGUCCAUUCCUACGAUGAGGUCAAAGUUAUACAUAACUAUCACUAUCAAGUCCAUUUCUAGAUCUCAUUCCCCUAGGGUUAUCUCACACAUCUCACAUGCUAACCUAGAUAACAACAUGUCUUUCAGUGAUGUAGAAAUACGAAGAGGCAUAUCUAAAGAUUUGUUCCUAUUUUUCACAAUCAUCUAUAUUUUUCGAACACAAAUGAAUGUGUGCCACUCAUAUCAAAUAACGCAUAUACCUUCUUAUCCCUCUAUCAAAAUCGUACCUGAGAUAACAUUUUCGGAAGCUUCCGCUUCCUCUUGAGUGACCGCAUACACCAUUCCUUAUGCUGGUGGCCUCUGUGGAUUCCUUGGUAGGUUUGGUCCACCUGUACUUUGUUGUACUUGUCGCACCGAGCCAACACUCAGCUGCGACCUCUCUUGUGCACAAUCUCUAUUAAAGUGACCUCUUUGCCCACAGUCAAAACAUUUCAAUCGAUCAUUACAGGAUCCUGGUCCAAGCAGUUCAUUGGUUUUUGAAAAUAGAACCAAUUUUCGGGUAAAACAGAAUGCACCUCUUUAGUAAAAAUUCUUGGAAAAUUUGUAAAAAAUCUCAAUAAAUUCUGAAAAUUUAAAAUGAGGUAAACAAGAUCCAUAUGAAGAUAUUUCAUGAAAAACACUAUGUCAAGAAAGUUCCACAUCAAUCACAUAGAUCUACAAAUCACAGCAAAAGAAAUUCCAGCACCCCUUUUUGCACAGUUUCGGAAAUAAUUUCGAUUAAACCCUUAAAUGAACUUCGAAAAUUCUGAGAUUUUGAUAUGUUAUAUAUGAGAUCUAGGGGUAAAAUUAUAAUGAAUAAAUUGAAGUCUGGUUCCUUUUGGAUUAAUAGUUAUAAUUUUUUAUAACUCUCCCUAACUCUCGGUUCACUGUCCAGAUUCACCAUCUUCAAAGAAAAUCAUUUUCCCAAUCAAUGCUUGUCUUUUUAUUCUCAAAUUUUAGUAUGUUAUUACUCAAGAUGUUGGCUACAAGUUUCAUCAAGUUUCAUCAAGGACACAAGAUCAAAUUUCAGCCAGAUAAUUUUAUAAAAUUCACAGAGUCGCACUAGAUCAGAAUAACUGUUUCCAGAUCUACUUUCUUCAAAGAAAAUGAUUUCACCGACCUAUACUUGUUCAUUUCCUCUCAAAUUUUUAUAUUUUACUCUCCAAGAAAUCCUAACAACUUUCAUCAAGAAGUCGAAGUGAGAUUCCAACUAGAACAUCGCAUGCAACUCACAAAAUCACCGAAGAUCAACAUAACAGUUUCCAGGUCUAGUUUCUUCAAAGGAAAAUCAUUUCACCAACCAAUACUUAUCUGUUUGAUCCCAAUUUUUAGUAUGUUAAUAUUCAAGAAGUUCUCUACAACUUUCAUCAAUAAGUCGAAGUCAGAUUCCAACUAGAACAUUGCAUGCAAGUCACGAAAUCACCAAAGGUUGGACUGUUUUUCCAGAAAACAGAAUGUUAGGCUAGAACACAACUUCGAAAUUUCACAUUGUAUCCACAUCCGAGAUUCACCAUUCAUCACACACCAAACACAACAAGCGAAGGGUAGAUCAAUGGACUCUACUUGCCUCUAAUCCAAGCAAAACACAGCAAGCAAAUGAUGGCUCGAUGGCGGGGACGAACCUCCUCUUUCUUCCUCGCACGCUCGCUCUCCCUCUCUCGAUUUCACUCUCUCUCUCUCUGUCUCUGUCUCUGUCUCUGUCUCUCUCUCUCUCUCUCGGUAACCCUCUCUCUCAAUCCGCCCACUCUCCCUCUCUUUCUUUCCCCUUCAUCAUUGCAAUCAUUAGGCUUGCAUGGCUAAUGCCACUUAGCUCUAGGGGAAAGACACUUGGCAAGCUUCUCUUGCCACUUGGGGAUUUACAUGCAAAGAGAUGGGCCUCAUUUGGCUGGGCUUGGGCCAGCUUGGUCGACUACUUCAUGGGCUCCCUGGGUCGGCUCUGGCCACUUGGUCACUUUUGGGUCUAAGUCCACUUUUAAAUGGCCCAAAAUAUUACUAAAUAAGCCCAUAAUUGCUCUUACAAUUUACUUAAUCCCCACUUAAUUUCAUAAUCUAAUACUCACAUGGCCAUAAAAUUUUGUAACAUAGAUCAAUAAAAAUCUAACUUAUAAAGUACAUGGCCGAAGAAUAAAAAAUUUCUAUCAAUUUAUCCCUUUAAUACAAAUCCUUAAUCACUCAUGGACAUAGGAUAUAUUUCCAACCAAAUAAUUGUCCAUUAAAAUGCUCGGCCUUAAUCUAUUACAAAUUUUUCGGUCUAGUGGCCACAACAUACUUCAACGACACAACCAUUCACUUUUCCAUUGGUCGUAAUGCCUAUAGAAAUUGCCAUGAAAUUUUGGGAUGCCACACCUAAGGCUAGUAAGGGCAAUCCUCAUUAAUCAUAACCUAUGGCCAAUCACCGGCCAUCACCAAGGCUUGGCAAAGGAAGAAAACGAAAAAAAAAAUGAAAAGACAAGAAAACUAAAAAUAAUAAAUUUUAAAGAUUCAAAAAUAUUAAAAUACUAUUUUAAAAAAAAAAAAAGGUCUGCUGGCAUUCACUUUAACGAUUUCUAGUCAAAAUAGGCUAGAUGGACUCAAUUAGUAAAACUUGAAAAAAAUUUGGGAUUCAAUUGAUACAAUUAAAAAGUUUAUGACUGAAUUAGCAAAAGUACAACAUAUUAUGAUUUUUUUGAUAAUUUUCUCCAAAUAUCUUUGGGCAAUUACAAGUUUUUAUGUCAGCAUUUGGGUCUUGUUUAAAUUGUAUGACUUAAGCAUGUAGCCGGUAGCUCACUUACCUUUUAAGCCAACAAUAAAACUUUACUUGUCAAAAAAAAAAAAAAACAAAUUGCCCUAAAGUUGGUUCUACACAAGAGUCCACAAAAUGGAUGAUUGUGAUGAACUCGAUCCACUAGACACCAAUCCAUAUAAUAUAAUCUCAAAUCAAAGACCAUGAACAAUACUAGUUCCUUGAAUAGGUCGAAGCUUGAUAGGGAUUGAUUUUGAUCCAUCAAAAUUGGAAUCCUGUUAAUGGAUUCAAACAUGACGUUGAACCCAAUAACCCGAUUGCUAGUGCAUUGCCAGCUUCCAGUAGCACAUCGGUGGAAUCUACGGAAGAUAGUGAAACUCCAAUUUGACUCUUAAGUACAUAAGUGAGAUGCUCAAGGAGAGGGAGUUGGAGGAGAAAAACUAAAUGUUUGCUGGAUUGGCUGACCACCCUCUGGGCCAAAGGAAAAAAAAAUAGUGUGAUGUCCUCUACUAGAAGGGUACCCUUCCGACCACCCAAAAAAAAAAAAAAUACUUGCCAACCAGCAAAAAUUUGGCCAACCAGCGAACUCAGGUCUUCAUUUGAGAUUAAUUUAGCCACUUUAGACCCUUAUUUAAAAUAAUGUCCAUCUUAGGCAAUCUUUUGAAAAAAAUAACACCACUUUAGACGCUCAUUCAAAAAAAUUUCUUACUUUGCCAAAAAUUAGUCAUCUGAAGUGCAUGAUGGUAAAUGUAUACAAAUUGUUGAAUCUCUUUGUAUGUUACUAAGGUAAGAUUUUGCUAUAGUGCCAAACAUCCAAACAGGUUGAUAAUUUACUAUUUAUAUUUUCAUCGUUAAAUUCCUUCAAUAGAUGGCAAUUUUUCGCCCACUUGUAAAUUUAGCAAUUUAAUAAAAGCUUGCUGUGUAAUGUACGGGUAUUUUUCACUAAACCAUCCGACUUCGUUGGGCUUGAAUAAGACUCAUUUGAUUUCAUUUGUGUAAUGCUUGCGGAGAUUACUUUCGUUGGUGGUGUUUUUUUUUUUAUUGCUCUAAUUUCUAACACAUGAUAGUAAGGCCGAGUAUCGGUAUAGGGUCAACCCUAGACUAAUCUCGGACUGGCCCAACCCAGCCAAUACUGGGUCUGUGUCCUUAGUCCCAGAACUCAAAUUUCUUGAAAAAAUUUCAAAUAAGAGUCCAAGGUUCUAUCAAUUUCUUAAAAAAAGAUUUAAAGUGUAUCUUUUUGUUUUUUUUUUUUCAAAAAAAGACCUAAAGUUGCCAUAGGAGUUUCAAAUAAAGGUCUACCUCACUGACUGGUUAAGUAUUCUGGUCGAAAAGGACAUUUUUGUCCAAAGACAAUUUUAAACCAAAUUUUAAUUAAAUUAUUUUAAAAAUUAAUCUAAAAGCUUUUCAAAAAAAAAAAUACAUGCAGUGUGGGCCCUCACCUUUGGUCGACAAGGGUUGCGGCUCUCAUCGAGGUACUUGCAACCUCGAUGCCCUCCUUCAUCCUUUGGAAGGUAAACUUCAUCCCAAGCUACCUUAGCACCACCCACCCCUGCCCAGGUUCGGACCUUUCCACAAUAAUUGUCUAAGGAUUUUCUCUAUCUGGUCCACUAUAACUAUAGGCAAAACAAAUACACUAGCCCAAUAGGCUUGUAUAGUGUGAAGAACUAACCUAAUAAGCUGAAGCCAUCCAGCAAGAGAGAGGAAUCGAAGAGUCCAAGACUGAACCCUUGCAGUGAUAUGGUUGACAAGGGCACAAGAGAGAGGAAUUGGUGAGUCCAAGAUUGAUGAUUGAAUUAUUAAUAUAGUAAUUUUGGAAAAUUGACAUGCCAUCUUACUAAAGCAAAAGUGAGUGCAUAAUUAACAUGAAGUAGUCCUCUUUGGGUGCUUUUGCCGUUGUUUUGGCGUUGCCCUCGUUCUUUUACCUUGACACCCUUCCACUCGCUUUGACUUUUGUCUUCGUGAGUGUAAGUUUUUGGUGCCGAGUUCUUGCUGUAUAGCUUUAUAUAGCUCUUUGGUUAAAGUCAAUAUAAUCUUACCUUUUACCAAAAAAAAAAAAAGUUGAUAAAGCGAUCUAUAAAAUUCAAGAUAGAACAAGACAUCAUAAUUUUGAUAGGAAUUUUCGAUCUUUGGUAGCUGGAGAUUACAUUGAGUACUAAACUUAAGUAAUAAGAUUCGGUUGCAUAAUUCGCAUAAGUUGUCGGACCAAUAUUGAAAUUAUUAUAACUAAGAAUCUAAUUUUACCUAAUUCGAUGAAAUGGAUGUACGAGAAUCAACAUGACCAGCACGUUUACUCCAUUUCGUAGCCAAAAGAUUUUUUUUUUCCUUUUUAUAAUGUGGACGGCAUAUAUUUCUUUUUCUUUAUUGUUUUGGGUUGGUUUCUCGUGAAGUGAAGAGGAUAAGAGUGGAUAUUUAUAUCCUGUUUUCCACGCAAUAAUCGCAUAGGUGCAGGGUGAGCAAUAGCUGAAAGCUUGGCCAAUGGAGUACUGCCCUACUUCGCCCUUUUGGCUCGGCCUCCUCCUCUCGGCACUUCUAUUUUUCCUUCUCAACCGUUGGAAGUGCACCAAGCUUCCCCCUCAGCCCCAUUUACAUUUAUUGGCUCAUUUCAUCUUGUGGACUUUAAUGUCAAAAUGUUGACGAAGGAUAUUUUUGCGACUUAUUCGCCAUACAAGAGAUUGUACACUUUGCACAGUAUUCUCCAUUAUGCUCCCACUCAGAUUAGAUAAUAAUGAUAUCGUCUCAUCAUAUAGUUGUAAUUGAGAGUGAGUCGAAUAUAAUUUCUCACUUCUCAUGUUACUCCUAUUUGGACGAACUCUACUAAGUCCAUUAUCUUGAUCUAAUGUUUCUAAUAUGGAGUAAUUCUCACAUAUUUCACCCUUCUUAAGAAAUUCAUUAUUUAAAAAUGUGACAUUCCGUGAUUCAAAUUUAGCUAUACUCUCACUUUUCUGCCCACUUAUAAACACAUACCCUUUCGAGUGUUUUGAGUAUCUUAUGAAAAUACUCUUCUUACCUCCGGGUUCAUGAGUAUAGGCAGUACAAUAUCACAGUUUAAAAAAACUUAAAUUCAAUUUUCUACCUGUCUAUAACUCAUAUGAAGUUAAAGUAACUAGUUUGAAAAGUAUAUGGUUAAGUAUAUAGGCAGCAAUUAAUAAAGCAUUACCCCCAAAAAGUGAUAGGUAAGUUAGCAUGUGCCACCAUGGAUAUAAAUUUUUUAAUAGGGUUCCGUUUCUCCUUUCCGCAACACCAUUUUGUUGAGAAGUAUAGGAAAUGAAAAACUAUCUUUCUAUUCAUUUUUUAUCACAUAAAUUUAUGAACUCAUCAGAUAAAUAUUCAACCUCAAUCGGAUUUCAAUACUCAUGUUUUCUUAUCUAAUUGAUCUUUUACUAAGCUCAUAAAUUUUUUGAAAUAACUCAAUGCUUCAGAUUUAUGAGAAAUCAAAUAGACAUUUCUUAAUUAAGUAUAGUUAUCUAUAAAUAUGAUAAAAUAAAUAGCAAUGUGCAUUCCUCUCACAUUUAUUAGACUAAAAUUGUUAGAAUGAAUUAAUUGCAAAGGAAAUUCAGCUAUUUUACAUUUUCCAAAUUGUUUUCUUAUCAUUUUCUCUACUAGGUAAUGCUAACGUAUAGGCAAAUCAACUUUUUCAAUGUUGCCCAAUAAGCCCUCUUUGGCUAGCCUAUUCAUAUGUUGUUGGCCAAUAUGAUCAAGUUUAGCAUGCCACAUAUUCACAUAAUUAUCAUAUGAAUUAAAAGACGUGAAGAGGGAAUAACAUUAAUAUUACUAUAGUCAACAUUUAAUACAAUAAAAUCAUUUAGAAAAUAGCCAUAACCAUAGAAGCUUGUAUUUAAAUACAAAUCCAUACCAUUAUUUUGGAAGUUCAAACUAAAAUCAAAUUUUACAAAUACUAAAACAGACACUAAAUUCUGACGAAUUUCGGAAUAUAUAAUAUACAUCAUGUUGGAAUAAGGUGUGUUCACCACACAUGUUUAAUUGACAGGUGCCAAUCUCUUUUAUUUAGCUCUAAAGUUGUUUCUUAUAUAGAUCCAUUUAGUUCUAGUUAGUGCUUGUCGGAAUUCUACGAAGAAUUCUCUAUCCUUUGCUACAUGGUUCGUUGCUCCCGAAUCUAUAGUUCACAAAGGAUUAUGUUCAAUUAAGAAUAUUGAAUUUGAUACAUAAGCAAAGUUCUUAAGAAUGCAAGGGGUGUUGUUCUUCUUUGGCUCACAACAGUUGCGAGCAUGGUGAUCGUUCUUAUCACAAUUAUAACACUUCGCCCUUGACAACUUAUUCAUUCGAGGAUGCUUUCCUCUUUCAUAUUGGUUAACUUUUGAUUUAUUUCCCGAAGAACUUGCUUCAUUGCCUUUCUACCUUUUGAAUGAAUCAAGAUGUUUGUGCUUGGAGCUUGAAACCUCUUGUGAGCUAGAAUUGGCAUAAUAAAUGUCAGUUUACGGUUUAGCUGCCAGGAGGCAGUCCUCUUUUAGCUCAAGAUGACGCAUUGCAUCCUCAAAGGUUUUAAUAUUCUCAUUGUGUAUCAAGUGCACUUUCAUAUGCUCCCAACUUGGAGGUAGGGAAUAUAUCACUGCUUGCACUUGCUACUUGUCAGUCAAGACAUAGCCAGCAUCUUUCGACUUAUUAAUCAUGUUUAACAUCUUUUUCAGGUGUUGUUUCAUGUAGAGGUGUGCAACCGGAUCGGGUCAACUCGGUUCCCGGUUCGGCCCACCCGGAAAACAGGGUCGGGAAUUGGUUCCGGUUGAAACCGGUCCGGGAACCGGUUCCCAAAGUUCAUACCUUGUUUGAACCGGUCCGAGAACUGGUUCCGAGGGAAUACCCACUUGGGAACCGGAUCAAUCGGACCAGUUUGGGAACCGGUUUGAGAAUCGAUUUUUGGGCCCCAAAACAAAACCCUAGCCGUUUCUAAAUUUCUAUCUUUACUCUCAGUCUCUCAUGUAGCACGCUCGUCGCUCUCAGCGUCUCAUGAUCUCACCUCCGCCAAUCCAUCUGAGCAGAAGCAGCAUUGCCUUCCUCCAGAUCAGCGCCCCCAUCUUGGUCCCAGCCAUCCUCGCCACCCCGGUGCCGUCGGCCUCGCUGCUCGAGAAGGCUGGGUGCAAGACAUUCGCGGGCCUCCUUGUCUUGACACCAAGGUCGACUCCUCAUGGGUGGCCAACAUGGUGCUCAAGUCCACCCCCGUCGCGAUCUUCACCAUUGACAGUGUCCUCCUCCCCUCUGAGCUGUUCGGCAAGUCCCUGUCCCCCGCGUCAGCGCCGUUGCUGGUAAGCACGAUUUUUACUAUUCGUCUUGAGCUACUGGCUAAUUAGUUCUACUUACCCCCACGCCGGCACCGUCGAUGUUUGCUCUUUUGAUUCGUUCUUGUAUUGCAAGUCUGGUGUUUUUUUUCUCCGUGGGACAAAUCUUGAGAAUUGGUCAGGAGUUGAGCGAACGAGCGAACGAGCGAACGAGCAUUUUAGGUUAUUGUGAAUCACAAUAGUUUGUUUCAUCCUAAUAGUUUGUUUCAAUGCUGUCUAGCAGCUGAUCAAUGACAAAAAUGCACACACACAUGCUCAAAGCGAGAUAUGUAUGGUUAUUACACUUGCUGCAUUUCACUAGGUGUGGUGAUAUAAGAUAGUCAAUAUACCCCAUAGGAUCAAGUAUGUGGUCAAGGGCAUACUUAUACGUGUGAAUUUGGCACGUCGUACAAGUUUGAUUCCCACACCACUGAGUACAAACAUUUUCAGGGGUUUGCCUACCUAAGGUCCUAAGGUUGGUGCCUCAAUCCUAGUUAUAAAAAAAUAUAAGAGUGAUUACCUAGGAGGAGCGGGAAGAAGCUAGCACAAACUUUUACAAAUCAGAAUAUCUGUUUGAGAAUCCAUGUUGUUUCAGUGAAAUAGGAUAGUUUUAGUUCAUUGGAGCCUGUCUUCCUAUCCUCUGGACAUAAUUAUUGUUUUAGCUUUGUGACAGAUGUGUUAAUUCCGCAGAUUUUCUGUCAUUCAUGAAUUUCUGCAGUGUAAUUCUUGUCACGGUUUGGUUGCAGGAUGAGAUGUUAAGACAGAGAUUCAUGGUUUACUAGCAAGAUGUGAAAUGUGCACGUUCAGAAAUUUUUUGCAAAACAAGUUCCAAUAUAAACAGGGUUAACCUUGUUCUUGUUCUUGCUGCUGUUUCUGUUGCUGUUGACAUCAAGUCAAGGAGGGCAAGUGGGUUGUGGUUGGCUUUGUUAGCCUGAUUUAUCGUUAAUUGUUUUGCUGAGAUUGAGGUUAUUAGAAGAGAAAUCAGUGUUAUGUUGCCUAGCAUUGGUGUUUUAUAUCCUAGAAAAUUUGACUUCAAAGAUUGUUCUUUGUUUGGAUACUUCAUUUUAUCCGCAUAUCGGAGUGUUCAUUGUCCUUUGGAUUGGAGUUGUUCUAAGCAUCCGAUUCAAUCUUGCCACUGAAAUAGGACCCUGAAAAGAACUCUUUCAAUUAGAUGUUCUUUGGAGAAAUAGAUUAGCAAAGAUUGAUUGGUAGUCAGAGAACAUGGGUUAUUAAGCUCUAUGACUCAGAGUUUACUGGUUCGCUAAGUUUUCCCUCAGAGGUCAGGAUACAUUAGGCACCAUUUGUUUUAUUUGAUAUGUCGUGAUUUCGAUAGAUCUAUCCUUCACUAGCAAGGAUCCAUAUCAUUUUGGAGUAUACAUUGUCUAUCUCUAGAUUAGAGAUUGUUCUGAGCUUACAUUUGAUUCUUGCAAUCAAAUUAGAAUGCUGAAGAAACACCUUCAUGGUUUACUAGCAAGAUGUGAAAUGUGCACGUUCAGAAAAAUUUUGCAAAAUAGGUUCCAAUAUAAACAGGGUUAACCCUGUUCCCGGACAAGAAAAAUAGGGUGGGUUGGGAACAGAGUCCAAUGCAAACAGGGUAGGGAACAUGGUCCAAAAAAAGAGAACCGGUUAUAACAGGGUUGGGAACAGGGUCCAGGUCUAGACCCUACCCACCUUGGACCCGAUCACCUCUAGUUUCAUGGUCUGACUAUGAGACUUCUUAUAAGAGUCAAAUCUUAUAGUGAGUUAUCUUAGUUUGGUCACUGAUGUAUGACCAAAUAUUGCUACCAAUACUUCCCACAUUUCUUUGGCAUUCUCAAAACGCCUAAACUCUAGCAUGACAUCAUUUUCCAUGCUACUCAGCAAUGUAAUGCAAGUAAGGGAGUUCUUUUUUUGCCAUACAACAAAUGCAUCCUUAUCUCUUUUAUGUUGUGCAAUGUUCCCAUCUUCAGAUUCUUCCAUAAUCAGAUUAAGAGUUUCUAGUGCCUUUUGCUCUUCUAUAUUGGAUUUUCAUAUGUCAUAAUUCAUAAUUAUCGUCGUUUAGCUUCUUACAUUUGUUCAAUUCAGAUACUAUGCUCUUAGAUGUUGAAGCCAUUGGAUCUAAAUAUAUCAGACACAUAUACAUGAAUAAUCCUUUUUUUUUUGGUAAAGGUAAUAAUAGAAUAGAAAGAGGAAAAGCCAAUUAUACAAAAGACUAAAAACUUUCACUCAAAAAGCACACAAGCAAACUGAGUGAAAAGGAGCUGGUGUAAAAGAAAGAAGGAACAACCAAUACAAUCGACAACAACAAGAGCAAACGCCCCCAAGUUCGAAGGAAGCAAAAAGGGUACACAUCCAAAAGCAGCACGAGCGCAACAGGCGCAACAAGGUCCAGGCGAAGGACAAGAGCAAAACCCCAACACCAAUCGAGCUAGUGAAGAACAAACCCAGCAGCCUAUUAGAGCUUAGCUGGGCCAACAAUGAAGAUUGAAGGAUCAAAUCCCCACCCAUGUUGAAGCCUCCUAUUUCUCGGGUUGUCAGGCACCUUGCCAUUGGUUAGUACUUUGUCCCUGACAACUUUUAUGAGAUGAUUCUUCAAAGCCGCAACCUCAAGCACUUCGCCCUAGAAAAAUGAUGCUUUUCCUUUUCUUCCAGAUAAGAUGGCACAUGGCCCUAAAAGAGAAAUGGGCAAUAGAGUGGAAGAAGUCCUUACCAGGUAAAUAUUUCAGAGCCCAAAGGAGAAUCUUUGCCCAUGACCUAUUAUGCCAGGGAAGAUUACAUCUCCCCGCCCAAAAGAAAGCAAGCAUCACGGGAACAUGACACUCGAAGAAGAGAUGGUCAAUCGAAUCAGGAAAAUAAUUGUAGAAGGCACACACUUCAUAAUCAAUUCGUCCAUGAGAAAUGAGUAAAGCCUGAGUAGGAAGGCAGUUCUUGGUAAUAAGCCAAAGGUUGAACUGGUAUAUGGGAGCAAUGGCAUUAUUCCAAAUAAAGUGAGCCCAAGGGACACGGUUCUUUCUAGGUCUUAAUGCCUCCCAGGCUGAGGCCACUGAAAAGGAAUUGGAAGAGGACUCACGCCAAGAGAAGCUGUCAGUAGAAUCAGCCAGGAUUGGCAAGGAGAAGCCCCAACACUCCAAUAGAUAUAUGAACGCACAGUUUGCCGGUGCAAGGAGGUCUGCCACUAUUGCUUUCCUAGAAAGGCCUGAACUAAGAAUAGGAGAGUCUGGGAUAAUGAGGCUCCAAGGGCCUUGCUGGUGCCCAUUGUUGUGCCAUAGAGAGACUGAACGACCAUUGCCUACUCUCCAACAGAAGGAUAACCUGAAAUUUCUUCUACGGUGAAGGAUUUUCUUCCAAGCCCAAGAGCAUACUGUUGGGAUAGUCGUGACCCAAAAAUUCUCUCUUUUAAAGAAAUUUGAAUGGAUCCACCGACAUCAAAGGGACUCUUUAUCUGUGAACAAGAUCCAUAUAUACUUAAGCAUAUACGCUUUAUUGCGGUCCUUCAACCUUCGAAUACCCAGACCAUCUUCCACCUUGGGAACACAGACAUCCUCCCAAGAAACUUUAGCUUCGCCCUAUCCAAGGGUAGGACCCUUCCAAAGGAAUUGCUUUAAAAUACGCUCAAUACACUCUAUAACCGAGUAGGGAAGAGAAAAAACAGUAGCCCAAAAGGCUUGAAUGGAAUGUAGGACUGACCUAAUCAAUUGUAGCCUUCCAGCAAAGAAAGAAACCGCUGAGCCCACGACUAAACUCUAGCCGUGAUCUGAUCAACGAGAGUAGUACAAUCCGCUUUGCUAAGUCUUGAAGUAAUAAUGGGAAACCCCAAAUAACGCACUAGCAGCUUCCCUUCUUGAAAACCCAGUGUCAAGAGAAUAUUCCUUUGCAAAGAAGUGGAACCCCCUGUAAGAAAGACCUCGCUUUUGUUUUUGUUAGGCAACAUUCCGCUCCAUGAAGAGAAGAUACCAAGGCCUCUAUUGAGGAGAGUCAUUGAAGCCCAAUCUGUCUGGCUAAAAAGAAAGACAUCAUCGGCAAAAAAUAGAUGGGAUAGCUUCACAGACUUGCACCUCCAAAAAUACUUGAAGUCCUUAUGAGCUGUGUGAGAGCUCAAGAUCCCAGAGAAAAUCUCCAUAACCAGGGUAAAUAAGUAGGGGGACAUGGGAUCCCCUUGCCGAAGCCCACAACCACCUGAGAAGAAGCCAUGCAGCUCACCAUUGAUCGAGAUAGAAUAUUUAGGUGUACAGACACAAACCAUGAUGAGUCUGAUUAUCCACUCAGGGAAACCAAAAGCCGAAAGGGUAAGCUCAAGGAAAUCCCAAUCCAUAGUGUCAUAGGCUUUCUUGAAGUCCACCUUAAUAGCACACUUAGGUAGAUAAGGCUCAAGGUGGAAUCUUGCAAACAGCUCCUGGGCUAGAAGAAUAUUAUCCCUUAUCCUCCUACCUUUAACAAAGGCGUUCUGGAACGGACUAAUCAAAUCAUCUAACACAACAACUAAACGAUUAGCUAAAAUCAUAGUAAUAACUUUGUAAAUUGUGUUACAGCAAGCUAUGGGUCUGAAAUCAGAAACAGCACAAGCGUUGGGAACCUUAGGCACCAUGGCUAAUAUCGUGUUAUUCACCUCUCUUAGCAACCAGCCCGAAGAGAAAAAUCCUUUACUGCCUCUAAAACUAGAGGCCCUACUACGUCCCAAUUAUUCUUAAAGAAUUCAACAAUAAAUGCAUCUGGUCCAGGGGCUUUACCACAGGCCAAGGAGAAUAGAGUAUCCCGAAUCUUAGAGUCAAAGACUGGACGAGAAAGAAAGCCAACUUGAUCAACCGAGAGAGGCGGCCGAACGAACUCCUUCAACUCCUACAAAGAAGGCUUCGAGAGGGCUGUCUGCAGAGUCAAAAGGUCACUAAAAAAGGAGACAAAUAUAGGUGGAACCAAUUCAGGGUUCAUAAUCAAGGAGCCUAAAGGAUCCUUAAUCGAAAGAAUCCUAUUCCUGAGUUGUCUUCUAGUGACCAAUUGAUGAAAAAACUUGGUGUUCCUGUCACCUUCCUGAAGCCACCUGAUUCUUGAUUUCUGUCGGUAAAAAGACUGCUCCUGAGAAUGCAACUCAACAAACACCCGACGUUGAGAUUUCUCCAAAUCCGCAAGGGCAGAACUGCCUGGGUCUUGCUGAAGACCAACCUGGGUGAUACGAAGAGCAUUCCUCACGUCAGUAGUUCUCACAAAAAUGUCAGAGAAGGCCACUCUAUUAAGUUGCUUUAGACGCCCUUUCAAAAGCUUUAACUUGCGAACAAGUUUGUACAUAGGAACACCUUCCACCAGACUCUCCCAGACUUGCUGAACAAUAGAGGAAAAGGACAGGUGUUUCAUCCAUAGAUCAAAAAAUUUGAAAGGCUUCUUCUUAAAAAUCGGGUUAAGAACCCUGACAACCAUGGGCGAAUGAUAAGAUAUACCCAGGUUUAGAAAGUUAGCUUCAGAAUAAGAAAAUACAGUAUUCCACUUGGCAUUCACCAACACCCUGUCAAUCUUUCUCAUCUUCCUGGCAGCACCAGAAGAAGUAAACCACGUAAAUCGAAGGCCCACAUACCUCAAAUCCUCCAAAUCAGUUUGUGCUAAACAUUGACUGAAAUCAUCAAAACAAGGUAUCCAAGUAGUGGUACUCCCAACUCGGUCGGACGGAUCUUUUAAGGCAUUAAAAUCACCAGCAACCAACUAGGCGAAGUCCUGCACAAAGCUGUUCAUCCGUAUAAGGUCAUCCCAAAGAGGCUGACAACGGGUAUAGGAAUGCUCUCCAUACACCACUGAAAUAUAAGAAGACAUCCUAGACAGAAGAAGCUCCAAGUGGCCAUGGAUAGCCUGAUCAUUAACAGAAGAGACUUCAAAGAGAACCAACUCCGGGUUCCAACCGACCCAGAUUCUACCUCGAGGGGAAUAGUCAUAAUUUGCAAUCCAGUUCCAUCCCAUCAAAAAAGUUAAGGAGAUAGAGUGAAAAAGAGACUCAGGAGCCCUAGUCUCAAGCAGCCCAACAAAACAUAAAUUGUUCGAUGACACAAACUUCUUCACUUUAGCACGCCUAAUGGGGUUAACCAAACCCCUUAUAUUCCAAAAACCUAUACACAUUGUUGAAAGGUAAGAAGAUUACCUCUUCUUGGUGGUCCUACACCGACCAAAGGCUGGAGUAGGUAGAGCCGACGGGGAAGGGUCAGGAUGCAACUUGAGAAGUUUGUCUUGCAUGGAUUCAUUAUUCCCAAGAGUUGGAGGCGCUCUCGAAGAAGGCAUAGAGAGCAAAUCGUCAUCCGAAUAUCCAUCUAUGUCUUCGCCCGAACUAGGAGGAACCAAAGAAGGUUCAACAAGAAUAACUCCUAUGGAAGACCGCCCUUCUUGAGCUUGCGUCUUCGUGCCAGGAUUCGGAGCCUUCGUUGGAACAGGCUCUUUCAGCUUCAAAGAUUGACUUUUAUCUCCAGAGGGAACAUCGUCUUUAAUCUUCAAAGAUAUCCCACCACCUGCGGAAGAAGAAAGCCUAAACGAGGCAUCAACCUUACCUAGUGGAGGCUUAUUCUUUUUACUUUUAACUUGCUUCUAAGUCGUUUUAGUCCCUUGCGAAGGAAUAACCACAGGGGCAGCAAGCUUCUCCGAAUUCUGGACCGAAUCAUCACCAGAAGCAGAGCAAAUAACGCUUUGAUGAAUAAUUUGAAAUAAGGUUUCAGAAUUAAAAGGUCACUAUGUUUCCAAUUAUCAUCCAAAAAUUCUAACUUGAAAUUCUCAUUAAUAUAGUCUUCUAUACAAAAUAAGUUCUUUGAAACUACAGAAUCUUCUAUGAACUACCUCAAACAAUUAAUGAUAACAGAAGCAAUUGACAUUGAAUAUCCAUUAAUGAUGAAUAAAAAUAUUUCCACAUAAUAUAACCAAUACAUCAAUUGCUACAACGACAUCAAUAUGGUAGAAAUUAUCUACAUAAGAUAUUCAUAAAACAUACUAAAUAAAUGCUACUAGAAACAACUAACACUAAGUCAACCUAUGAAUAGGGAAAUAUUCUUUUAAUUUCUUGGAAAUUUCCUUCGUAAAUUCUUUAGGCACAUUUGGCAACCACGGAAAAACAGAUGAAAAUCCCUUAGGAUUUCUCCUUCACAUAUUCAUUCCCCCAUGGAUUGAACUCAUUCAUUGGGUUGAAGUCUUUGUGGCUUCAAUCUUAUAAUAUUCCUUUUUAAAAAGCCACUAUAAGUUUCUUAUAAUCAGGAACCACAUUGACCUCCCAUAGGCGAUUGAACACUCAUUGCCAUUCAGAUGGAAGAAUGUCAAUGAAGAAUCGCACCAUCUUAAAAGCUGGCAUAGGGUAACCCUUGCAAAUGACUUCUUGUAUCUUCUUAUUGACCUUGUAAACAUGAUCAAAUAAAUCACCAUUUUCCCAUCAAUAAUCAGCCAACUUAACUAUCAUCCUUACAAGCCUUGUCCUUUGUCUUUUUGACUGUGCACGAAUAGGUGUACGCAUACGAAGGGGAGGCAUUGUUCUUGCAACGAAUGCAGAACAAAAAAUGAUUACUUAUAAUCCAUAGGGACAUAAUUGAAAAAGAAACAUAUUCUUCAUUUUUUUUGUCAACGGUCAACAAUCAACAGUCAACGCGGUUAACAAAGUCAAUGGUCAACGGAGAUCGGGUCGGCUCAGACGGGUCAAACAUGGGUCGGGUCAAACUGACUAACUUGACUAGGUGACGUCAUCAUGACUCACCAACACGUGCCAUGUGCAUGCAUGGGCAACUGCCAACUAACGUCACCAUGACGUUAGCUGGCACGUGUGGUGCCGCAAGUGCCCUAGAAACCAUUGAUGCACACGCCGACAAGGCCUUUUCUUCUAGUCGCACGUGGUGGCAUGUCUAACGGCAUCGAUGGCGGGCAACUUGUGACAUCCAGAUUUUUGUUGACCCUCGAAUACGUGACGGUCCGUGACAGAUCGACAGAAUUAUCGUUGGACUAUGUCAUUGGUACCAUUUGUGGACACUGUUUUGUUAUUAUCGUUGGACCAAUACGUUAUGUUUAGUAAUGGUCUGAUCAUAGAAUAAAUUAUAGUCCCGUCGAAAAUCUUUCUUACGUUCUAGCAAGACCGAGGCUCAUUCCAAAUAAUAUGUCGACAAGUUACCUAUCAUUCGAACUUUAGCCGUCUCCAUUGAGUAUGUACCCUAGGCGAUGAAGCCGAGAGACACCAUUUCACGCCCAUGCAGCCACGUCCAUCUACUUUCUUCCAUUAAGACAAAAAACUAUGGAUUCCAUGGCCAUGCAUGAGGACCAUGCACGUCUCUCCAUUGUGCGGAUCAAUAAACAAAUAGGAAAUUGACCCAUGCAGCCCAUGCUGCUCGAAGACCCUAUUUCCCCGGCCAUGCAUUCACGUCACACAUCUUCCAUGCACGUUCGUGGAGAUUCCAUGCAGCUGGUCAACUAUGGGUGAUGAUUGUUGACCAAGAGCCACGUAGCUCGUCCUUCGGUGGACAGCAAAAAGGGAGAAUGUGGCUUUGCUGAGGAUACAUCCCUUGCAUGAGGAAGUAAGGUGGCUGCAGCAAAAAGAGACCCUUACGCAUGGACACGGUAGGUGCAGCUGUCCGUUCUUUCCGCGGCCAUCGAGAAUUUACCUUUGUUGACCCAUAAAGUCAACCAACGAAGGAACAAAAUGGCUCGGAAAUGAGAGCAAGAGAGAGAAAAAAACCGGGCGAAAUAAGGCAGAGAGAGAGAGUAGCGAGUGAGAGAGAAAGCAGCGAGCGUGAGUGAGAGGAAAAGAAGGAGGUCACCCCCUCCGCCCGUGCACACGCGCUGCCGACGCCACUUGCUCGCACUUGCUGUUGCCGAGCUGUGUCUAUGACCGCGAGCUUCUCGAUUUCUCGCCGUCGACACCAUCGGAUUUAAGGCAAGUGAAAGUCUACUAGCCUAUGUAAUGCAAUGCUGUUGUUGUUUGAUGUAGUGCAGUUAAUUUUGGAAAUAUUUGAGUUUGUAUGUUGGAUAUUGAAUUUUUGAAUGAUUGAGGUAGAUUGGGAUUAGGGGAUUGAGGAAAUGCUCGGGUUUUCUUUGUGUGUUUUUGGUUCCUUUGAACCUCAAUCGAAAAUAGAUUUUGGUGGACUUUUGGAAAUAAGGUAGCCAAGGUGUGGGCGUGGGUUUCUACUGAAUCCAUACUGCCAAGAACAACUCGUGUGUAGCUCUGUAGCUUUGUAAAUUUCUACAGAGAUUUCUAGUACGAAUUUGGUCCCGACUUCUUCAUGGAAGUUGUGAGAAAUUGUUUAAACUAGGACAUAUAUUUUUGUCAGAUUUUUGGGAUCAAUAUAGUUGGCACAAACUUAUUUUAGUGUGCGGUGCUUUUCUACUAGAGUGUGAAUUUUGGUCAAUGGAAGAAAUAUGGGGCUAAGUUGUGUGAUUUACUGCUCUUUGUACUUGACUAAUGCGGCUUAGUGUCCUUCAUGAAAUUAUUUCCCUUAGGUCUUACUUAUAACAUACUAAAAAUUUAGAAUUUUCUGAGUUCAUUUAUUGGUUCUUUCAAAAUUAUUACUGAAACUAUACAUUUGAUUUCGGUUGCCUUUAUUCCGAGUUUGCUCAAAUUUAUCUCAAGGGUGAAGGAAUCUUGGUUUAUUACCUAGUAACGAUGGUUUUGGCAUUCAGUAAAUCAUUCAAUACUGAAAUUUCAAUAAAAAUUCAAGGGAUUUCAUAUGUCGAUGAUUUGAAAAUGUUUUGGUAUUGAAAUAAUUUGAUGUGUCAUUGCUACCGUUGGACCCUUGGGUCAAUGAUGCCCUGGGAGUCGGGCUGCCCAUAGGAUCGUAGGGGUCGAUGCCUUUGGAUGCUUGGAGACCGGUGAUCCCCAGAGGUUCCUUGGGAGUGUCGGGAUGCCCGAAUGUAUGACGAUACAUAUUUCGGAGGGUAGGGGCAACCAUUGCCGUGGUUAGUCCCGGAGAUUCCUCGUGAUGCUGGGUAAGGUGCGAGAUGCAAGAGGUGAGACAUGACAUGCUCUGGUUGCCCGGUGAUUGAAAAAUGGAACCAGAGGCUUUCGUGACGCCAGGUUGAGUGCGAAUGCCUAGAAGGACGCAAACACUGGUCCUCCAGGAGAAAAAUCUUUUGAGUUUUAAAACUGAAUGUGCUACUAAGUUGCGCCGAAUUAUGAGACAAAAUUGUGUGGCACAGAAUGAGACAUGUCAUGACAGUUUGGUCUUAUAAUCAGGACUCAUGUGAUUGAAAUGAUGUGUUCUGGUUUUGAAACUGCACUUGUUAUCACUUGGAAAAGUUCCAUUGAUUUGAUGCAUACUCAUUCCUUUGGUUAUGUGUUUUAUGAAUUUUGCAUGAAAUUAUAUUGUGAUGGUUCUGCAAGAUAUAGUUUAGUAGAUCUUUUGUUGUCGGGUGGUUGUAGGGACUAACAUUUUAGACUAGACAAGAUGCUUCUGCCACCCGCACCUCCCAGUACAUUCAAUGGAUUCCCGAUCGAAUUAUAGUUGGAGCGGUCGGAGUAUCAGGACCCUAAGGUGCGAGGACUGACGUUCGUACCGAUGAGAGUCAUUAUGGUGUUUAAUACCGGUCUUCCCAUUGGCCCUGUACUUCAAGAGUACAUCGUCGUAUUUGUCCGUCGGUAUAGACGAACGCUGGGGCCAUUGCCGUCGCCACUAGCAAAUGGACCAAGUGGCUAGGUGUGAUCAUGAGAUGNNNNNNNNNNNNNNNNNNNNNNNNNNNNNNNNNNNNNNNNNNNNNNNNNNNNNNNNNNNNNNNNNNNNNNNNNNNNNNNNNNNNNNNNNNNNNNNNNNNNNNNNNNNNNNNNNNNNNNNNNNNNNNNNNNNNNNNNNNNNNNNNNNNNNNNNNNNNNNNNNNNNNNNNNNNNNNNNNNNNNNNNNNNNNNNNNNNNNNNNNNNNNNNNNNNNNNNNNNNNNNNNNNNNNNNNNNNNNNNNNNNNNNNNNNNNNNNNNNNNNNNNNNNNNNNNNNNNNNNNNNNNNNNNNNNNNNNNNNNNNNNNNNNNNNNNNNNNNNNNNNNNNNNNNNNNNNNNNNNNNNNNNNNNNNNNNNNNNNNNNNNNNNNNNNNNNNNNNNNNNNNNNNNNNNNNNNNNNNNNNNNNNNNNNNNNNNNNNNNNNNNNNNNNNNNNNNNNNNNNNNNNNNNNNNNNNNNNNNNNNNNNNNNNNNNNNNNNNNNNNNNNNNNNNNNNNNNNNNNNNNNNNNNNNNNNNNNNNNNNNNNNNNNNNNNNNNNNNNNNNNNNNNNNNNNNNNNNNNNNNNNNNNNNNNNNNNNNNNNNNNNNNNNNNNNNNNNNNNNNNNNNNNNNNNNNNNNNNNNNNNNNNNNNNNNNNNNNNNNNNNNNNNNNNNNNNNNNNNNNNNNNNNNNNNNNNNNNNNNNNNNNNNNNNNNNNNNNNNNNNNNNNNNNNNNNNNNNNNNNNNNNNNNNNNNNNNNNNNNNNNNNNNNNNNNNNNNNNNNNNNNNNNNNNNNNNNNNNNNNNNNNNNNNNNNNNNNNNNNNNNNNNNNNNNNNNNNNNNNNNNNNNNNNNNNNNNNNNNNNNNNNNNNNNNNNNNNNNNNNNNNNNNNNNNNNNNNNNNNNNNNNNNNNNNNNNNNNNNNNNNNNNNNNNNNNNNNNNNNNNNNNNNNNNNNNNNNNNNNNNNNNNNNNNNNNNNNNNNNNNNNNNNNNNNNNNNNNNNNNNNNNNNNNNNNNNNNNNNNNNNNNNNNNNNNNNNNNNNNNNNNNNNNNNNNNNNNNNNNNNNNNNNNNNNNNNNNNNNNNNNNNNNNNNNNNNNNNNNNNNNNNNNNNNNNNNNNNNNNNNNNNNNNNNNNNNNNNNNNNNNNNNNNNNNNNNNNNNNNNNNNNNNNNNNNNNNNNNNNNNNNNNNNNNNNNNNNNNNNNNNNNNNNNNNNNNNNNNNNNNNNNNNNNNNNNNNNNNNNNNNNNNNNNNNNNNNNNNNNNNNNNNNNNNNNNNNNNNNNNNNNNNNNNNNNNNNNNNNNNNNNNNNNNNNNNNNNNNNNNNNNNNNNNNNNNNNNNNNNNNNNNNNNNNNNNNNNNNNNNNNNNNNNNNNNNNNNNNNNNNNNNNNNNNNNNNNNNNNNNNNNNNNNNNNNNNNNNNNNNNNNNNNNNNNNNNNNNNNNNNNNNNNNNNNNNNNNNNNNNNNNNNNNNNNNNNNNNNNNNNNNNNNNNNNNNNNNNNNNNNNNNNNNNNNNNNNNNNNNNNNNNNNNNNNNNNNNNNNNNNNNNNNNNNNNNNNNNNNNNNNNNNNNNNNNNNNNNNNNNNNNNNNNNNNNNNNNNNNNNNNNNNNNNNNNNNNNNNNNNNNNNNNNNNNNNNNNNNNNNNNNNNNNNNNNNNNNNNNNNNNNNNNNNNNNNNNNNNNNNNNNNNNNNNNNNNNNNNNNNNNNNNNNNNNNNNNNNNNNNNNNNNNNNNNNNNNNNNNNNNNNNNNNNNNNNNNNNNNNNNNNNNNNNNNNNNNNNNNNNNNNNNNNNNNNNNNNNNNNNNNNNNNNNNNNNNNNNNNNNNNNNNNNNNNNNNNNNNNNNNNNNNNNNNNNNNNNNNNNNNNNNNNNNNNNNNNNNNNNNNNNNNNNNNNNNNNNNNNNNNNNNNNNNNNNNNNNNNNNNNNNNNNNNNNNNNNNNNNNNNNNNNNNNNNNNNNNNNNNNNNNNNNNNNNNNNNNNNNNNNNNNNNNNNNNNNNNNNNNNNNNNNNNNNNNNNNNNNNNNNNNNNNNNNNNNNNNNNNNNNNNNNNNNNNNNNNNNNNNNNNNNNNNNNNNNNNNNNNNNNNNNNNNNNNNNNNNNNNNNNNNNNNNNNNNNNNNNNNNNNNNNNNNNNNNNNNNNNNNNNNNNNNNNNNNNNNNNNNNNNNNNNNNNNNNNNNNNNNNNNNNNNNNNNNNNNNNNNNNNNNNNNNNNNNNNNNNNNNNNNNNNNNNNNNNNNNNNNNNGACCAGCUAAAUUGUAGUUAACGCUUCCAACAUAGGUUGUACAAGGACCUAGGGAAAGGACGUGGCCCCAGAAACUCAUUGAUAUAUUAAAAUCCUUUUCUUUCAGAGUUUUUGACUCUCAGAUUCAGGGAAACUUUGUGAUAGGAGGCAACCCUAAGGCCUCGGGGGCCAUCGGGGGUGCCACAGAGCUAUGGGUCGCCACAUAUCACUAAUUUUCUCUCAACCUGAAAGUCUAACACUCUAAUACCAAAGGAUUUUGAUAAAUCCAUGAGUUCUUGGGGUCUAUAUCAUUUCCAUUGGUCCUUGCGCAAAAUAUGGCGGAAGCGUAUCCAACAUCUCCUUUUCCUAUAUUUAGAAAAUGAUGCACACCAACUAAACAUCUUUAUAGGUAAUAGCCGGACACUUUUAUUGACAUAUAACUAGAUGGACAAUUGUUAGUCAGUACAUCAAAAUGUCGUAGUUUUCAAUACUCGGCCAUACUUCAAAAGAUACCCGAUAUUUCCAAUAGUUACAAACAUAAAGUCCAUUGUUUAGUGUUGGUGUCCAAAAAUUUCUUCCUUUGCUGACCCCAUCUCACGAUCACACCCAGCCACUCGGUCCAUUUGUUCAUAGUGGCAGCAGUGGCCCCAGCGUUCGUCUAUACCGACGGAAAAAUACAGCGAUGUACUCUUGGAGUAUAGGGCCGGUGGGAAGACUAGUAUUGAAUAACAUAAUGACUCUCACCCAUACAAACAUCAGUCCUUGCACCUCAGGGUCCCAAUACUCCGACCGCUCUCACUGUAAUUCGAACGGGAAUCCAUAGAAUGUAACGGGAGGUGUGGGCAGUAGAGACAUCUUGUCUAGUCUAAAAUGUUAGUCCCAAAAGGGGUGAGUACAACCACCUAGUAGCGAAAGAUCUACUAAACUUUAUUGUGCAAAACCAUCACAAUCUAAUUUCAUGCAAAAUUGAUAAAACACAACCAAAGGAAUGAAUAUGCAUCAAAUCAAUGGAACUUUUCCAAGUGAUAACAAGUGCAGUUUCAAAACCAGAACACAUUAUUUCAAUCACAAAUGUCCCGAUUAUAAGACAAAACUGUUAUGACACGUUUCAUUCAGUGCCACACAAUUUUGUCUCAUAAUCUGGCACAACUCAACAGCACAUUUAGUUUUAAAACUCAAAAGUUUUUUCUCCCGGAGGACCAGUGUUUGCGACCUUCUAUCAUUUGCACCCAACCUUGUGUCACAAAAGCCUCUGAUUUCAUACUUCAGUCAUCGGGCAACCGAAGUGUGUCAUGUCUCACCUCCAGGCAUCUUGCACCUCACACAGCAUCACGGGAAAUCUCCGGGUCUAACCACGGCAAUGGUUGUCCCUACCCUCCAAAAUACGUAUCGUCAUACAUUCGGGCAUCCCGACACUCCCGGGGAACCUCUGGGGCUCACUGGUCCCUAGGCAUCCAGAGGCAUUGACCCCUAUGAUCCUAUGGGCAACUCGACUCCCGGGGCAUCGUUGACCUGAGGGUCCAACGGCAGCAAUGACACAUCAAAUUAUUUCAAUACCAAAACAUUUUCAAAUAAUCGACAUCUGAAAUCCCUUGAAUUUUUAUUGAAAUUUGAGUAUUGAAUGAUUUACUGAAUGCCAAAACCAUCAUUACUAGGUAAUAAACCAAGAUUACUUCACCCUUGAGAUAAAUUUGAGAAAACUCGGAAUAAAGGCAACCAAAAUCAAAAUGUAUAGUUUCAGUAAUAAUUUUGGAAGAACCAAUAAAUGAACUCAGAAAAUACUAAAUUUUUAGUAUGUUAUAAAUAAGACCUAAGGGAAAUAAUUUCAUGAAGGACACUAAGUCUAAUUAGUUAUGUACAGAGAGCAGUAAAUCACACAACUCAGCAGCAGAUUUCUUCCAUCGACUAGAAUUCACACUCCAGCAGAAAAGCACCGCACACUAAAAUAAGUUUGUGCCAACUAUAUUGAUCCCAAAAAUCUGACCAAAAUAUAUGUUCUAGUUUAAACAAUUUCUCACAACUUCCAUGAAGAAGUCGAGACCAAAUUCGUACUAGAAAUCUCUGUAGAAAUUGACAAAGCCACAGAGCUACACAUGAGUUGUUCUGGGCAGUAUGGAUUCAGUAUAAAUCCACGCCCACACCUUGGCUACCUUACUUCCAAAAGUCCACCAAAAUCUGUUUUCGAUUGAAGUUCAAAGGAAUCGAAAACACACAUAGAAAACCCGAGCAUUUCCUCAAUCCCCUAAUCCCAAUCUACCUCAAUCAUUCAAAAAUUUAGUAUCCAACAUCCAAACUCAAAUAUAUCCAAAUCUAACUGCACUACAUCAGACAACAACAGCAUUGCAUUAUAUAGGCUAGUAGACUUUCACUUGCCUUAGAUCCGACGGUGUUGACGGCAAGAAAUCGAGAAGCUCGCGGUCAUAGACACAGCUCGGCAACAGCAAGUGCGAGCGGGCGUUGUCGGCAAUGCGCGUGCACGAGCGGAGAGGGGGACUUCCUUCUUUUCCUCUCACUCACGCUCGCUGCUUUCUCUCUCACUCGCUGCUCUCUCUCUGCCUUAUUUCGCUCGGUUAUUCUCUCUCUUGCUCUCAUUUCCGAGCCAUUUUGUUCCUUCGUUGGUUGACUUUAUGGGUCAACAAAGGUAAAUUCUCGGUGGCUACGGAAAGAACGGACGGCUGCAUCUACCCGUGUCCAUGCGUAAGGGUCUCUUUUGACUUUGCUAUUGCCACCUUGCUUCCCCAUGCAAGGGAUGUCCUCAGCAAAGCCACAUUCUCCCUUUUUGCUGUCCACCGAAGGAAGAGCUACGUGGCUCUUGGUCAACAAUCAUCUCCCAUAAUUGACCAGCUGCAUGGAAUCUCCACGAACGCGCAUGGAAGAUGGGUGACGUGAAUGCAUGGUCGGGGAAAUAGGGUCUUCGAGCAGCAUGGGCUGUAUGGGUCAAUUUCCUAUUUGUUUAUUGGUCUGCACAAUGGAGAGACGUGCAUGGUCCUCAUGCAUGGCCAUGGAAUCCAUAGAUUUCAUGUCUUAAUGGAAGAAAGUAGAUGGACUCGGCUGCAUGGGCGUGAAAUGGAGUCUCUUGGCUCCUUCGCCGAGGGUACAUACUCAAUGGGGACGGCUAAAGUUUGAAUGAUAGGUAACUUGUCGACAUAUUAUUUGGAAUGAGCCUCAGUCUUGCUAGAACGUAAGAAAGAUUUUCGACGAGACUAUAAUUUAUUCUAUGAUCGGACCAUUACUAAACGUAACGUAUUGGUCCAACGAUGAAAAUGAAACGGUGUCCACAAAUGGUACAAAUGACAUAGUCCGACGAUACUUCCGUUGAUCUAUCACAGACUGUCACAUAUUCGAGGGUCAACAAAAAUCCGGAUGUCACAAUUCUCCCCUCCUUAGAAAAUUUCGUCCUCGAAAUUGGACAUUGCUCACGUAUCGUUAAAAAGAUGAGGGUACCUUUGCCGCAUUUCUUUAUUCACUUUCCCAUGUGGCAUCUUCCAUAUUAUGAUGUCGCCAUAAUAUCUUAACUAGUGAAAUUUUUUUUGUCCAAAGGACUUGUUCCUUUCGAGCCAGUACUCGAAUCAGCUCUUCCAAGUAUCUUACUUUCUCAUUCACUUUGAUGGCUUCAUGAUCGAUUAUGUGUCUAGGGUUAGGCUGAUACUUCCUCAACAUUGACACAUGGAACACAUCAUGUAAAUUUGCCAGCUUAGGAGGUAAUGCUAGCCGAUAAGCUACGUCUCCUAUUCUUUCAAGUAUCUCGAAGGGUCCAACAAAUCUAGGGCUCAACUUGCCCUUCCUCUCAAAUCGUGAUAUUCCUUUCAUCUGGGAUACUUUAAGAAAUACGUGAUCUCCUACGUUAAAUUCCAAGGGUCCUCUAUGAUAUAGCUAGUAUAAGUACCUAGAGGGGGUGAAUAGGUAUAUAAAAGAUUUUUCUUUGAUAAUUGCACAAUACUAGACAGUUGAUGGAUUUGAGACAAACAAUAAUCAAAGUAAGACUGAGAGAAGAGAAAAUUGAACACGCGGUUUAUAGUGGUUCGGCUUAUGUCAAGCCUACGUCCACUCUUCUGCACUGACAGCCUAUUGGCUGGAUUCCACUAUGAACAAAAGAGAAGUUACAGCACAUCUUUGCCUUGAUUCCACAGUGUAGAUGUUCUACCACACCUCCUCAAGAUUUCUCACAAAUAUAGACUCUCUUUUGUAUACAAGUAUUCGCUCAAAGGAAUUGUCUAAACAAAAAGGAGCUUCAGACUUUGGAAUUCUUCUAUCGCGCACACCUCGACAACUUAGAACGUCUUCCUUAUAUACUCUUUUAUGCCAUCAUACCCGUUGGCACUUACCAAAGGAAUUCCUCCAAUCUACCCGUUGGACAGAAUCAAUUAGGAAGAUUAUCCGAGCUAUUAAAGGAACGUGUCGAUAGCCCAUCAAUCCUGUUUGCCCAUACAAUCAGGAUCUCGGUUUCCAUAAGUAGAACCUUCCAAUAAUAUUUAGGCAAUCACCGGAUCUUCAAUUAUCGAGUCAAUCUUCGAUCAAUCAAAGGACUCCGUUAUGUCUUUUCCAGCCACGAGAUCUUCUCAAGUUGAUAAGGUUUAAUCCUUAACGAAACAUCCAGUUCUGGAUAACCUUUCUUCAACGGAUUAGAGACUGUCAAUGAGGAUAGACUUUGAGUCUUGAGUCUGGCUGUCCGGAGGUCUUCAGACUUUAAAUAGCAGAGUCUGCAAGCCUUCAGACUAGACUGAUGGAAACGUUUUGUCAGCUUCAAAACACUUCAAGAAGAUUUCUCCAACAAUCUCCCCCUUUUUGAUGGUGACAAAACUUUCCUGCAGAUUUGGAUAACUUUGACCUGCAAAACAUUUCUCAAACACAUAUGCAUAUCUUAUAGAGGUAAAUGGCUAAAUGAAUAACACUAGAAUCUACAACCACAGAAAAUAGGUUAGUCUAGUAUACGAUAAAGCCAUCCAUAAGAUAUCAAUACUAGUUAAUAGAAGCAGUCAAGUCCAAGUCUAGUUCAGUUCUCAUCCAGACACAAAGUCAAAUAGAGUUCAAACAACAAAACAAUCCAACAAACAGUCCAACAAACCACACGAUUAAAAGUUUAAUGAUUGAAAGUUUGUUCAAAUCUUGCAUCUCUCCUCCUUUUUGUCAGCAUUAAAAAGGAUGAGAUGAAGUCAAGAUUGCUUGGGAACGCGGACAAGCUGGAAAUCUUCCAUAGACUGAACGAUGCCUUCCAGCCUUUUCAAGUCUUCCUUCAGUUGUGCAAUCUCCUCACCCUUGGCAUUGGCCUGAAUCUAAACAGAGAGGGCUUGGAUCUUAUCAUUCAAUGAACAUGAAGAAACUUAACCCGCAUUCUGCAAGUUUUGAACCUCACAACCCAAGGCAUAAAUUUGACCUCGCAUCUCCAAGAGAAUAUCCAUGAUUCUGCGAAAAUCUGCUGUAUUAUCAGUCUGAGUACUUGCUUCGGCCCGAUCUGAUGGAGUAAAUGCAGACGAUGGUAGAUCAGCAUAAUUUCGCAGGUUUGGCGAUGAGACUUCAUGACCUUCUUCUGGAAACUGAGAGGCAUAAACAUCCUCUGGGUCUGCAGGUGAGCGAUUGACUCCUUCACUUGCAUCAGGAUAUGAAGACUUUCCUCCUUUCUCUUGAUCUCCCCCUAUUUCCAUGCCUACAGGUGGAGAAGAGAGUUCCUCAGGUUCUCCUUCUUCUCUUCUUUCUUCUUCAGGUCUUUCCUCCUCUGCUUCUUUUUCAGCUUCUCUUUCUUCUUCUUCCUUCUCCUCUGCUUCUUUCGUCAUUUGUUCCGAUUCUUUCUAUGGAACAGGACAACUUAAAUUCUUCAAAGCCAUUGCAGAGAUGGUGAUGUCUUCCUCAUCAUCUUCAUCCUCAACGAGGAGAGCUCUUCUUCUCUUGGAUGGAGCAACCAUGGGCUCCUUCCCUUUUCUUUUAGCUGCAGAAGAGAUUUGAUGAGUUUUGGCAGGAGUCUUCUCCUUGAAUUUCUCCAACUCCUUGCUCAGUUCCUUCAGACGCAUUUUGGUCACCAUUUUCAGUCCUACCACCAUAUGAUCGCAUGGUCGAACACAAAAGAUUUGCGGAGGCUGAAUAUUCAGAUGUCUGAAUAACUUCGUAACAAGGCUUGGGUAAGGGAGUUGACCUCUGUCCUUCAUCAUUGCUCUAUACAUGUGAAACAUAACAGUGUGAGGGAGAGAAAACUUUUUCCCAGAGAGGAUGGCAUACAUCAGCUUUGCCUCUAAACUUGAAACAUCAGUCUUGGAAGUUGAUUUCGGUCGGAGGCAAUUGAUCACAAUCUUGUGAAGCAAGAUGUUGAAUGCACUCAUCCUUAAGUAGGUGAUCUUCUCCUCUGUUCUCUUGUCCUUCACCAAUUCCAGUGUGGCCCGAGCAAUGGAAACUUUGAUCCGUUGAUAUCUUCCUCUUUCAACUCCUAACACAUCUGCCAGCAUAUUCAUAUCCACAACAUAGUCUUGGUCUUUAAUGCUGAAAGAGAAUCUAUUCGCAUCCAAAAAGCUAAGAUUUGAAUAGAAAUAUGCAGUUAAUUCAGCAUAGGCCUCUGUAGUGUCAGAGCAUAACUUUUCAAGUUGAAGAUAACUGAACUUUUCCCUCAAGUUCACAUUCACAGCAUCCAGAAAAUCAAAAUCCACACUCCUAGGGUUUAUUACCCCACGCUUCAGCAAUUUCGAGUACAGAUCCUUUUGUUCCUUCGAUCUGAAGAAAUCUCCCAUUUUUCCUUGAUUUUCAACCGCAACACCCAUUUUCGGUUGAAAUUGGCUGUACAAUUUGUCAUCAUCAUUCCCAUCUACAGGAUUCGGCCCCCAGUCAUGAGGAUCACUUGGGAUAUUCGCAAGGGUUUCCUCAGCCACCCCUUUACGAGCAAUUCCCAAACUUUCCAUUUUUCGCAGAAAGAUAUAUUCGUUCCCAUAUCCUUUGUCUUUAAGAAAAUCAUCAACACAGUUCAAAGGAGUACAAGUUCCUUUUAAGGAACGAUAUAGCUUGUAAAUAUAAGCGGGCUUUUGAACUCUUACAGGGUCUGCAUCCUCAAUGAUUUCUUCCUGUUGUUGAUGAUCAACGCCUUGAGGACUAGAUGGAGGAGAAUGACGCUGCUGAGAAUGUUGUGGGCUCGGUUGCUAUUCUGGAGACACUUCUUCUUCAGUAAGAUCGAAGUGCGUAGGCCCCUCACUCAUUCGCCGUGGUCCCCUGCUUGCGAUUCUCGAAGACUUUCUUGAAGAUGACAUCUUUCUCAGUUUUUGGAAGAUUCCUUGCUUGACUUUCCCAGGAAAGAUUACAACUUUUUGAAGAUUAAAGAAGACAAACGGGAAUGGAGGAUCGAUGCUUUCUAGGGUUUUUGAGAGUAAAGUGAAGAGGAAUCAACAGUGCACGAUCGGUUAAAAAGAGAUAAACGAACCGUCACAAAGGAAAUAAAAAGAUGCCUUUUAAAAAUAACUGUCUUUUUCCGCAAAAAUAGCCAUUUAAAAAAUAACUUCCUUUUUGAAAAUGAAACAAUGCAAUAAUUACAUUGAUUAAAUAUAGCAACAAUUUAAACACAGUCUGACGAUCGUACCUUUUCAAGAUAAGAUUAGAGAGAGAAAGACUUACAGUCUGACGGUUGUACCAAGACUAUCUUACAGAUAAAGUCUUGUAUCUCUGAGUCUGAAAGUCUUUAGACUUUGAUUUCCUCAUACCUCAAAAUGUUGAGUCUGGAACGGAUAGAUUCAAAUUGAUUUUUCUCCAAAGGCUUUGUGAAUAUAUUCGCUAGUUGGUUCUUUGAGUCAACAAAUUGAAUUGAAACAUCUCCAUUUUGAACAUGGUCUCUAAUAAAGUGAUGUCGAAUCUCUAUAUGCUUUGCUCUUGAGUGGAGAAUUGGAUUUUUGGUGAGGUUGAUAGCGCUGGUGUUGUCGCAAUUAAUCUCCGUGCAUGAGUCUUCAAUUUCAAAGUCUCUUAGCUGUUGUUUUAUCCAUAGAAUUUGCGAACAACAACUUCCAAGGGCUACAUACUCUGCUUCUGUUGUUGAAAGAGACACAGUGCUUUGUUUCCUUGAAAACCAAGACAUUGUCCUGCUUCCAAGCAACUGGCAAGUUCCCGAAGUGCUCUUUCUAUCAACUCUGCAACCAGCCAGAUCUGCGUCUGAAUAUCCCAGAAGAUUAAAGUCUCACUUCUUAGGAUACCAAAGACCGAUGCUUGAUGAUGAAGCAACGUAUUUAAUAAUACGUUUCACAGCACUGAGAUGGGAUUCUCUAGGAUCUGAUUGAAACCUAGCACAGAUGCAAACACUCAACAAAGUGUCAGGUCUAGAAGCAGUAAGAUAAAGAAGUGAACCAAUGAUGCUCCUGCACAGCUUUUGAUCAACUUUCUUCCCUUCUUCAUCUUUGUCUAUUCUUUCAAGUAUCUCGAAGGGUCCAACAAAUCUAGGGCUCAACUUGCCCUUCCUCUCAAAUCGUGAUAUUCCUUUCAUCUGGGAUACUUUAAGAAAUACGUGAUCUCCUACGUUAAAUUCCAAGGGUCCUCUAUGAUAUAACUAGUAUAAGUACCUAGAGGGGGGUGAAUAGGUAUAUAAAAGAUUUUUCUUCGAUAAUUGCACAAUACUAGAAAGUUGAUGGAUUUGAGACAAACGAUAAUCAAAGUAAGACUGAGAGAAGAGAAAAUUGAACACGCGGUUUAUAGUGGUUCGGCUUAUGUCAAGCCUAUGUCCACUAUUCUACACUAACAGCCUAUUGGCUGGAUUCCACUAUGAACAAAAGAGAAGUUACAGCACAGCUUUGCCUUGAUUCCAUAGUGUAGAUGUUCUACCACACCUCCUCAAGAUUUCUCACAAAUAUAGACUCUCUUUUGUAUACAAGUAUUCGCUCAAAGGAAUUGUCUAAACAAAAAGGAGCUUCAGACUUUGGAAUUCUUCUAUCGCGCACACCUCGACACUUAGAACGUCUUCCUUAUAUACUCUUUUAUGCCAUCAUACCCGUUGGNNNNNNNNNNNNNNNNNNNNNNNNNNNNNNNNNNNNNNNNNNNNNNNNNNNNNNNNNNNNNNNNNNNNNNNNNNNNNNNNNNNNNNNNNNNNNNNNNNNNCUUACCAAAUGAAUUCCUCCAAUCUACCCGUUGGACGGAAUCAAUUAGGAAGAUUAUCCGAGCUAUUAAAGGAACGUGUCGAUAGCCCAUCAAUCAUGUUCGCCAUACAAUCAGGAUCUCGGUUUCCAUAAGUAGAACAUUCCAAUAAUAUUUAGGCAAUCACCGGAUCUUCAAUUAUCGAGUCAAUCUUCGAUCAAUCAAAGGACUCCGUUAUGUCUUUUCCAGCCACGAGAUCUUCUCCAGUUGAUAAGGUUAAAUCCUUAACGAAACAUCCAGUUCUGGAUAACCUUUCUUCAACGGAUUAGAGACUGUCAAUGAGGAUAGACUUUGAGUCUUGAGUCUGGCUAUCCGGAGGUCUUCAGACUUUAAAUAGCAGAGUCUGCAAGCCUUCAGACUAGACCGAUGGAAACGUUUUGUUAGCUUCAAAACACUUCAAGAAGAUUUCUCCAACACUCUACAUUUAUUUGCGUAGCUUUUCUUUUACCCAUUUCGUUUCAAUAAACGGGAAUUCUAUGAGUUUAACCGUGCUUCCGCUGCACUACUUUGAUAAAAUUAUCCUAGAAACAUUGCCCAUUCCAGUAUGAUGCAUAGUUCGGUUCAUUCCUAUCCCCUUUUGCCAUCCUAGAAGCCUGCCAGGAGCCACUCCUUGCUCAAGUCCUCUGACUUAGGCGUCCACUCCUUGCCCUCAUCGGACUGAGUUGUUAUAGGCCCACCAGCUUUCGCUUGGUUCGAACCCGAACUACACAUCUAUUGAAGGGGUCUCGUUUCGAUAGAGACUAACUUAUAGAGAUAUUAUCCGCUUGGCCUAUCCCGCACUAAGCCUCAUGGUUUUAUUCUUGGCACAUGGGUAAGUAUUAUCGCAAGAGAUCAUCCAUCCUAGUCCGUUGCUUACGGAGCUAGUCCAUUCCCACGAUGAUGUCAAAGUCAUACAUAACUAUCACUAUGAAGUCCAUUUUUAGAUCUUGUCCCCUUAUGGUUAUCUUAUGCUUCUUACAUACUAAAGUGGACAACACCAUAUUCUUUAACGGUGUAGAAACACAAAGAGGAGUCUCAAGAGAUGUAGUUUCUAUCUUACUUAAUUGUCCAUACCUUUCAGACAUAAAAAAAAAUGCGUAGCAUUUGUAUCAAACAACACAUAUGCCUUUUUGCCAUUUAUAGAAAUCGUACUUGAGAUAACAUUUUUGGAAGCUUCCACUUCCUCUUGGGUGACCGCGUACACCCGUCCUUGUGUUGAUGGCCUCUGUGGAUUCCUUGGUGGAUGUGGUCCAGUUGCACGGUGCUACACUUGUCACAUCGAGCUGACAUUCGGCUACGACUCAUCUUGUGGACAAUUUCUCUUAAAAUGUCCUAUUUGCCCACAACCAUAACAUCUCAGUUGGCUAUUGCAAGGUCCUGGCCUAUGUUGUCCACCACACCUCUGACAAGUAUUACUUUGGUAGGGUACUUUCCCUAAAGUUGGGCCACUCUUGACUUUUCCAAAAUUCCCAAAGUUACUCUUUUUCUUAGAUUCCUAAGGCUGACCUUGAUCAAGAUAGGGUCUCUUAGCUCGUCAGACAUCACUAAAGGUCAAUUGCCUCCUACACUCUGAUUACUCUCUUGUUAAUUCCCACUCCACCAACUGUGCCAUUUCAUAAAUUUCAUUAUAAUCCCUCAUAUUCAGAGGCACUAGUUGUUUCCUAAUAUCAGUUCUUAGCCCCUUCAAGAAUCUCUUAGCCUUUUCCUCUCGAUCCUCAAUCAAUCUAGGAGCGUACCUAAACAAUUCAUAAAAUUUGGCUUCAUAUUGGUCUACCGUCAGCUCCCUUUGUUCUAAUUAAACAAAUUCUGUGAUUUUCAUCUUUGGCACAAUCAGAGAAAUGCUUUCUAUUGAAAGCUCUAACAAACUCAUCCUAAUUUAUGUUAGUACCAGGUGGAAAGAUCAUGUCUCUUGAAGCUCUCCACCAAAAUUUUGCAUUUCCCUCCAAUUAAUACUCUGCCAAAAUUAUCUUCUCAGCAUCAUUAUAGUUCAACAACCAGAAAAUCUUUUCUAUUCCCUCAAUCCAUUGUUCCGCCUCCUCAGGAUUUCCCAUUCCAGUAAACUUAGGUGGUUUCAACUUCAGGAAUUGUUCCACCAAUCCUUGAGUACGGUGUUCUGCUCCGAGUUGUUGCUAAGCUUGUCUUUCCAUCAAAUUUCCUAUAUUGGCCAAUGCCUGUAGGAUAUCUUCCAUAUGGGGUUUAGCCCUUGAAGCAGAGGCUUCGGCCCUUGGUGGGUGAGAACUCCUAGUUCGCACCAUAUCUUCCUGCAGUUUACCCAACAUUUGCCUUAGGAACAAUUAGUGAUCCAAUGUCACUAGUCAAGUAAUAAAAUAAAGGUGUUUCUAAAGUCACAUAAGUAACAUAAAAUGUUACUUGCACGCAAAGGUAACUCACAAUCGUUACCUGUAUUUUUACGAGUGAAAAUCAAUCACCCGUUGUUCAUAAUUAGUCAACUACCCUUGGUUAGUAUCUUAUAGUGUGCAUCAUUAUCUCCUCAUUUCCUAUUAAUGCACCUUAUCACUCCAAAUAAAACCAUAGCUCUGAUACUACUCGAGCUACCCCCCCCCCCCCCCAACGACCCCUGAUCUGUUAGGGCCACAUAUCACCAACUUUCUCUCAACCUAAAAGUCUGAUACUCUAAUACCAAAGGAUUUCGAUAAAUCCAUGAGUUUUGGGGGUCUAUAUCCUUUCCAUUGGUCCCUGCGCAAAAUAUGGCUAAAGCAUAUCCAAUAUCUCCCUUCCCUAUAUUUAGAAAACGAUGCACACCAACUAAACAUCUUUAUAGGUAAUUGCUAGACACUUUUAUUGACAUACAACUAGAUGGACAAUCGUUAGUCGAUACAUCAAAAUGCCGUAGUUUUCUAUACUCGGCCAUAAUUCAAAAGAUACCCAACAUUUCCAACAGUUACAAACAUAAAGUCCAUUGUUUAGUGUCAACCUCCAAAAAUUUCUUCCUCUACUAACCCCAUCUCAUGGUCACACCUAGCCACUCGGUCUGUUUGUUGGUGGCGGUGGCAGUGGCCCCACCGUUCGUCCAUACCAACAGACAAAGACGACGAUGUACUCCUAGAGUACAAGGCUGGUGGGAAGACCGGUAUUGAACAACAUAAUGACUCUCACCCCUACAAACAUCAGUCCUCGCACCUCAGGGUCCUAAUACUUCGACCGCUCCCACUAUAAGUCGAUGGGGAAUCCAUAGAAUGUACAGGGAGGUGCGGGCAGCAGAGGCAACUUGUCUAGUCUGAAAUAUUAGUCCCCAAAAAGGUGAGUACAAUCACCAGUAGCGAAAGAUCUACUAAACUAUAUCGUGUAGAACCAUCACAAUCUAAUUUCAUGCAAAAUUCAUAAAACACAUAACCAAAGGAAUGAGUAUGCAUCAAAUCAAUGGAAUUUUUCCAAGUGAUAACAAGUGCAGUUUCAAAACUAGAACACAUCAUUUCAAUCACAGGGUCCCGAUUAUACGACCAAAAUAUUAUAACACGUCCCAUUCCGUGCCACACAAUUUUGUUUCAUAAUCCGGCGCAACUUAGCAGUACUUUCAGUUUUAAAACUCAAAAGAUUUUUCUUCCGGAGGAUAAGUGUUUGCGUCCUUCCAGGCAUUCGCACCCAACUUAGCAUCACAAAAGCCUCCGGUUCCAUAUUUCAAUCACUGAGCAACCGGAGCGUGUCAUGUCUCACCUACAGGCAUCUUGCACCUCACCCAGCAUCACGAGGAAUCUCCAGGACUAACCACGGCAAUGGUUGCCCCUACCCUCCGAAAUAUGUAUCGUCAUACAUCUGGGCAUCUCGACACUCUCGGGGAACCUUUGGGGCUCACUGGUCCCCAGGCAUCCAGAGGCAUCGACCCCUACGAUCCUAUGGGCAACCCGACUCCUGGAGUAUUGUUGACCCGAGGGUCCAACAGCAAGAAUGACACAUCAAAUUAUUUCAAUACCAAAACAUUUUCAAAUCAUUGACAUCUGAAAUUCCUUGAAUUUUUUAUCGAAAUUUGAGUAUUGAAUGAUUUAUUGAAUGCCAAAACCAUCGUUUCUAGGUAAUAAACCAAGAUUCCUUCACCCUUGAGAUAAAUUUGAGAAAACUCGGAAUAAAGGCAACCAAAAUCAGAAUGUAUAGUUUCAGUAAUAAUUUUGGAAGAACCAAUAAAUGAACUCAGAAAAUUCUAAAUUUUUAGUAUGUUAUAAAUAAGACCUAAGGGAAAUAAUUUCAUGAAGGACACUAAGCCUAAUUAGUCAUGUACAGAGAGCAGUAAAUCACACAACUCCGCAGCAGAUUUCUUCCAUUGACCAGAAUUCACACUCCAGCAGAAAAAGCACCGAACACUAAAAUAAGGUCGGAAAAUCUGGCAAAAAUAUGUCCUAAUUUAAAUAAUUUCUCACAACUUCCAUCCAUGAAGAAGUCAGGACCAAAUUCAUACUAGAAAUCUCUGUAGAAAUUUACAAAGCUACAGAGUUGCACACGAAAUGUUCUGGGCAGUAUGUAUUCAGUAGAAACCCACGCCCACACCUUGGCUACCUUACUUCCAAAGUCCACCAUAAUCUGUUUUCGAUUGAAGUUCAAAGGAAUCCAAAAAACACAUAGAAAUCCCGAGCAUUUCCUCAAUCCCCUAAUCCCAGUCUACCUCAAUCAUUCAAAAAUUCAGUAUCCAACAUCCAAACUCAAAUAUUUUCAAAUCUAACUGCACUACAUCAGACAACAACAGCAUUGCAUUACAUAGGCUAGUAGACUUUCACUUGCCUUAAAUCCGACGGUGUUGACGGCGAGAAAUCGAGAAGCUCGCGGUCACAGACACGGUUGGCAACAGCAAGUGUGAGCGGGCGGCGUCGGCAGCGCGUGUGCACGGGCGGAGGGGGCAACCUCCUUUUCCUCUCACUCAUGCUCGCUGCUUUCUCUCUCACUCGCUGCUCUCUCUCUCUCUCUCUCUCUGCCCUAUUUUGCUCGGUUAUUCUCUCUCUUGCUCUCAUUUCCGAGCCAUUUUGUUCCUUCGUUGGUUUACUUCAUGGGUCAACAAAGGUAAAUUCUCGGUGGCUGCGGAAAGAACGGAUAGCUGCAUCUACCCGUGUCCAUGCGUAAGAGUCUCUUUUGACUUUGCUGGUGCUACCUUGCUUCCCCAUGCAAGGGACGUGUCCUUAGCAAAGCCACAUUCUCCCUUUUUGCUAUCCACCGAAGGAAGAGCUACAUGGCUCUUGGUCAACAAUCAUCUCCCAUAGUUGACCAGCUGCAUGGAAUCUCCACGAACGUGCAUGGAAGAUGGGUGACGUGAAUGCAUGGCCGGGGAAAUAGGGUCUUCGAGCAGCAUGGGCCGCAUGGGUCAAUUUCCUAUUUGUUUGCUGACCCGCACAAUGGAGAGACGUGCAUGGUCCUCAUGCAUGGCCAUGGAAUCCAUAGUUUUCAUGUCUUAAUGGAAGAAAGUAGAUGGACGUGGCUGCAUGGGCGUGAAAUGGAGUCUCUCGGCUCCUUCGCCUAGUGUACAUACUCAAUGGGUACAGCUAAAGUUCGAAUGAUAGGUAACUUGUUGACAUAUUAUUUGGAAUGAGCCUCAGUCUCGCUAGAACGUAAGAAAGAUUUUCGACGGGACUAUAAUUUAUUCUAUGAUCAGACCAUUACUAAACGUAACAUAUCGGUCCAACGAUGAUAAUGAAAUGGUGUCCACAAAUGGUACCAAUAACGUAGUCCGACGAUACUUUCGUCAAUCUAUCAUGGACUGUCACGUAUUCAAGGGUCAACAAAAAUCCAAAUGUCACAAUUGGCCACUAGUUGUUUUUAUCGUCUCAAUGAGAACUAUGACCCUGCACUAUCAUAAAUGAGUUUUGAUUCACUGAAAAUCAAAAAGGGGGGCGAACAGUGCGGGCGUGUUGGGAUUUCCAUCCCCGAGCAUCCGACUGUAAUGUUUCUCAAAAUUUCAACCAAAAACAAUUUAUAAACAUCGACAUUGAUCAAGAAACAUGAACAUCAUUACUCUGAUACCAAUGUAGGAAACGAAUUUCUAUAAAUCGAACUGAUACUCGAAUGAUCAAAUACUGAAAAAUGAAUGUGGAAACGAGCCUGGGAAACAUGUAAGAUUGAUCAAAAGUAUAUCACGGAGACAGAUAUACCUUGGUUGCUAUAGAUUAAGUACCAUCGCAGUCUCAGAGGAAUCAUUUGAAGCCUUGGAGUUCCGUUCUUUAAGAGGAAGUAUAUUGUUUCAAGAGGAAGAAAAAUGGAGAAGCGUAUUUUUUCUGCGUAUUUUUUCUUUGGAACACUACGGGUAAUGUUAUCCCAUUUUAUUUUUUAUUUUUUAUAUUGUAGUUAUUUUCACUUAGAAAAUAACUGUCCUUUCAUCUUAUGAGCCCUUCACUUACGGGCCAGAUUUUGACCCAACAUAAGCGAACGGGCUUAACUUGGUUCAUCAAAUAAAAAACCAUCCGAUGCUAAUUUAGUUUUGUUAGUGAAGUAGAGUUGAAAACAAGCUUAUCAAGCACUUUAUUAAGUUCGACUUGAGCUAAAAAAAGGACCUUUCGUGUUGAAUCAAGUAGAACUCACAAGCAGUUUAGAGGUCAAUCCCUCUCAAUUCGACUAUAUCCCUCUUUUAACUAGUUGCACAACUUGAUGCAAUAAAAAUUUUCAUGUCUAAUUCGUUACGUGCAGCUAUACAUUCUCUGAUUAUAAUUAAUUGUAGAAAAAAAUCAUUUUAUGAAGAGUAAGGAAUUGACUUAUCCCAUUUCCUUUUUCUCUUGGGGUUUAAUGUGGUUGGCAACACGGUGCUCUCGCGAGAUUUGUUGUACCCAAAAUCGAAGGAUGUGCUCGAGUUCUACGAUGCCAUGAACCGGGUCGCGGAGUGGGCCGGCAAGCCUAACGUAGCCGACUUCAUGCCGUGGUUGAAAUGGUGGGAUCCACAGGGGAUCAAGACAAGCAUGGCAAAGGACAUGGGUCGAGCCAUGAAGAUUGCGGAAGGCUUCAUGAAAGAGAGGUUGGAGGAGCGAAAGCUAAGGGGAGAGAUGAGGACGACGAAUGACUUCUUGGACGCGUUAUUGGAUUAUGAGGGCGAUGGAAAAGAAGAUCCUCACAAAAUCUCCUCCCAGAACGUCAACAUAAUCAUUCCGGUAAGUUUGCUCCUCCCUUGCACGUCCAACACGGCCUCACAGUUUUGAUUAUCGAUUACCAUCUUAGAGAUAUUAGGUCAAAUUCAGUUUAUUAAGUGGUGCAGUUAACUUAAUUGACAUUGAAACAAGAUCACAUCACACGUCAAGGACACGUUUUAGUAUUUAAUAUUAAAGUAAGGGUGGCGCUAUUGUCACCCCUCAUAUGAUUAAAUUCACUCACUUUGCACCAAAAAGACAAAAUUGCUCUUAAUCAUUCAAUUAGUAAUUUAAGGUGGUAGCUCAAACUUAUUUAUUUUCCUUCUUUUUCUUGUUUUUCUUCUUUUACGUAGGAUCUAUUUAUCAUAAUCUAGAUUUAACAUGUUUCAUUUUGGUUUAUUGUGGGUAUCCCAUGUAUAUGAAAGGCACUAAGUUUUCACUUUAUUAUUACAAUUUACUUAUGUAGACAUUAAUUUAUUCAUGAAGAAAAUUUUCCAAUAAAUCAAAUUCUUUUUAACGUUGUCUAACAAUUUAGUUGAUUAAUUGACUAGAAAAAUUUUAACACAUACACUUUCUUAACGCAAUAACUUAUUUAUAAACUUUAACAUUUGUUGUGCAUGUCACCAUUAAAUCAUUUAUUGUCAGUUUGCACACAUAUACGGAUAAUGGGAUGGUUGAUGAAAAAAAGAAGAAGAAAAAGCCCCUGUAAUUUUUUUUUGAAAUAAAUUCAUGAUCGCAUUCUCCAAUGUGAAACUUAAAAAGAUAAAAUGUAAUUAAAUCACAGUACUAAUUAAAUAAGAAAUUUUUUUUAUAAAAAUUCAAGUGAAGUCUCAUCAUAUUGGAAUAACAAAAAUUAAUAUCAUCCAUUAAGCUUAGUUUGGGAAAAUGACAUCCCAUUCUGGCAGGCAAUAAGAAAAUAACUCUUUCUAUAUCACCAAACAAAUGAAAACUAAACAUUUUCCUUGAAAAUACUUUUCCAAGAAAGUAUUUUCCUUCAUCAUGAAAUUUUUGGAGAAACAGCGGCACCCUAAAUGUGUAUCAUGGAGAUGGCCCAUCUGGGCUCUUAUCACAUCCUGCUAAGCUGUAAUUCGCAGUAGUAUCACUCGAAAAAGAAGAUCACGACUAGGAUUCUUCAGUCACUAAUACAACAAAAUUUAGACUUUAAAGACCGAAUCAGGAAGUGAUAAGAUUAAGGAACAUAUGGUGAUUGAUGAAUUAACUAAAACACGACAAUUUGGCAUCCUUGAAUUCAACAAUGAGAAAUUUCACGCAUCCGUUCAAAUAGCAAACCUUUGAUUUCAUUCAAUGAUAUCCACUCUAUACAAUGACCAUAGAGAGGAAGAGGAAAGAAAGCAAGAGACUGGGGUUACUGGCCUAGGAAAAAUACCAGAACAAAUAUUAAUUUCCGUUGUGACUGCACUAAUCACUUGCACAUAUUUUCUGGUCAAAGAAUAUGACAUGCGCAACUCAUAUUUUGACCAAAGCACACAUUAGUACAGCCAAAUGGGUACUUUCUAAAAUAGUUAAGACUAUUUCACCAUACUCUUUGCAAUGCACUAGAUCCACUACACAAAAUCAUAUAUAGAAGUGCAAGCAUGCAAAAGAACAAAAUGCAGAGUCACAGCCACUAGCCUCAAGCUUUAAGCUUGAUCAAACUACUUGAACCAAACUUCAGCAACGUAAACAUCUUCAUGCACAGAAAUGUAUAUUACUUUGCUUUUUAUUACACGGUGGCUCUCUCGAGCAAAUUGGGGAAAAAAUCAAUUUUAAGUUUUUGGAAAGAAGAGGACUGCUACCUGAAUUGAGAACUGUUGGAGAAAUCUUAGUGAAAGUGUUUUGAAGUUGACAAAACGUUUCCAUCAGUCUAGUCUGAAGGUCUGCAAACUCUGUUAGUUAAAGUCUGAAGACUUCCGAACAUCCAGACUCAAGACUCAAAGUCUAUCCUCAUUGACAGUCUCUAAUCCGUUGAAGAAAGGUUAUCUAGAACUGGAUAUUUUGUUCAGGAUUUAACCUUAUCAUCUGGAGAAGAUCUCGUGGCUGGAGAAGACGUAUCAGAAUCCUUUGAUUGAUCAAGUUUGAUUCAAUGAUUGAAGAUUCGAUGAUUGUCUAAAUAUUAUUGGAAGGUUCUACUUAUGGAAACCGAGAUCCUGAUUGUAUGGGCGAACAAGAUUGAUGGGCUAUCAACACGUUCCUUUAAUAGCUCGAACAAUCUUCCUAAUUGAUUCUGUCCAAUGGGUAGAUUGGAGGAAUUCCUUUGGUAAGUGCCAACGGGUAUAAUGGCAUAAAGGAGUAUAUAAGGAAGACGUUCUUAGUUGUUUGAGGGGUGCGCGAUAGAAUAAUUCCAAAGUCUGAAGCUCCUAUUUGUUUAGAUAAAUCCUUUGAGCGAAUACUUGUAUACAAAAGAGAGUCUAUAUUUGUGAGAGACCUUGAGGAGGUGUGGUAGAACAUCUACACUGUGGAAUCAAGGCAAAGCUAUGCUGUAACUUCUCUUUUGAUCAUAGUGAAAUCCAGCCGGUGGGCUGUCAGUGCGGAAGAGUGGACGUAGGCUUGGAAUAAGCCGAACCACUAUAAAUCCUGUGUUCAAUUUUCUCUUCCUCACUCUCUCUGCCUCGAUCGUAUUUCAUUUUGUUAAUUAAGAGAGAAUUUACUUUCUAUCAUAUGUUAAGAAUCGCUUCCGUAUAUCAAUAAAUUGUUUAGGCACCUAUUCACCCCCCUCUAGGUACUCAUACUAGCAAUAUCAAGAACUCCACAGGUGCUUUAACAGAAAAAUAGAUGCUCACCUGCAUUUAUGGAAGACACGGUAACAAAGAGAAAACAUAGUGGCUGUUUCUUAUGCCUCACAAUAUUGAACAGGAUAACCUACUAUUUGACUAAAAUUAGACAAGAGUUUUGAGCUGCUAAUUCUGUAAAGUUCUAUAUGAUUGUAAGAGAGAAUAAAAGGAAUAUUUAGAAGUCCCUUAUCUGCAAACAGCAGUAAAACUGAAGUGCCAGUCUUCUCAUAUAAUUGAAAACUACAAAUGGGCAGAUAAAGUCAGCUUUUCCAAAUUGAACAGCUGCCUAUUGAAUAAUAUGAUUCAGAUUCAUUCAGAGACAGCCCAUUCCAGUCUCACAUUGCCUCAUAGAAAGAAGAACAUGUAUAAGACAGACAUACCAAGCCAGGCAAUCUCUCAAAUUGAAAGUUCAACUAUUUAGUACAUGACGACCAUAAAAGAAUGAAAUAUACAUUUUGAAGAGGUAUUCAAAAAGCACACAUUACAUUUCUGCACCUCUCUCCGAAACUAAAGUCUUACAGGUACAGCAAACUAUUUGCAGCAGGAGAGCAACAAAGUCACUUUUCUACUGUAAGCCAAAAGGACUUUAGCAAGUUGUAGGAAAGAAACUUACAGAUUUAGGAUCAAUGGAUAUCCCAGACAAUGACGCCCCAGCAAUUCUAAAAGACACCUACAAUCAUGCAAACAGUAGCUCAUAACAGAAUUUCCCACAUCAGUUAUGAGAGAUAAAAAUGUGAAGCACUAGUUGAAAUGGGAAUGUAAAACCAAGCACUAGUAGUGCAUCAACAGUAAACCUAAUAAAACAUCUCGAGUAAUCCUCUCUAGAACAUUUGCUAUCUUGCAACCAAAUUGCUGAUGCCAAACUAUUUUGUAGCGUGCCGACUCUAAGACAUCUCUAACAAAGGUCCUCUAUGAUAAUUACCCACCUGACAUAUCAACCAACAGAAGACACAUGGGAUUGGCUGUAUAAGUAGUUCAUGAUGAAUGGGUUUCCUUUUCCAUUCACACUACGAACAAGUAUAGUUAGUUGAACAGUCCAGUACCAUCAAGAGUGCACCAACAUAGUUUCAAGUAGACAAACAAUACUAAGCUAAGAAAACCAUUUCAUGAAUACCUAUCCUGGGAAGAAUGACUAUGGUUUCUCUUGGCAGAAGAAAGACAACCAGUGAACUCCACUUUGUAAGAAAGGUACAGCUUUUGUCUAUACCCACAGAACCACAUACAUGAAGCCAUAAAUGCAUGAUGCAUCACAAGAAAAUAAACUAUGUACUAACACCCAAGUGAGCUCAGACAUUCAUACUUUAGCAUAAUUGUAUGCCUGUCAACAAAAUGGUUCCUCUAAAUCAACUGGAGGGAGAUCCUUGGUCAUUUUCCCCAUCAGAAAUUAUCAUAUUAUUGCUGUGUCAACAUCACUGUCUUCCUCUGCCAUGCUUCCGAAAAAUGAUUUUGUAAAAGGUAACCUUUGGAUUUGCCAUGGUGCAAACUUAACUGUCCCCGGGAAGGUAGCUUCAAUGCUUUUUCUAACAAGACCCCGUCCACUUACCAAAAGUUUCCACUCAACAGAAUGCUCUGUAGUUGAAAUAGUUCCGACUGAAGGAGUUCCAUCCACAGCAAUAAUCCUCCUAGGAAAAGGCAUUGUUAGAGUACAGAACUCCAUUGUCAAAGGACUUUACCAAAAAAGAAAAAAAAUCCAUUGCCAAAGGAGCCUUGUAACCUUCAAUCAAGCUUAGUCUGAACAAAAAUGCAUCUUCAUCUUCAAAAACCAUUGACAAUUGAUAGAAUCCCUUUAUGGGAAGUCCAAGCCCACAGGAUGCUUGAUAAUGCAUCAGGACAAAAUUACCUAACAGUGGUGAAAACAUCACUGACUGCUUAUCCGCCCCCGGUUCUGGAACUUGAGCAGAUGGAUGGAAUGAUAAAGAUUCAAUGUGGCUGCUAUUCAGUCCUGUCAAAGGAAGGGACACAUCAGGCAGUCCUUCUAAUUCUGCUCGACAAUUAACCUGACCUGAAACUGAAAUGCUGUCUGGAAUUUCAUCACGAUCAUACAACGCAGCAGCAACAGUUUCAUGAAUAGUAAAAAGUAUUUUCUGCUUCCCCUGGUAAAGAUAUGGCUUCCAUGCAGGCUGUUUGACAUCUGCAGGAGGCAGAUCUGCUGAAGAAAACCCAUUAAGCUUGAUGGAGAAAAUAUUGGAAGCAUUGAGUUCCAAAGGGGUACAUAUAUUUAAAGAAUAGAAACAAAUAAACCAUUAGUCUAUCCUAGAAAGAGGAAAAGCACAGGUCAGAAGAAAAAGGCGAUAAAAGCAGCUGCCAUAAGCGGGGUAAACAUCACUGACCAAAGGGCAUUGAGCUACUAAUAUAAGUCCUUAUUGCAUCCUUAUUCAAUGGCCUUGAACCAACUUUCAAAGCAUCUGAUGAGACAGCACCAACAGAAGUGUAAAUGAUUGUUCCUGGAGGCUAUCUACAUCAGACACAUCAGCAAAAAACAUGCAAAUGCAGUUUUGACAUAGGGAAUUAAUAGAAGUAUUCAAUAUGUGUAGAAAUAUAAGCAAAAAUACAAGUAAACUCAUCAAGCGAAACACCAAGAGGCUCUCAACUCGUUGUAGUGACAUCUUGACAAACCUCUUCUUUCUCUCUGCAAAUGAAGACACCAACCCUGAAUCAGACGGCAAAUACGGCGAUGCCAUGCCAUCAACACUGCCACCAUUGUGCUCAAUCUCACUUUUGCAAGCCGCCCGCCACUGUUUCGAACACAAAAACGAAAACCCACGAGAGAGAGCGACCUGGAGAAGACGACGGCGUCGUGGCUGUUGAGGAUCCAGAGAGCUCUGAUGCCGCAACCGGUGGGCAUGGUUUCGGUAGCCUUCUUCUACGACUGCGGUCAGCUUUCGCCGGAUCGGAAGAGAAAGGGAAAGAAACUUGGACGACGUUGAGAUUGAAACUUUGAUUGAAGAACGGUUAAAUGACAAGCCGUUGCGCUGAGCAGAGGGACUCGCGCGACUCGGUAGCUCUUUGUUGUUUUCACCAUUUUCUUUGGUUAAGGAUCUGAUCCGUUUCCCUUUGCUUGGCCAGGUGGUGUCUUGGUAAAUUUUCUCGCACCAGGGGUUAAAUAUAUCUUUUCGAUUUAGUCAAAAGACAAAUUAUCAAGGUCGGGAUUAGGAAAUUUUGGAAGAAUUACUCUUCUAUGGUACGGCCUAAAUAGUUAUUUUGAUGGAGAAUUAAACUUGAGAUUUCACGCUUUUUGAGACAUAACAUAUUGAUCGCUCUUAUGAUACAUAUUUAACUUUUUAAUUAAAUUCAUGAUUUAAAAGGCACGGGUGCAUCGCAUUGAAUAAGCCGAUUCAUUCAUGGGGCUUGAAUAUGACUUAGCUCGCCUUAUGAAAGUUUGCUCAAGCAAAUAAUGCUAAAGGCAUUUAAAUGCUCGAACAAUUAUCAGAAUGAGCGUCAUAAAUCGAGGGGUAAAAAAUAAAUAUCCAAAGGUUAAGUUAAGAGCAAUAACAAUUGAACAUUAGACGGGUAUGAAUCUAUGUAGUCAUGUUGCAAAUAAACUAAAGGGACAAAUGCAUGAAGUCCGACAAUGACCAAAGGAUGGGAGAUAACUACACAGAAUAAUCGAGGUACGAAAUAUGCUUGUGCCAUAUGAACAUAUUUUAUUUCCUUUAUGUGAUGCUUUUGUUUGUUUGACUUGAUCUCUCAAUAUAAUGAGAUGCAAGCAAGAGGAACUCUCUUCGUCGCUUGAACUUCGGCAUGCACGUCUAUUAGCAGUGGACCAUUAUGUGAAAAGUAUCUUACAAAAUUGGCCCGAUUGUUUGGGAUAUGAGGGGCUUAUCAGCUCAAAAAUUGUCACUAUCCAAAUCCUAUCAACUACAUGCAACUACUUUUAGUCAAGGCCACCUGCAUAGGCUAAAAGUCUAAGCUUUUAGGAUAUUUCAUGGGUCUUUAAGUAGCCGAGCUCUAUGCUUGUGUACCUGAAUUGUGAAAAAUGGUAUGCAGUCGCCCUAAACAAUGUUUUGAUAUGUCUGUAUCUAGUGGAGAGAACUACACUUUUAUCAUUUUGAUGGAUUACUGGUAAUGUAGAAGCUCCAAUCACAUGAUGAUGUAUAGUUAAAACUAGAAGUGAUAGGCCAAAAUAACAAGACUUCCUUAAGGAUUACUUAGGAGUACAUCUUGUGCAAGCUUUGGUCUUUUAGGGGGUGCCUGACAAACUACAAUUAUUAUUCCAAAAACAAUUUAACUAUUCUAGACUUGUUUUUCGAUAAAAUUAUUUCAUUUUUCUAUUUCUGAAAUAGAUUUUUAUUUCAGAAAUAGAUUUAGAAUAGAAAUUAGAAUUAAAAUUAGAAUCAAAAGUAUUUUUUUUUUUUACUUUUCUAUUUUUGGAACAGAAAUGAGAAAUAAAAAUUAUUUCUAUCGUUCAUCCUUCGUCCAUCCGUCGCCGCCGACCAUCGUUCGCUGGUUGCCGUCCAUGGCCACCGCCGUUCGCUAGUCAUCGGUUGCCGCCAUCCGGCGAUUGUCGCCGCCAUCCGACAAUUGCCACCGUCAUCCACCGGUAGCCUGCCGUUGGCCGCCAUCCCAAAGAAAGAAAUUUUGUGUUGUUAUCAAACAAAUUUCUAUUUUUAGAGUAUAAAUUUUGUGUUAUUAUCAAACAUAUAUUUUUGUUUAAAAACUCAUCUAAAAAUAGAAAUAAAAAAAUCUAUUUCUAUUUCAAAUAUCAAUUUCUGGCAAGAAUGGUUAUCAUUCGCAAAACCUUUUGUGUAUCUCAUUAUUCUUUUUUAGCUAAUACAAGGCAGUCAAAAUAUCGACAUAGUAUAUUUACAUAUUUUUUGUAGAUAUAAUAUACUAAUGAUUAUUUCAUAACAUGGAUUUAUUCUGAAAAUCCAUGUUUGAUUACUUGAUCCCAAUUAAAAUAAUUGUUUCUAUUACAGUAAAUUUUGAUUUGUUAGGCAACAUUUAGAAUGGGACGAAAAAAUAUACCCAGACAAUAAUAGAGCAACCAUAAUGGAAGACUAAUUGUAGAUUGAUCAGAGCUGGCCCCAAAUUCAUUCACACUUAUUUUUUUUUUUUUGGUAAGGUAAUUCAUUCACACUUUUAGGACCUUGAGCCUUCGCUAAUGCCCAAUUGGAGGAGAAAUUCUUGCUUUUAGGAUGGAUUUGCCUACGCCGGUUAUCACUUUUUUCCAGUAAUUAUCAUCAUAAAAUAUACAAAACUUAGUUAAAUAAAUUAAUGAGUCAUUUGAUAGACGCUAUAUAUAAGUUAGUGUUAGAUUAAGAAUUGACGUGAGUAGGGCAACCGCUUGUUACGAUGUGUAGGGCAACCGCUUGCUUCCUUUCCAACGGUAACUAUAAUUUUAUGCGGGAUUAAAGUAAUUAAAGCUACUGAAUAUCUUGACGAAGUAAUUACUCGCUGAAAGAAUAACCAAGGCAACCUGAAAACAGAUGCCUUUGUCGAAGUUAUAUCAAGUCCAAGCAGGCUAAACAACCAAACAAGCAAAUCCCUUCCUUUAAGCCGGGAUCGGAUGAUUUUUCAGAUUCUAUGUGAACACAAAGUUCAAGAAAUAUAGAUCUUGAAGGAACAACGUCGACAUCAAAUUUUCCUCACCUUGCAAAUACCUGCAUAUGGGGUACAAACAAGGAUAUGUCCCAAACUAUCAGCGAUUUGUCCAUGUUCCCCAAUAGAAUCAAUUAUCGAAGCCCAAUUUGAACGAAAUUAUACAUGUAAAUUCUGGGAAAAAGGGUCCACAUACCUACAGAAACAAAAAGUGGAAAAUUUCUAGUCAAGGUAUAGGAUUUGCUCGUAAUAUUCAAGCUGGUGAGUCAUGUGCGGGAUAUGAGCAAUCUUGUACUAGUCCUUGCCUGCAUCUUUUUCCCACCUCUCCUCCAAAUCUGGGCAAGCUGCAAUUUUUAGGUGACUAAGGGAUUCAAACCUUCGCAAUUUUUCAAGUAAUGAUGCCAAUGAGGGACAUUGGAUGAUUUCAAGCCAUUGAAGUGAUUAUAGGUCAGCAAUCAAGCUUCUCACAACCCUCUAAAUUGAGAUGCACAAGGUUUGAUAGAUGUCGCGUGCCGAGUGAGAGGGAAGUUAACUGAGGACAAUCAUAGAUAUAAAGAAUUUCAGGUGACAUGAGACUUUUCAAACACUUCUCAGGCAAACAUUCUAGAAACUGCAUCUCCAAGAUAGACAGAGCCUUCAACUUAUAAAGGCAAAAUAUAUGAUUUAUCAACUUUAUGUUGACUUUAAUAAGCAUUAAAUCCUCAAGCUGUGGAAUUAGUGGCAUGGCUUUCAAGUUUUCACAAUCACUAAUCUGUAAGCUCAGUAGACUAGGAAAUGAUGCUAUUAAAGUAGAUGAAUGGUUUGACUCAAUAUAUUCCGAUGCAGCCAGCCCAAAAAUCUUUAAUGACUUAAGGUGAGGUAGUUGGCCCAGUUAUGGGAGAUGUUUACAUCUUGCAUAGUCCUCCAAGCAAAUGUCAACUAAAUUUGGCAAGGAAAACACAAUGCUAUCACAACCCCUCACAACCCCUUUACUCAGAGGUUGAGUUGUGGGUUAUUUUGCGACAUCCCAGGCUUUGUCAUUGUCUCGAAUUCAUUUACUUCUUAUUUAUGCACAUGCGGAAAGUGUAAACAUACAAUCCCUGACACAAAUAACAUGGAAACAUGAGAUACAAACACCACUAACAUAUUUCAUAUAUUUAAUGAGUAGUGAUGAUUACAAGCCUAUCUUACAUACAAAAGUGGCUUGGGGUAUCCCUGUCUCUGCUACGACUGGUACUAACCAAAAUUGGGAACAUUUCUUCUAUUACAUAGGGCCGAUACACUUAACUUAGUCUGAAUCCUCGGGCGGUUCAUCCAUAUUUGUGGCAUCCUAGAAUUUCUUGUCAAUCCUUAGAGGUGCUUUAAUUCAUGUUUUGCAUUGAGAUUUUGGCCAAGCUUUUGAUGGGUAAUUAUUUGAUAGGAAAAUUCUAUUUUUGGCCAUGUGAUUUAUGGGUUGAAUUUAUUAAAUUAGGUCACAAAAUUUUGUGAAUUAUAAAUUUCAAUUAGGUGUUUAUAUAAUUAAGGUUUAAGGUGGAUUAUUAGGAUAAGGGUGGGCUGGACAUUUAAAGACCAAACCAGCCCAUAGCCCCACCCCUUUUUCGACCGGCCCACGAAGCCAAGGAGGAGGAGUUGCUGUGGACCAAGGCUGGCCCAAGCCCAGCCGGAUGAAGCCCAUCAUGUGCAUGGGAGAAUUGACAAGUGUUAUUCCCCUAAGUCCAAGCGUCUUGCAUGCAAUCAAAUGAUUGCUCAUCAUUGAAGGGAAGAAAAUAGGAGAACCGGCUUGAUGAUGAGGGGGGAGUGUCGACCGAGAAGGAGAGAGAGAGAGGGUUACCGAGAGAGAGAGAGAGAAAUUGAGAGAGAGGGAGAGUGAGCGUGCGGGAGAAGAAGGAAGGAAGCCGAUUGCCGCCGUUUGCUCAGUUUGGAGGCAAGUGGGAUCCCUUGAUCUACUCUUGCAUGCUGUGCUUAGUGUGUGUGAUUGAAUGGUAACAAUUUCGGAUGUAUAGAAUGUGAAAAAUUGAAGAUAUAAGAGUGGUGUUCUAGUCUAGUAUACUGUUCUUGAGAAAAACAACUCGACCUUGGAUGUUCUAGUGACUUGCAUGUAUGUUCUAGUUGAAUUUUGACUUUGACUUCUAAAUGAAAGUUGUAAAGGACUUCUUGGAGUAUAACAUAAUCAAAUUUGGGAAAAAAAACAAGUAUAAGUGGGUGAAAUUGUUAUAUUUUGGAAAGACUGGAUCUGGAAAUUUUGGUACUAGGAACAGGGGUUUUAACCGUCCAUAUUUAAUUACCUAGGACGAUGGUGUCUUGAUGAAGUAUCUACCUUAUGGUCUUAGCUAUCACAUAGUCAAAUUUUAUAAUUUUUGAAGGUCAUCUGGGUAUUUAAUCGGAAAUGUUUCUAAAACUGUGCAAUCUGAUGUGUUCGGACUUUGUAAGUUGCAAUGCGUGGACUAUAUCGUUUUGUAUGAGGUUCUUUUGGAAAUUUUUUAUGAAUAAAAUAUCUCUAUUCAUGUCUUCCCUACAACAUAUUCAAAUUUCGUAAUUUUUGAAGUUCAUUUGUCUAUUUAACCAAAAAUGUUUCAAAAACUGUGCAAGUUGAACUGUUAAAAUAGUAGUGCUGUGAUGCAUGGUCUAUACCGAGUUAUAUGGGGAUCUUUUGGUGUAGUGUUCUUCAUGAAAUAUCUGCCUUUAUGUCUUGACUAUCACAUGUCAAAUUUCAUAAUUUUUUAAGGUCAUUUGGGUAUUUAAUUAAAAUGUUUUCUAAAACUGUGCAAGCUGGAUUGUGCGAAUUUCAAAAGCUGUAAUGCAUGGACUAUUCUGUUUUGUAUGAAAUUCUGGUGGUGUUGUGUUCUUCAUGAGAUAAAUGCCUCUAGAGCUUGUCUAUGAUGUCUUAAAUUCUUAGAAAUUAUUAGGGCCAAUCACUAAAUUUUAAGAAGUGUAAAUUAAAAGAACCCAUUCCGUUUCUAAAAUAAUAGCAAUAAUCCAUGAGUUUGCCCCAUGAAUUAUAUUGUUUUUAAGUGAUUGAAUCUUGCUGCACAUGUGAUGAUAUUUGGCAUUACAUAUAAAAUAAAAAGCUGAAAUUGACCUUGUUGCCAUCACAUCAUGUGCCAUGUUGAUAUUGAGACACAAUUGUGAAUAUGAAUUAUGAUAAAUGAGGAUACCGUCGGAGGUGUGAGCCGACGAUACCCUGGGAGUGUCGGGAUGCCCGAAGGUGAGUGCCGGAUGCCUGGAGUGUUUGUGCCGGAUGUCCUCGGAAGUUUCGAGAUGCUCAGAGGUGUGUGCCGGAAGCCUCGGAGGUGUGUGCCGGGGGAUACCUCGUGAUGCCAGUCGGGGUACGAGAUGCCCGGAGGUGUGUGCCGGAGGUUCCUCGCGAUGCCAGGUUGGAUGCGAGCGAUAAAAUGUGGGAUGCAAUUACUGGUCCCGGGAAAAAAAAAGUGGUGACCCAAUUGAAAGAUAAAAAGCUAAAAUUGAAUCAUGCAUGGUAUGGUGACAUGUAUGCAUGGCUAUAUGAUGUAAUAUGUAUUAAGUGUAUGGUGGUAUGUGCACAUAAGGCAUGGAUAUGCAUGAAUGCUUGAUGAUGAGUGCAUGGUGGUAUGUGCACAUAAGGCAUGGAUAUGCAUGAAUACUUUAUGAUGAGUGCAUGGUUGUAUAUGCACAUAUGGCAUGACGGUAUAUGCAUGAAUGCUUGAUGAUGAGUGCAUGAUGGUAUAUGCACAUAUGGCAGGAUGACAUAUGCAUGGCUGCAAGGUAAGUUAUGCUUGGACGCAUGAAGGAUAUGUGCUUUGUUUAUGAUGUCAUGAUUGUUCUGUUUGAUGCAUUGAGUGGUUUAAUGGAUUUUUUACUUGUUGAGUGGUUGUACUCAUCCCUUUGGGGACCAACAUUUCAGAUUAGAAAGAUGCCUAUCCCGGUCACGCGGGGUACCUUUUACGGCCUUCCAUCUGACGUGGAGGUCGAGUGUAUGGAGCUUGAUUGUGUCACCAUCCCUGGUUUGACGUUCAUACGGGUUUGUGUGCUCGUGAUGUAUGAUGUGGGCCUAGCUGGGGGCCUGGUCAUCUAGGAGUUCUUGUCUGUACACGUCCGCCGUGACGGAGUGAUGCGGGGGAUGUUGCCGCCGCCACUGCCCGAUGCACCAGGGUGGGUGUGAUGGCCCGCGUGAGGAGUGGGAGCUGACACUUUUUGGGGAUAGCCGACACUUGUAGAUGGAGGGUUAUACGUGAUCGAUAUAGGGGGUCGAGAUCUCUUUUUGAGCUGUAGCCAAGUUUAGCUAAAAGUCUUGGCUUUUUGGUUGUACCGACCCGAGAUGUCCAUCAUGAAAAUAUAAAUAAGAGUGAAUUAGCAUUAUCUUUUCUUAUGGUGCGUAGUUGGUGUGCAUCGUUUUCUGAAUAUAGGGAAAGGAGUUGUUGGAUACGUUUCCACCAUAUUUCUACGCAGGGACCUAUGGAAAAAAAAAUGCCUAUGAACUACGGUUCUUCUUUAACCCCAAAACAAAGAUAUGUAACUGGUAUUCAUUAGGUGGAGCGAUAGGUAUCUGUGGUGGCCUUGCCAGAUCGGGGGUGCCACAAUAUCACUAAGAUUCAGGUUCAGGUUGUCAAACCCACGGAGAGAUCCUAUCCAUAUGUCCUCGCAUUUCCUAUAACAGGCUUCGAAAUGCAUUGAGACAAGCUCACCUAGGCCCUUUUCUAUACAUACAAUGGAUGACGCUUUACAACAAGUAAUAUUAGUUUUUACAUCUACCACGUCCGUAGUAGUGAUAUAUAUCUUUAUAGGGCAACCAAAAUGCACAGUAGCCACGAUUCUAAGUACUUGUAAAAGAAACAAGGGUGAGUACUUGGAAUACUCAGUAAGUAUAGCCUCUGGCCUUCGUAUAGAACAUCGAUUCAUCAUCAACACUAGUUAAUCAUUUCAUGCAAACCAUGGCGGAGGCAAAUCAAUUGCAAAGAUGCAACCAAGCUUCAAGCACAAAUGAAUGACAAUUCUUGCAAUCAUUCGUACAUAUGAUGCAUGCCUUGAGCUCAUGCACUCUAGCCUUUCUUUCAUGCUCAUACAUGCCAUGCUUAUUUGGCUUUUCUCUUGUGUUCGGAACUCGAACCCAAGUCUUCCCAGAGUCGUCUCGGGACUCGAACCCAAUUCAAUUCAGGCUUUUAAAUUGGGCUUCCUGGAGCCGUCUUGGGACUUGAAUCCAAUUCAAUUCGAGCUUUUUAACUGGGCUUCUGGCUUUUUGCCGGUUUUUGGGACUCAAAUCCAGUUAAUAUGCUAUGGACUCGAAUCCAAGUCUUAUGCUAGCCUUUGGGACUCAAACCCAAUUUUUGCCAGGAAUUCAGAGAUUCAAACCACAUUCUUAUAUUUUCUUAUCAUUACUCAAGCACGAAUCCCUUCUUGAGGAUGUACUCGAGCCCUAUGCAUGUGCCAUGAACUAUGCACUUUAUGCUCAAACAUGAUGCAAGUGUUAUGAAAUCAUGAAUUUUCUCAUAAACAACAUCACGAAUGAGCCUAAGCCCAAAGCCCCGCUUGAGUAACAAGCAUAAAGGAACCCCCACACCAAUUCAAGACAUGAAUUCGGUAAGCCUUAAUACCGAAUCACAUCUUAUGGUUAUGAGCGAACCUUGACUUAUAUCGAACAAAAGCUAUGAACCAUGACUUCAUUCUAAUCAUACAAGAAAUUCAAGUACAUGAACAAGUCAUAGAAUACAUCAAUCAUCCAAGAAUCAAUCGACCUACCCUCGGCUUGUUCGCAAGAUGAUUUCUUAAAGUCGAAGACGUCUCGAAUGUUACUAAAAGAAGGGAGAAACUACACUUACUUGGAUGAACCUUGAACUAAAGCUCAAACUACACAAGAUGGGCGGCUUGCUUUGAAGUCCGAAGGAGAGAGGGUGUGAGGAGGAGGAAGGAAGAGGAAAUGGGAGCAAGGUGGUGGAAAUGAGAAGGGGCACCUCAUAGUUAUAGCCCUUAGUGUCAUCAUUACUAAGCCAAGCGGUCCAUUCUAGUGAUCUCAAGUGUCCCGCCUAAUUUUCUUGGGUGGCAAGUCUACUUUACCUCAUGAUUACACCUAGAAGAUGAGUUGGCCAAGCUAAAGGCCUUGCUUGGCAAUCUAAACUCCGAGGCGUCAUCGAUUAUGGCCCGAUUUUCGCUCUUCCAUUAGUCCACCUAUAUGCCACAUUUAAUAGACAUUUAAUGAAGUUUGAUAAUAAUUGUACUAUAGUUGCCAACUCGGCAAUUCUAGAACAUUCAAUCAUUAAUGAUGGCUUGUAUGUCGUUCUCUAAUUGGUCCACUUAUGUGCUGCCUUUUUCUAUAAUCUUCAAAUAUAUUUUGGCCACCAUCAUGACUUUUGACUAUUCAAAGAACAACUCACCCCUUCAUUUAAUGAGGGGAUUCUAGAAUUUUCCUUACUUUUGUCUUUUUCUUCAUUAAUAAGGCGAUCUAGAGAAUUCUAUCAUCCAAGUUUGUUCCAGGGUCGAAGAAGGGAUCAUUAGGUAUACCUCGAAAAUCCAACUCACGUACACUCGAGAUUCGGCCAUCACGUCUCAUAUUCGCUUAAACCGUUCCUUUGGACGGUCGGUCGGCCAAUAGGGUCGGUUGUCCUUUGAUCACUUCAAGACCAAUUCUAAGGCUACCCAUGUCCUAACACUAAGCUAAGGCACUCAUGGACCUUAGAAUUAGUGAUGGAAUAGCCAAGUCCAUCCCUGGACUCAUUCCGGUCAGCAUCCGAUCCACCGGUAGGGUUCAUGAUCAGUGCAUUAUCGAUCCAUGAUCGGACAUCACCAAUUUGAGAUUCUGCUCCAAUCGCUAAGAAUUAAAUAGGGAAUGAUGCAUUUUUGGUCGAAAGAUAAUCGCAUUUGAUCAAUUUGGAUCGUCUAUGUAUUGGUGCAUAACCGAGCGGAAUCACCCGCAACCAGAAACUACAACCGGUUGAUCGACCCAUGACCACCUGCCAUCCAAAACCAUCUCGUGAUCAAUUCUCAUAUCAAAAGUUCAUCGUAUGAGCUGGUGAUCCUAUCUAAUUGGUAUGGUUGGUAGGAAAUUCACGGCCGACACCUUGAUCAAUUUGUGAUUGGUCGGUCGAUCGAUCGAUCGGUUAGUCAAACCAUGACCGAUCCAUGAUUCCUUGCUGAUUGAACCGAUCGAUCCAUGGCCAAUGGCCCAUGAUCGAUCGUUUUAGGAUCUUAUGGCCAAUCUUUAUGGGAUUGGAAUCGAGGAUGUUACAAUGCUCCCUCCCUUUAAAAAUUUCGUCCAUGAAAUUUCAUAACGUACUUGGGUACUCAAAAUAAGUAAGGGUACUUGUGCUUCAUAAUUUCUUCACUUUCCCAAGUAGCCUCUUCCUGUUCCAUGGUGUUUCCGUAGGACCUUAACUAAGGGAAUGGCCCUAUUUCUAAUUACUUGCUCACGUCUGUCCACGAUCCGCACUAGCUCCUCAACAUACGACCCUUGGUCGUCUACCUCGAUCUCUUCGAAGUUGAGCACAUGUGCCAGAUCUGGCUCAUACUUUCUUAACAUGGACACAUGGAAUACAUCGUGUACCUAAGCAAGUUUUUGUGGCAAUGCCAACUGAUAAACCAUAUUCCCUAUCCUUUUUAGGAUUUCAAAAGGUCCUAUGUACCAUGGACUCAACUUACCUUUCUCACCAAAACGAGACAUGCCUUUCAAUGGAGACACCUUGAGGAAUACAUGGUCUCCUACCUGAAAUUCUAAAGGCUUUCGUGUCUUAUCUACAUAACUCUUUUGCUUACUCUGGGUGGCUCUAAGUCUCUUUCCAAUUACUUACAUUGCCUUGUAGUAAGCUGCACCAACUCAGGACCAGUAAGCUUCUUUUCCCCGACCUCAUUCCAACAAAUUGGAGUUCUACAAGUUCGACCAUAUAAUGCUUCAAAUGGAGCCAUACCAAUGCUUUGCUGAUAACUGUUAUUAUAAGCAAAUUCAACGAGAUGCAAGUGCUCGUCCCAGCUUCCUUUAAAAUCAAUUACAUAAGCUCUCAGCAUAUCCUCUAAUGUCUGGAUAGUUCUUUCUGUCUAGCCAUCAGUUUGGGGAUGGAAAGCCGUAUUGUACUGCAGUAUUGUUCCCAAUGCAGCUUAAAGACUUUGCCAAAACAUUGUCGUGAAUUUAGGAUCUCGAUUAGAAGUGAUUGUCACUAGUACUCCAUGGAGACGUACUACUUGUCGUACAUACAAGUGCGCAUAAUCUUCCGAUGAUAAAUCCUUCUUUACCACUAGAAAAUGAGCCGACUUUGUCAAUCGGUCGACUAUUAUCCAAAUCAAGUCAUUUCCUCUUGGACUCCUUGGUAGUUCUAGAACAAAAUCCAUGGUAAUGUGUUCCCAUUUUCAUUUGGGAAUUCCAAGUGGUUGUAAUAAUCCACCAAGCUUGCAACGUUGAGCUUUCACUUGUUGACAUGAUAAGCACUUGGCAACAUGCUUAGCAACAUCCGCCUUCAUGCCAUUCCACCAGUAGUCUAGUACAUCUUCGUAUUACCAAGGUAGAUACUAUAAUUUCUUCGGUGCACUUCCGCCAAAAUUUCUUCCUUGAGCUUAUUGUCAUUGGGUACACACCAAUGUUCACAUAAUUUCAAGGUUCCGUCUUUCGCAAUGCGGAAAUCAUUUCCUUUCUUAUCCCUGGCUUAUUUCUGAAGCUUUUGAAUCUGCAGAUUGACUUGCUGUAAUGUUUUUAUCUUCUGCAUUAUUUCUUGCUCAAUUCUAAGUGUUGCUAGUAAGCUUGAAGUCAGAAUCUUGGACUUCUUCUAAGAGAUUCCAUUCUCGAGCCAUCAUUCGUGCAAGGCAUCCGCAACUCGAUUUGCUUUGCCAGGAUGGUAUAAUAUUUCACAAUCAUAGUCUUUCAGAAAUUCCAUCCAUCGCCUUUGCCGCAUAUUCAACUCCUUUUGGGAGAAUAAAUACUUCAAGCUUUGAUGAUCAGUGUAUAUUACGAACCUUUCUCCGUAGAGAUAAUGUCACCAUAUCUUCAAAGCGAAAAUAAUCGCAGCUAGCUCCAGGUCAUGAGUUGGGUAAUUCAACUCAUAGGGCUUCAAUUGCUUGGACGCAUAGGCCACCACUUUACCAUGCUGCAUUAACACACAACCAAGUCCCUUAUGCAAGGCAUCACUGUAUAUUUUAAAACCUCAUGAUCUAGACGAAAUUGUGAACACCGGAGCCGUUGUAAGUUUCCGUUUUAAUUCUUGAAAACUCCGUCCACAUUUAUCCGUCCACUCGAACUUCACAUCCUUCCUUAGUAAUCGAGUGAGGGGAGCAGCAAUGCUAGAGAAUCAUUCCACGAAUCUCCGAUAAUAUCCAACCAAACCACGGAAACUUGAAAUUUCGACAACCCUAGUUGGUCUUGGCCAAUUUAUUACUAUUUCCACCUUGGCAAGGUCUAUUGAUAUCCUUUCACCAGUCACCACAUGGCCCAGAAAUACCACGCUAUUUAACCAUAACUCGCACUCACUGAAUUUUGUGUAUAGUGCGUGUUCUCGAAGCGUUUGCAACACCAUUCUCGAGUGUUGCUCAUGUUUUGUCGUAUUCUUUGAAUAGAUCAGAAUGUCGUCAAUAAAUACUAUGACGAAGUGAUCCAAGUACAACUUGAAUACUUGGUUCAUGAGAUCCAUGAAAGCUGCUAGGGCAUUUGUCAAACCAUAUGGUAUAACGGAAAAUUCGUAAUGACCAUACCGAGUUCUGAAGGCCAUCUUCAGAAUAUCUUCUUUCUUGAUUCUCAACCGAUGAUAUCCUGAGCGUAAAUCAAUCUUAGAAAGUACCACCGCUCUUUGAAGUUGAUCGAACAAGUCAUCGAUAUGUGGCAAUGGAUACUUGUUCUUGACGGUAACUUAAUUCAACUGUUGAUAGUUGAUACAGAGACAUAACGACCCAUCUUUCUUCUUUACGAACAGGACUGGCGCACCCCAAGGUAAGGUACUAGGGCGUACAAAACCCUUAUCAAGUAACUCUUGUAAUUGCACCUUCAACUCCUUAAGCUCCACCAAAGACAUUCGGUAUGGUGCUUUAGAAAUAGGUUUCGUUCUCAGAACUAGCUCAAUAGUGAACUCUAUCUCCCUUUCAGGUGGUAAUCCCCGUAGCUCCUUUGGAAAUAUGUCAGGAAACUCCCGCACCACGGGGAUAUCAUCCAACUUUGGUUCUUCAACUAACUUAUUUUCUACGGUUGCUAAGUAACCUCGGCAACCCUUCUUAAGAAGUCGUACUGCUUUUGUUACAGAAAUCAGAGGCGUUGAGGGUCCUCCUCCAUUUCUGAUAAAUUGAUAGUCGAUUCCAUUUGGUGGACUAAACUUGAUUAUCUUGCCAUAGCAGUCCACUUUGGCUCGUUGUUUACGAAGCCAAUCCAUUCCAAUAAUAGCAUCGAAAUCACACAUAUCUAAUACGGCUAAAUCUAUUCUUCCCUCUUGUCCACUUAUGACAAUUCUACACUCCUUACAUUCCAUAGUGGACAACAUUUCAUGUCUCAUCGGGGUGGAUAUACUAAGAAUUAUCGUAAGGGGUUCGAGCUUCAAUCCUACCGUACACACAAAUCUCUCCGAUACAAAGGAAUGCGUUGCACCCGUAUCAAACAAGACAUAAGUCGGAUGAUUGUGUAAAGAGACCAUACCUGUGAUAACGGUCUUGGAGUUCUCUACUUCUCUUUGUGUCACUGCAUACACUUGUCCUUGAGCUAAAGGACAAUUAUGUUGCGUAGAACUCCAUUGGAUGUCAUCGGCUGUUGUUGUGAUGGCAGUAAAAUUUGUCGCCUUUGAGGGCAAUCCCUCAACAUAUGGCCGGGUUGGCCACAACCAUAACAUACUCCUUUUUCUAGCUAAACAAGGGGCAUUACCAUGCUGUUUUCCAUAGUUACAGCAUACUUCAGACAACACCACAUUCACUUUUUGCUUCUUACUCUUUUUAAACAUGUGCUUUCCUCCUAGCGCGAACCUUUUGCCUUGUCGUUGAUUAGGAUGGAAGGUCAAAUAAGAAGACCUCCCUUGGAAAUUUGAUGCCGCGACGCGUUCUUGUCAAUCCUUUUUCAACCAACUAAGCCCGUUCAUACAAUUCAUUAUAAUCUUUAAGAUUUAAGGGUACCAGCUAACUUCGAAUGUCAGGUUUGAGGCCAUAUUUGAAUCUUUAGCUCGAUCAAUUGGGUUCUCAAUCAAUCGAGAAGCAUACUUUGAUAAUUCGGUAAAUUUGGCCUCACGCUAAUCCACUAUCAUGUUUCACUAGUGCAAGUGCAAAAAUUCGGCCAUCUUUCUAUCUCGAGCACUUUCAGAAAAAUACUUGUUGUUAAAGGCCGGCACAAAGGCAUCCCAAGUCAUAGGAGCACCUUUAGGAAAUAUUAUCCUCUUAGUGGCUCUCCAUCAAUGACUGGCAUUACCCUGUAAUCGAUACACUACCAAGGUCACUUAUCCUCAUUAGAACACCUUAAAAGAUCAAAGAUUUUCUUGAGCUCUUCAAUCCAAGACUCAGCCUCAUCAAUGUUUCCGGUUCCAGCAAACUUUGGAGGCUUUAAUUUUAGGAACUGUUCGACCAAUCCACUCUUUGGACGGUCUCCAAAUUCAUCUCCAUUUGAGGUGUUAGUGGAAACAGAGGCUUGCUGCUAUUGAACUUGCUAUUCCAUCAAGCUCCCAACAUUAGUCAGAACUUGCAGAAUUCCAUCAAGUCGGGGGUCCUACCUUGAUUUUCCUUUCAAAGCAUUUGGGUCUUGAGCUGAUUUUCCAUGGGUAGUCACUGGGUCUUGGGAACUCAUACUAGUUACUAAGGAAUACGGCUAUAGAGUUCUAGAGGAUUUAUCUACAAUACAAUCAAAAUCAAUAACUUUCAUAAAAAAGAAAAAAGAAAAAAAAAGAACAUCAAGCAAACAAUCAUAUAUCAUGCAUGUGAUCUUCCUAAUUUUUUAUCCCACGCUUCCCAGCGCACCUUAUGACUCCUGGUAAUAACCCCUACUCUGAUACCACAACCUGUCACAACCCCCUUUACUCAGAGGUUGAGCUGCAGGUUAUUUUGCAACAUACCAGGCUUUGUCGCCAUCCUGAAUUCAUUUGCUUCUUAUUUAUGCACAUGUGGAAAGCGUAAACAUACAAUCCCCAAUGCAAAUAACAUGGAAACAUGAGAUACAAACACAAAACACAACUAACAUAUUUCAUAUAUUACAUGAAUAGUGAUGAUUAUAAGCCUAUCUUACAUACAAAAGUAGCUUUGGGUAUCCUUGUCUCUGCUACGGUGAGUUCUAACCAAAAUUGGGAACCCUUCUUCUAUUACAUAGGGCUAGUACGCUUAACUUAGUCCGAAUCCUCGGAUGGUUCAUUCAUAUCACUGAGAUUCGGGUUCAGGUUGUUAAACUCGCGGAGAUUUCCUAUCCAUAUGUCCUCGUAUUUCCUAUACUAGGCUUCGAAAUGCAUUGGGACAAGCUCACCCAGCCCCUUCUCUAUCCAUACAACGGAUGACACUUUGUAAUAAGUAAUAUCAGUUUUUAUAUCUACCACGUCCGUAGUAGUGGUAUAUAUCUUUAUAAGGCAACCAAAAUACGUAGUAGCCAUGAUUCUAAGUACUUGUAAAAGAAACAGGGGUGAGUACUUGGAAUACUCAGUAAGUAUAGCCUCUGGCCUUCGUAUAGAACAUCGAUUCAUCAUCAACACUAAUCAAUCAUUUCAUGCAAACCAUGACGGAGGCAAAUCAACUACAAAGAUGCAACCAUGCUUCAAGCACAAAUGAAUGACAAUUCUUGCAAUCAUUCGUGCAUAUGAUGCAUGCCCUGAGCUCAUGCACUCUAGCCUUUCUUUCUUGCUCAUGCAUGCCAUGCUUAUUUAGCUUUUCUCUUAUGCUCCCAAGUCUUCCCGAAGCCGUCUUAGGACUUGAACCCAAUACAAUUCGGGCUUUUUAACCGGGCUUCUGGCUUUUUGCGGGCUUCUGGGACUCAAUCCUAGUUAAUAUGCUCGGGACUUGAACCCAAGUCUUAUGCUAGCCUCUGGGACUCGAACCCAGUUCUUGCUAUGAAUUCAGGGAUUCAAACCCCAUUCUUAUCUUUUCUUAUGUUUGCUCAAGCACGAAUCCCUUCUUGAGGAUGUACUAAAGUCUUAUGCACAUGCCAUGAACUAUGUACUUUAUGCUCAAACAUGAUGUACGUACCAUGAAAUCAUGAAUUUUCUCAUCAACAAUAUCACGAAUGAGCCUAAGCCCAAAGCCUUAUUUGAGUAACAAGUAUAAAGAAACCCCGCACCAAUCCAAGACAUGAAUUUAGUACGCCUCAAUACCGAAUCACAUCUUAUAGCUAUGGGCGAACCUCAACUUGUACUAAACAAAAGCAAUGAACCAUGACUUCAUUCUAGUCACACAAGGAAUUCAAGAACAUGAACAAGUUAUAGAAUAUAUCAAACAUUCAAUAGUCAAUUGACCUACCCUCGGCUUGUUCAAGAGAUGAUUUCCUAGAGUUGAAGACGUUCCGAAUGUUACUAAAAGAAGGGAGAAACUACACUUUCCUGGAUGAAUCUCGAACUACACAAGAUGGGCGGCUUGCUUUGAUGACCGAAAGAGUGAGAGAGUGGGCGUGAGAGGAGGGGCGACUAAGGAGGAGGAAGAAGGAGGAAAUGGGAGCAAGGUGAGGAAAUGAGAAGAGACUCCUCCUAUUUAUAGCCCUUGGUAUCAUCAUUACUAAGCCAAGUAGUUCAUUCCAAUGUUUUCAAGUGUCCCACCUAAAUUCUUUAGGUGGCAAGUCUACCUUGCCUCAUGAUUACACCUAGAAGAUGAGUUGGCUAAGCUGAAGGCCUUGCUUGGCAAUUCAAGCUCCUAGGCGUCAUCGAUUAUGGCCUACUUUUCGCUCUUCCAUUGGUUCGCCUAUAUGCCGCAUUUAAUGGACAUUUAAUGAAGCUUGACAAUAAUUGCACUAUAGUUGCCAACUCGGCAAUUCUAGAACAUUCAAUUAUUAAUGAAGGCUUGUGUGUCACUCUCUAAUUGGUCCACUUAUGUGCCACCCUUUUUAGAAUCUUCAAAGAUAUUUUGGCCACCAUCAUGACUUUUGAUUAUUCAAAGAAAAACUCACCCCUUCAUUUAAUGAGGGGCUUCUAGAAUUUUCCUUACUUUUGUGUUUUUCUUCAUUAAUAAGGCAGUCUAGAGAAUUCUAUCAUCAAAGUUGGUUCUGGGACUGGAGAAAUGAUUAUUAGGUACACCUCAAAAAAUCAAAUCACAUACACCCGAGGUUUGGCCAUCACGACUCAUACUCGCCCAAACCGUUCCUUUGGACGGUCAGUCAGCUAAUAGGGUCGGUUGUUCUUUGAUCGGUUCGAGACUAAUUCUAAGGCUACUCAUGGCCUAGCACUAAGCCAAGAAACAUAUGGACCUUAGAAUUGGUGAUGGAAUACCCGGGUCUAUCCUUGGGCUCAUUUCGGUUGGCACCCGAUCACCAGUAGGGCUCAUGGUCGGUGCAUUACCGAUCCAUGAUCGAACAUCACCAAUUCAAGAUUUUGUUCAGAUCACUAAGAAUUAAAUAGGGAAUGAUGCAUUUUUGGUUAGAAGAUGAUCACAUUUGAUCAAUUUGGAUCAUUCGUGUAUAAGUGCAUAAUUGAGCGGAAUCACUCGCGACCAGAAACUAAACUGGUCCGAUCAACCCAUGACCAUCCGUCAAUCCAAAAUCAUCCCGUGACCAAUUCUCGUGAUCAAAAGGUCAUCUUAUGAGCUGGUGAUCCUAUCCAAUCAAUAUGGUCGAUAGAAAUUCACGGCCGACACUUCGACCAAUUCAUGACUGGUCAAUCGGUCGGUCAAUCAGUUAGUCGGACCAUGACCGAUCCCUAAUUCCUUGCCAAUCGAACUGAUCGAUCCAUGGCCGAUGUGUGGUAUCCGGAAAUUUUGACGACCCUCGAAUAUGUGACGGUCCUUGACUGAGCGACGGAAGUAUCGUCGGAUGAUGUUAUCGACACCACAACGGACAUCAUUUUGUUAUCGUCAUCGGACCAAUGUGCCUUGUUUAGUAAUGGUCCGAUCAUCGAAUAAAUCAUAGUCUUAUUGGAAACCUUUCAUAUGUUCAAGCGAGACCAAGACUCGUUCCAAAUGAUUCUUGACCCUGCCAACUCGGGUAUGCCAAUGAAAAAACACCCAAGGAUCGGCCAUCGGGAGCUGCCCAUUUUCUCAUGUGCAUGAGAAAUAGGAAACCUCGAAUACUUCAUGCAUGUUUAUAUUUUUCUAUAGGCAGCUAACAAAAGGAAGAUUGGAUCACGCAUGGGGGCUGUUUUCUCAUCCAAGCUGCCCUACGAAUUUGUGUUUAUUGACUAAAGAAGUCAAUUAACUUAAGAGAACGUCCAAAAGCGUGCAUGCGGACGUGAGGAAUCGUAACCACCGAAGGACAGCUCCAUAUUGCUUUUCUUUUAUAUGGCCGGUCAAUUAUGGAAGAGGAUUAUUGAUUAAACGCCAGGUUGCUCUUCUUUCGGUGGACAACAAAAAGGGAGGAUGUGGCUUUGCGGAAGACACGCCCUGCAUGAAGAGUCGAGUUGGCUCGGCAAGGAGAGGGACUCGCAUGCAGGAGGCCACGUACACCCCAGCUGUCUUCGGUUCCUGCACCCACCGAAAGAAGCCCCAUGCAGUUGACUAAAUUGUCAACAAAGUGAGGAACAAAACCCUCGUACACAGAGGGGAAGAGAGAGAAGGAACCGAAUGAAACUUGGGCAAAGAGAGAAACCGAGAGUGAGCGGGUGAGGGAGUGAGAGAGAGAGAGAGUUUGGGCGAGAGUGAGCAGCGAGUGGGUGAACGGCGAAGAGGAAGAAGGGACCGCCUUCUGCCGUGCUCAAGCUGCCGCUGUCGAUGCCGCUAGUCUCCGCGCCGUUGAGCCAAGCCCGAGAUCCACGAGCCCCUGUUUUUGGCCAGCAAUCAAGUAGAGAGGUUUAAAGGCAAGUAGAAGUUCUUCAAUCUAUGUUUUGCUUGCUGUUUUAUCUACCUAAGAGUUGGUAGAUGUGAGAAAAUGUGGAAUUUGGAGUUGCAUGUCGAUUUGUGAUGAAGGAGAUGAAGCUGGACUAAGAAACCGAGCAAAAACAGAGCAUGCAUUGUGGAUUUCGAAUUUGAGAUGGAACAAGAAUUUAAAAAUCUGACUAUGGAGGGUUUUUGGAAGUGAUAAGGCUGUGUUACAGUGUAAUACACUUGUAUCUAUUUGACUGUGGAUGUUGGAGGUCGAAAUUUAAGGAGUAGGAGAAACUCUCAUUAGGUUAAUGGACUGUUUUGUGGAGAACAGUGUGACCCUCGGUGACCUUUUGAUUUUUCUGUAAUUAUCUAGCCACAAUUUGAUUUCGAGUUCUUGAUGAAAGUUUUAGGGAAUAUCCUCAUGAAAAACAUAUAAAAAAUUCAGAGAAAAAUAACAAGGUAUGACCAUCGAAAUAAUUUUCCUAUGAAAAUAUCAAAUCUGAAAUUUUUACAGAAUGAUGGUUAAGAAGAAAAUAGAGAUUUUACCCUCGUUACAUAAGGAAUAUGACCUAGUGGAAUUCUUGAGAUUUGUUCCUCUAGGUUUCAUGGAUAACGUGUCAAAAUUUCAUAAUUUUCUGAGCCCGUUUAGUAAUUAAUUCGGAAUUGUUACCAGAACUGCGCAAUUGUAGAAAUUAAGCUGCUAUUUCGAGAUUUCCACAGAAAUUGUCCUAUAAGAAGUAUGGUUUUCGAAUUGCUAUGUGACUCGGUGAUGCUGAUGGUGGGAUAUUGUGAUUGAUAAAAGGUUCAUGAGAUAUCUUGUUUGACACAUGAUGAUGCAUUUGUGAAUUAAAAUGCGAUUUGUUUGAUAAAAGGUUCAUGAGAUAUCUUGUUUGAUAUAUAUGAUGCAUUGGUGAAUUAAAAUGCGAUUUUUUACCCAUCGAACCCUCGAGGUUCCUCGUGAUGCCAGGUGGGGUACGAGAUGCCUGGAGGCGUGAUUCGCUCCAGAUGCCCGGUGGCCCUAAGUGGUUGAAUGCCGGAGGCUUUCGCGAUGCCUGGAGGGAUGCGAAUGCCGGAGGGACGCAAGCACUGAUCCUCCGGGAAUGAAACCCUUUUGAAUGAUAAAUUGAAUGAUUCUACUAUAAAUGUGUGGGGUCUGGAUAUAAGACCGAGUGUAUGGCAUGGAACGGAACAUGAUAUUUUAGUUUGGCCCUAUGAUUGAAAUUUGUCUAUCUUGGAUAUGUUAUCAUCACAUGGAAGGAUUUUAUGAUUUUGGUGCAUACCUAUCCUCUAUUUCUUGUCUUGUCUACUAUACUUGAAUCUGGAUAUUAAUAGUAAUGCUUGAUAUAGCUUGAUGAAUCUUUUAUUGCCGAGUGGUUGUACUCACCCCGUUUGGGGACUAACAUUUCAGACUAAGUCAAGAUACCUUUGCUACCACCGCCACCAGUAGAUGGACCGAGUGAUUGAAUAUGACCAUGAGGAGGAGGACAGCAGAGGAAGGAACUUUUGGAUGCCAACACUGAUCGAUAAACUUUAAGUAUACGACUGUUGGAAAAGAUGUUGGUCUUCUUUUGAAGUAUAGCCAAGUAUAGAAGAUUAUGGCAUUUUGGUGUACCAACUAAAGAUGUCCAUCUAGUUUUAUGUGAAUAAAAGUGUUCGGCUUAUUACUUAUAAAUGUGUUUAGUUGGUGUGUAUCGCUUUAAUUUAUGAAAGGGGAGUUGAUGGAUGUGCGUCCGUUAUAUAUAUACUGUGCAGGGACCGAUUGAGUGAUAUAAACCCCUAGGACUUAUGGACCCACUAUAAUUUUAUGGUAUCAUAGUGACAUAUUAUCAAGACAACUGAAAGGAAAUCGAACUGUGGCGACCCUGACGGAUCGGGGGCCGUUCGGGAGGUGCCACACGAUGGCCCAUGAUUGAUCCUUUUAGGACCUUAUGACCGAUCCUUAUGAGGUUGGAAUCAAGGAUGUUAUAGGUACACGAUGUAUUCCAUGUGUUUAUGUUGAGAAAGUAUGAGCCAAACCGGCACAUGUGCUCAACUUUUAAGAGAUUGAGGUAAAUGACCAAGGGUCGUAUAUUGAGGAGCCAAUGUGGAUCGUGGAUAAACAUGAACAAGUAAUCAGAAACAAUGCCAUUCCCUUAGUCAAGGUCCUAUGGAAACACCAUGGAACAGAAGAGGCUACUUGGGAAAGUGAAGAAAUUAUGAAGUGCAAGUACCCUCACUUAUUUUGAGUACCUAGGUACGUUAUGAAAUUUCGGGGAAGAAAUUUUAAAGUGGGGAGAAAUAUAACAUCCUUGAUUCCGACCCCGUAAGGAUCAGCCAUAAGGUGCUAAAAGGAUCGAUCAGAGGCCAUUGGCCAUGGAUCGAUUGGUUCGAUUGGCAAGGAAUCAUAGAUCGAUCAUGUUUCGAUUGAUCGACUGACUGAUCGACCAGUCCUGAAUUGGUCAAGGCAUCGACAGUGAAUUUCUACUAAUCAUAUCGAUGGGAUAGGAUCACCAGCUCAUAAGAUAACUUUUUUAUCACGAGAAUUGGUAAUGGGAUGAUUUUGGAUUGGUGGAUGGUCAUGGGUCGAUCCGACCAAUCAUAGUUUCUGAUCGCGGGUGAUUACGCCUGGUUAUGCAUUGAUACACGGACAAUCCGAAUUGAUCAAAUGUGACUGUCUUCCAACCAAAAAUGCAUCAUUCCCUAUUUAAUUCUUAGUGAUUGAAAUAGAAUCUCGAAUUGGUGAUGUUCGAUCAUGGAUCAAUAAUGCAUCGACCAUGAGCUCUAUCAGUGGAUCAAGUGCCGAUCGGAAUGAGCCUAGGGAUAGACCCAACUAUUUUGUCACUAAUUUUAAGGUCCAUGAGUGCCUUGGCUUUGUGCUAGACCUUAGGUAGCCUUAGGACUGGUCUCAAACCGAUCAAAGGACAACUAAUCCUAUUUGUCAACCGACCAUCCAAAGGAACGGUUUGGGUGAAUAUGGGGUGUGACGGCAGAACCUCAGGUGUACGUGAUUCAAUUUUUUGAGGUGUACCUAAUGAUCCAUUCUUCGGUCUCGGAACCAGCUUGGAUGAUAGAAUUCUCUAGACUGCCUUAUUAAUGAAGAAAAAGACAAAGGUAAGGAAAAUUCUAGAACCCCCUCAUUAAAUGAAGGGGUGAGUUGUUCUUUGAAUAGUCAAAAGUCAUGAUGGUGGCAAAAAUAUCUUUGAAGAUUCCAGAAAAAGGCAGCACAUAAGUGGACCAAUUAGAGAGCGACAUACAAGCUCUCAUUAAUGAUCGAAUGUUCUAGAAUUGCUGAGUUGGCAACUAUAGUACAAUUAUUUUCAAACUUCAUUAAAUGUCUAUUAAAUGUGACAUAUAGGUGGACCAAUGGAAGAGCGAAAAGCAGGCCAUAAUCGAUGACACAUAGGAGCUUAGAUUGCCAAGUAAGGCCUUUAGCUUGGCCAACUCAUUUUCUAGGUGUAAUCAUGAGGCAAAGUAGACUUGCUACCCAAAGAAUUUAGGCAGGACACUUGGAAACAUUGGAAUGGACCGCUUGGCUUAGAAAUGAUGACACCAAGGGUUAUAAAUAGGAGGAGCCCUUCUCAUUUCCUCACCUUGCUCCCAUUUCCUCCUCCCUCCUCCUCCUUAGUCGCCCUCCUCCUCACACCCUCUCUCUCUCUCCUUCGGCCUUCAAGCAAGCCGCCCAUCUUGUGUAGUUCAAGCCUUAGUUCGAGGUUCAUCCAAGUAAGUGUAGUUUCUCCCUUCUUUUAGUAAUGUUUGAGAUGUCUUUGACUCUAGAAAAUCCUCUUGUGAACAAGUCGAGGGUAGGUUGAUUGAUUCUUGGAUGUUUGACAUAUUCUAUGAUUUGUUCAUAUACUUGAAUUUCUUGUAUGACUAGAACGAAGUCGCGGUUCAUAACUUUCGAGCGGUACAAGUCGAGGUUCACCCAUAGCCAUAAAUGUGAUUUGGUAUUGAGGCAUACCGAAUUCAUGUCUUGGAUUGAUGCGGGGUUCCUUUAUGCUUGCUACUUGAGUGGAGCUUUGGGCUUAGGCUUGUUCGUGAUGUUAUUGAUGAGGGAAUUCAUGAUUUUAUAGCACACACAUCAUGUUUGAACAUAAAGUGCAUAGUUCAUGGCAUGUGCAUAAGACUUGAGUACACCCUCAAGAAGGGGUUUGUGCUCGAGCAAAGAUAAGAAGAGAUAAGAAUGGGGUUUAAGUCCCUGAAUUCCUAGCAAGAACUGGGUUCGAGUCCCAAAGGCUAGCAUAAGACUUGGGUUCGAGUCUUGAGCAUAUUAAUUGGGUUUGAGUCACAGAAGCCGGCAAAAAGCCAGAAGCUCGAUUAAAAAGUCCGAAUUGAAUUGGGUUCGAGUCCCAAGACGACUUUGGGAAGACUUGGGUUUGAGUCUCGAGCACAAGAGAAAGGCUUAAUAAGCAUGGCAUGCAUGAGCAAGAAAGAAAUGCUAGAGUUCAUAAGUUCAGGGCAUGCAUUAUAUGCACAAAUGAUUGCAAGAAUUGUCAUUCACUUGUGCUUGAAGCUUGGUUGCAUCUUGCAAUUGAUUUUCCUUCGCCAUGGUUUGCAGGAAAUGAUUGACUAGUGUUGAUGAUGAAUCGAUGUUCUAUUCAAAGGCCGGAAGCUAUACUUACUGAUUAUUUUAAGUACUCACCCCUGUUUCUUUUAUAGGUACUUAGAACCAUGGUUACUGUGCAUUUUGGUUGCCCUGUAAAGAUAGAUACUACUAUGACGGACGUGAUAGAUGUAGAAACUAAUAUUACUUAUUGUAAAGUGUCAUUCAUUGUAUGGAUAGAAAAGGACUUGGGUGAGCUUGUCCCAAUGCAUUUUGAAGUUUGGUAUAGGAAAUAUGAGGACAUAUGGAUAGGACUCUGCGGGUUUGACAACCCAACCUCGAAUCUUAGUGAUAUGGAUGAACUAUCCGAGGCUUCAGACUAAGUUUAGGUGUAUCGGCUCUAGGUAAAAGAAGAAGGGUUCCUACUUUUGGUUAGUACCUAUCAUAGCAAAGACAGGGAUACCCCAAGCCACUUUUGUACAUAAGAAAGGCUUGUAAUCAUCACUACUCAUAUAAUAUAUGAAAUAUGUUAGUGGUGUUUGUAUCUCACGUUUCCAUGUUAUUUGUGUUGGGAAUUGUAUGUUUACGCUUCCCACAUGUGCAUAAAUAAGAAGCAAAUGAAUUCAGGACGGCGACAAAGCUUGGGAUGUCGCAAAAUAACUUGCAGUUCAACCUCUGAGUAAAGGGGGUUGUGACAUUAGUGGUACGGAUUGACAUAGGUGCACCGAAGUAGAUCUCUCAUCAAUUUGUUGCCUAGUACACCAACAUUGAUGGGGAGUUGGUUGGAUCACUUAGGAACUUCGAUGGUCCUCCCAGUUUCGACAACAAUAGCAUGCCAAUUGGCAAAUUUGUCGAUCUGUAGUAUAGUAGCAUGGAUGUGACCUGACCUUCUUCUGAAAGUUAUUGUGUUGUAUUAUGCUUAUUAUUAGUACUUGUACUAAUACUUGGAAAAGGUUUAUGAAAGGAAAAUUUGUCUUUGUGAAUCAUUCAACUCAUGAGAUUUCUUGUAGGGGAUGUUGUGAAAAUUCCAUUGUACUUCCACAUGUUAAUAAUAAAUAUAAUUUAUAAAUUGGAAAAGACACAUCGCGUGACGUUUUGGAACGUCACAAAUAGUCCCCAUAACAAACACCAUAGAAGGAUCAUUGAUAACCCUUCAUUUUUAUCUCUUGAGUUUCACGGAUUUUCUUGAAUUCAUUUCUAAUUGGGCAAAUACCAAUAAAAAAACUCAAAUUGUACUCACUAUGACAUAAAUAUCCUAAUUUUUUGUCACCAAAAAUUCCAAACAUGAUACAAAUACUCCCAACUUUUUUUUAUUUCACAACAAAAUUCAAACUUACACACGUAUGAAUUGUCACAUUGGUAUAAGAUUUGGGCUUUUUAUGACUAAAAACAGUUUAGAGUACUUGCAUCAUAAUUGGCAAUUUUAGAAUUUUUAGUAACAAAAAGGAAAGUCUGAUAUUUGUGUAUACUGAACACAAUUUAGGUUUUUUUAUUAAUUAAUCUUUUCUGAGUUGUCGCUUAUUAAAAAGAAACAGCGGCGGCAGCAUCAAUGCUGAUGUCCACACGUUCUGUUUCUCACGCUCGUGGGAUCCAAUGUCCAUGGAGUACCACAUGAAGAGACCUUUCAGACACACGAAUACUUCUAUUUCAUAAGAAAUCAUGCGCGCUUCCGUUCCUUCCCAGGCGUCCGAUGGAGCCUGCGAACCGAACAACACCGCUAGUUCAUCGAAAGAAGAUGGUUCAAAAAAUCGCGCAAAUAAAGAAUAUGGAUAAAACCAGAACAGCCAAACAUCAUCCCGCGUACAAUGCACAACCUUCGUGCAUGUUUAUGUCCUUUAUAAGUCCGAGUGAAUAGGAGGCAGGGAAGUGAAGUUGCAGAAAUGGUAGGCGUGGACAGGUACUAAAGUACCACCUAUGUAUGUCCUUAUUGUGAUCCCUCACUUGUUAGAAUAAUAUAAAAUUGAUUGUUGAAGAUUUGAGCAUAUUGGAUUUGUUGUUAGUAUUCUUCAAAAUGCUUGAUCUCUGGUGAGUGUCAGAAGAAGAUUGAAGACGAAAGAAUAUUGGCACAAUUUAUGGUGGGCUAUAUUUGAGUAGCCCCUCUACCAUUCAACGAGUAAAUGCUUUCAUAUUGAAAAGGAAGGGUCUUGUCUUUUUUUUUUCUUUUGUCAAAGAACAUGAGGUUUCUUCGUAAGAAGCAAGGACUUCAUGUCUCUGUCUCAUUUGUUCUUCAUGUGUUUUUUCUUCACUUUGUGGACUAUCGGCACGAUUUAAGGUGGGCCAUGUUUGAGUAGCCCCUCCACCAUUCAACAAGGAGUGAAUACUUUUAUAUUGAAAAGGGAGGGUCUUGUCUUCUUUUUUUCUUUUGUCAAAGAAAAUGAGGUUUCUUCUUAAGAAGCAAGGACAUCAUGUCUCUGUCUCAUUUGUUGUUCAUGUAUUUUUUCUCCACUUUGACAAAAGAAAAAAAAGAAGACAAGACCCUCCCUUUUCAAUAUGAAAGCAUUUAGUCGUUGAAUGGUAGAGGGGCUACUCAAAUAUAGCCCACCAUAAAUCGUGCCGACAUUCUUUCGUCUUCAAUCUUCUUCUGACACCCACCAGAGAUCAAGCAUUUUGAAGAAUACUAACAACAAAUCCAAAAUGCUCAAAUCUUCAACAAUCAAUUUUAUAUUAUUCUAACAAGUGAGGGAUCACAAUAAGGACAUACAUAGGUGGUACUUUAGUACUAGUCCACGACUACCAUUCUGCAACUUCACUUCCCUGCCUCCUAUUCACUCGGACUUAUAAAGGGCAUAAACGUGCACGAAGGUUGUGCAUUGUAUGCAGGAUAAUUUUCAACGAUGGUCAACGCUAGAUUGACUGGGUUGACUUUUUGUUUGAAUUUUGUUCUAUUUUUUUUUCUAGUUUUGCCCAAUUUAAACAAAACCAAACAUUUCUUCAUGAAUUGGAUCAAAUGAGAUGCAAGUGGGCUAUCUCAAGUCGAUUAAUUGUGCACAAAAUUUUUAAAUCCAUUGAAUUCUUAUUGAAGGGAGGCCACAAGCUAAACUCAUAUUUUUAAUUGAACCUCAAUUGGCCAAAUUGAAGCUCAAUUAUUUCAAUUACAUUCUAGUCUAGAAUGGGCCAAGUCAAAUUAUAUCAAUUGAAGCAUCUUAGUAGGGUUUUCUAAUCUCUGAAUAGGUCAAAUCAACCAAACUAGAAUGUACCCAAGUGAAUCUCUCAAAAUUGACCCUAGAUUUGGACUUAUCUCAAGAAUAUGAGUGAAAUGCAUACGUUCGUUCGUAGGUCAUGAAUAAUCGAUUUUAGUCCCCUAAUUAAGGCUCAAAACGGCAAUUCGUAUUUUGACUCGAUAAAUUGCGCAAUUGAAUGCUCAAAUAGGUUUUAGAUAGUCCCUAAACCAAAUGUCAAAGAAUGAACCAUACCUAAUUAUGACUAGAAUAAAAGUAAUUUUAUUUUUGAUCGAUUUAGAACCUAAAACUGAAAAAUUUAGAAAUCACGAUUCUUAAUCGAAUUUUGUGAAAUUUUUGACACAAAAGUCAAAUUAGCAUUAAAAGAAAUAUAUUUGUGUAUUUUUUUUUUGUCAAAGGUUUGACAAAAAGUCAACCGUUUAGUUGACUUUUGUUAAAAAGUUGAUUUUUUGGUCAAAUCUUUGAAUCUUCAAGAAAUUCAUUUGAAAAAAGUGAAAUUAAAGCUAAGUGGAAUUUUUUUGGGAAAAAGUCAAUUUUUGACCUGAGGUUAACUUUUUGUUGACUUUUGGUCAAAGGGCUGACCAAAAAGUCAACCUGAAAGUCAACAGUUUGACUUUUUGGGUUUUUCUUGAAAAUGAACUAAAAACUGUUUAAAAAUGACAAUGCAAAAGAACGAAAUGAAAAACGACAUUUUUUUGGUCGAGAGAACAGAAGGCAGGGAAGUGAAGUUGUAGAAAUGGUAGUCGUGCACGUUUAUGUCCUUUAUAUAAUGCACAACCUUCGUGCACGUUUAUGUCCUUUAUAAGUCCAAGUGAACAGAAGGCAAGGAAGUGAAGUUGCAGAAAUGGUAGGCGUGGACUGGUACUAAAGUACCACCUACGUAUGUCCUUAUUGUGAUCCCUCACUUUUUAGAAUAAUAUAAAAUUGAUUGUUGAAGAUUUGAGCAUGUUGGAUUUGUUGUUAGUAUUCUUCAAAAUGCUUGAACUUUGGUGGGUGUCAAAAGAUUGAGACGAAAGAAUAUCGGCAUAAUUUAUGGUGGGUUGUGUUUGAGUAGCCCCUCCACCAUUCAACACGGAGUAAAUGCUUUCAUAUUGAAAAGGGAAUGUCUUUUUUUUUUUCUUUAGUCAAAGAACAUUAGGUUUCUUCGUUCGUAAGAAGCAAGGACUUCAUGUCUUUGUCUCAUUUGUUGUUCAUGUGUUUUUUCUUCACUUUGUAAAGUUUCUUGUUUUCUAUCUGAUCUUAGUUAAGCUAUGCACACAUCUAACCACUUUAAAAGGCUGUGGACUUCAAAUCUGUGGCUAUACAGAAGCAAAGAGCAUUCUCAUUUCCAUUAUUUCUCUCUCUAGUCUUCAUUUGUGCCUUGUUCCAAACUUCCAAAAUUUGUCAUAUUCUUUUUGGUUCCACCAUCACUAUUGGAGGGAUCAUCAACAAUAAAUCUCUCUCGCAUUCAAUUUCUGGGUGCGCAUAAUCUACAUACUGGCCAAAGCCGUUUCCUACUCGAGCCUCUCUAGAGUCACCAUCGAUAAAAAUUUUAGCUGUCAAGCCCGCUGUUCUCAUGCUACUUCAUCCCUAGUUGAAGAGUGUAGGAGAUACCUAAUCUCCAUGAGAUAAACGGAUAACUCACUUGAAUUGACACCUAAUUAUUAAACUAUCAUGCCUCUAGUUUAUAUGUGUAGGAGGAACGCCACGAGAAAAAUAAAUUGAUAAAGCAAUCCGUGAAAUCCAAGUAAGAACAAGACAUCAAUAUAUUGAAUAUUGAAUUAAAGUUAUACGGCUUGAUUGCACAAAUUAAGAGUUAGAAGAUUAGAUUGCAUAAUUUAUGUAAAUUUUUGGACCAAAAAUGAAAUUAUUAUGAUGAUGUAAGAAUCGAGUUUUACCUAUUUCGAUGAAAUGGAUGGAUAACAAGAAUCAACGUGACCAGCAUGUUUACCCAUUUUCAUUGCCAAAAGAUAAAUUAAUGUUUUCUCCUGUAUUUCUUUUAUUUAUUGUUUUGGGUUGCUUUCUUGUGAACAGGAUAAGAGUGUAUUUAUAUCGUGUUUUCCGUGCAAUAAUCGCAGAAGUGCAAGGUGAGAAAUAGCUCAAAGCUUAGCCAAUGGAGUCCUGCUCUAUUUCGCUAUUUUGGCUGGGCCUCCUCCUCCCGGCACUUCUAGUUUUCCUUCUCAACCGUCGGAAGCGCACCAAGCUUCCCCCUCAGCCCCCAGCAUGGCCCGUGAUCGGCAACAUUUUCGACCUCGGGACCAUGCCGCACCAGAACCUCCACAACCUCCGAGCCAAGCAUGGGCCUGUCUUGUGGUUGAAGCUCGGUUCCGUGAACACCAUGGUGAUCCAAUCAGCUCGAGCGGCCAUGGAGUUAUUCAAGGGCCAUGACUUCGUGUUCGCAGACCGCAAGUGUUCCCAAGCGUUUACUGCUCUCGGCUAUGACCAAGGCUCGCUCGCUCUUGGUCGUCAUGGUGACUACUGGCGCGCUCUCCGGCGUCUCUGCUCCGCGGAGCUCCUCGUGAACAAGCGCGUCAACGAUACGGCCCACCUCAGGCAAAAGUGUGUCGACAGCAUGAUCAUGUAUAUAGAAGAAGAAAUGGCAGUCAAACAAGCAACAAAAGGUUAUUUCUUAAGUACUUGGUGUCAUUGCUGACUCUGUGUCCUAUGUGUCGCCUCGAAUGGUUGAAGUUAUAGCUUUUAGAAAAGUAAAAAAGCAACAGGGAGAGAUAGAUGAACUUAUCUUAAAUUCCAUAUAAAUAAGAUCAAGGUCCUAUACCCUACCCAAUAUUUUUACUAGGGUCACAACCCUUAAUUAUUUAUUAAUAUGAAGAAAAAGCUAAGAAGACGGUCCGAUCACUAUUUAGGAAACCACGAGGACACGCUGACCACAAAUCUCCGUUGUGGGAUAUUAGCAACAAGAAUAUAACAUUUUCAAAAUUCAAUUGCCAAAAAAUGACUUUCAUAGAGUAAAAUCAGAAAAAGUUAGACCAUAUAAACAUAAUAUACAUUGAGCCCAUGACUACACACCUGUAGGAAACCAAAGCUUGUUUAAGAUUUGUCAAAUUAGAAUUUCUAAGGUUUGUGUUUCAUUAUUAUUACUAAAUUAUUGUAAUAGGUAAAAUAUAGCAUCUUCAUAUCCCUUCUCUAAUAUGUCACUAGCACGAAAUUAUCUACUCUCUCAUGAUGAUCGAUGUCUACACAAAUUUAAACUAUGUGCUACUAGUUUCUGGUUUAGGUGUGACUAGGGCUACCGAAGCAAUAACUCGAACGUGAGCAACAUGAAAGCAGAGAAAUGAUGGGGAAUCAAAACAUUCGUAGUUUUUAUUUAAGAAAACAUUCUAUCUUGCCUUUUAGGCGAUGGUUCUUCAUUUGCCAUCUUGAAGUGUACUACCCCUAUAUAUUUGAAGUCGUUUUCUAGAUAGCAUUGGAUUCAUAUAAUUUUUUACUUCUAAAUUUCGAUUAAAAUUUUUAUUUUCCUUUUAGAGUCAUUCAUGACAUUCUACAAAUUAAUUUUGGUACAAGCACAUAAUCUAAAAUUGAUAAGAAAAGUUGGUGUUGCGUUAACUUUGGUUUCUUAUUAUGCUAAAUGAUUAUACUNNNNNNNNNNNNNNNNNNNNNNNNNNNNNNNNNNNNNNNNNNNNNNNNNNNNNNNNNNNNNNNNNNNNNNNNNNNNNNNNNNNNNNNNNNNNNNNNNNNNNNNNNNNNNNCACACUGACAUAUGUGAUCAGUAUAUCUGUCAGCUGACAACGCUGUCUUCUUAGCAUGGCCUAUUCAUAUAGGUAAAGAAAGCAACCUACAACUAGAUUUAACUUCUGGCACUUCCGCAAAAUGUUCAGUUAUAUAUUUUUUAGUUCAAGUGGGCCCUCGUCUUACAUAUGUAGAUUGAAUAUCUACGAGGAAUGUCGCGCCAGCGUUAUACGUUGGCACUAACUAAGCUAAUUUAUUUGGUGAAUUUUUUUUUUUUUCUAAACAUAGUUCUGAUAUGGGUAAGAAAAAUAAAUAAAAUAUUUAAAAAAAAUCUAACUAUAGUUCUGAUAUGGCUAGCUGGCUAGGGUAGACCGCAGUUUCGAGGCACGACGUGGAUCGUUGGGUGCUCGCCGUUCGCGAACGCCACCUCCCGUGCAAGCACACCCUUGCCACCUUAGCGACGAGUCGCCUCUAUCCUUAAUUCAGCAUAGCCUCCAUUCACGAACGUCUCCCCCUAGUUCACUCGCGACACUUCUGUUUUUCAUUUCUUCUUUUGCAAAUUUCCUUAUUUUUGAUUUGUUGAUAUUUAUGUUAUUUUUUAAUUUCCUUAUUUGUGAAUUUUUUGUUAUUCUAUUUUAAGUUUUUCCAAAAGAGAAAUAAUUGCGUGACAGUCUUUAAUAUACUAUAAGAAUAACAGUCAAUUCUAAAUCACAAAAAUCAAAUCAUAAAUAAUUAUAAAUUAUUAUAAAACUCAUUUUUUAAAGAAUUUAUGAUUCGCAGUAUAUUGUUAUUCUCAUAAUCCUUUCAAAAACUUAUGUAGGUUUACCGUGUUGACAUUCAACGAGACCUAAUUGCCAUUUCAACAUUUAUGUUUCCUUUUAAAUGGAAAGACCAAACCAAAUAAGAACGUAUAUGAUUUAGGGAUCUAAUUCCACCGAAAAAAAAGGGACCUAAUUAAACCCUUUGUAAAAGUUUAGGGAUUACCUAUACUUCUAUCUUUUUUUUUUCUUUUUUUGUGUACUGUAAUUGACAAAGUCAACAAAUUAAAUACUAGUGUAAAUAACUCAAUUUACCAAAGAGCUACUGGAAUUUAAUUUGUUUUUCAGUCGAACUCGCUUUCUUUUUUUGGGGUUCGAGUCGAACUAGAGUGGCUAAACUGUUGAAUUAUGUAAAGCUCGAGUGGCUUUAUCAUCGAAUUGCGUAGGUAAACUUUCGUGUUGGACAUUGAAGCAUACACAGUAAGUCAAGGAGCUUACGAGCAGUUUAGAGAUUGGUUCCUCUUGAUUUGACUGCAUCUUUCCUUUAACUAGUUGCACGACUUGGUACAAUCUAUUUUUCUCAUGUCUAAUUUUGUUAAGUGUGGUUAUACAUCAUCUGAUUAGAAUUAAUCAUAAAGAAAUUUUAUUUUUAUGAAGGACAAGGAAUCGACUUAUCUCACUUCCUCUUUCUCCUGGCAUUUAAUGUGGUGGGCAACAUGGUGCUCUCACGGGAUCUAUUGGACCCAAAAUCGAAGGAUGGGCCCGAGUUCUACGACGCCAUGAACCGGUUCAUGGAGUGGGCUGGCAAGCCCAACGUAGCCGACUUCAUGCCAUGGUUGAAAUGGUUGGAUCCGCAGGGGAUCAAGGCAGGCAUGGCGAAGGACAUGGGUCGAGCCAUGAGGAUUGCCGAAGGCUUUGUGAAAGAGAGGUUGGAGGAGCGAAAGCUAAGGGGAGAGAUGAGAACAACGAAUGAUUUCUUGGACGCAGUAUUGGAUUAUGAGGGCGAUGGAAAAGAAGGCCCUCACAAAAUCUCUUCCCAGAACAUAAAUAUAAUCAUUCUGGUGAGUUUGCUCCUCUCUUCCACGUUUAACAUGACCACACUUUGAGACAUUAGGUCGAAUUCGGUUGAUUAAGUGGCGCGACAAACUUAAGUGACCUUUAUUUCUUCGUAGAUUAACAACUAGGGUCACAUCACGCAUUACGGAGAAGUUUUAGUAGCUUACUUAAUAAAUCAAUCAUGGUGCUGUCUAAGCACUGAUUUUUCUUUUCAUUAAAAUAAACUAAAAUCAAUCUUAUGUCUUCGUCAAGCAAUUUAACUAGUUAUUAUAAAAUUACCAGGUUAGUCAAGUCAAUGUCAAUCAAGUCGAGAAAUUUUGACAUUGGCUUACAAAAUUUGGCUGAAAUCAAAUUGAUUGCAAGGAUAAAAACCAGUGCAAAUAAUUAUUGCAAUCAAACUCUUAGGCAGGAAUAAUUUUCAAAGCCGUUGACGGACAAUUGCAGUAAAGCAAUUAUUGUAGCUGAGACUAUAAGAAGCGCACAUCUUAAUGGAACGCGCAGACAUAAGAAGAACAAGCUUUACUUAUGUUAAUCCAUUUUGCUCUCUUGCAAAUCUUUUUCAGUUAUUUCCCAGCAACCUAUUUCUUGCCAUUCCAGUUGUUUAUUUCCUUUUGUCAAUCAAGCACUUGCCCCAUCUCUUUCAUAAAUACUUCUGUUGUCACUGGUGGAUUCAUUUCGUCAACUUCAAGUUCUUGUUCCUUUCUUUGUGUGCCAAUCAUCUGCCAAUUCGAAGAAUAGGAACUGCUGUGUUUGAUCAGGAUUGUUGAUCAGGUGAAGCAUGAUAAUUUUUACUAUUGAGCUGACGAUUCGAGGGUGACCUUUUCCAGCCAAAGAGAAUCUCUUAAUUAUAGGACGAAACUCGGACACUUGUGGUAUCCAAGACCUAAUCUUUGUACUAAAUGGGUCUACUUGAUGGUGCAGGAAAUGUUUUUCGCCGGAUCGGAGAGUACAAGUAGCACCAUCGAGUGGGCGAUGGCGGAGCUACUCCGCCAACCCGAGUCGAUGAAAAAGGCCAAAGAUGAGAUUGACCAGGUUGUGGGGUUGAACAGAAAGCUCGAAGAAAAUGACACGGAAAAGAUGCCAUUUUUGCAAGCCGUGGUGAAGGAAACCCUAAGAUUGCAUCCCCCAUUACCUUUACUUAUCCCACGAAAUGCUCUAAAGGAAACCAAAUUCAUGGGUUUUGAUAUACCCAAAGAUACCCAGGUUUUCGUGAAUGCAUGGAGCAUUGGAAGAGACCCCGAUGCUUGGGAGGACCCAUUGGCAUUCAAACCAGAGAGGUUCGUGGGAUCUAAAAUUGACUACAAGGGUCAAAACUUUGAGCUAAUUCCAUUUGGAUCAGGCAGAAGAAUAUGCGUCGGACUUUCAUUGGCGGAUAGGGUGCUUCAUCUUGGUCUUGCAACACUGCUUUACCAUUUCGAUUGGGAACUAGGCGAUGGUUCAACUCCAAAGACCCUCGACAUGAAAGAGCGGGUGGGAAUAACACUUAGAAAGCUCCAUCCUUUGAAAGUGAUACCUAAGAAAUGUAGCGUGUGAGGUAUAAUUACCCUAAGGUUAUUAUAAUGUUAUCGUGUCAAGGAUUAAAAAAGCUGUCCAAGAAAGACUUCUUAAGAACGAUGUCAUCCCUGCACAAAUAUCUUAGGGAAACUACAAGUUCUUAUGUUAGCAUUUGGGUCCCGUUUGAAUUGUAUGACUUGAGCAUGUAGCAGGGUAGCUCCCCUGCCCUUUAUACCAUCAAUAAAACCUCACUUGUCGAAAAAGAAAAUUACUCUACAUUUGGCUCCACACUUAGAGUCCACAAAAUGGACAUUUGCGAUGAACCGGAUUCACUAGACGCAAGACUGUACAAUAGAUUCCCGAAUCAUAUACUAUAAGCGGUUUCUAGUGGGUGAUGGUGGAGCGAUCAAAGAGAGCAAUAUAAAAGAAAAGUAACAGGAAGAUACUGUAUGAUCUUGUCGGAUCUUGUCAAAUCCAUAUGGACAAUUGAUCACGUGGACUCUGCAGUAGGACCCAGUCGGUGUUGGUUCACAUGUUUUGUCACUAUUGCAAAUUAUUCUAAAAUAAACACAAGAUUGCAAAUUUGCUGAAGAAGGCUGUAGAUACGUCUUGAUUCAUUAUCAUGAUCCAUCCGUAUAUAAUCCAAAAGCAUAUAUAUUUGGGCACCCCUCGAAUACCCCUUUGAACUUCUGACCAAUUAAUUUACUUUAGUAAGUUCACCUUUUACUUUUCCGUGGCGGCUACUUAAUUAAAUUCUUGCUAGGACCGAUCGACUACAUGUAAAAUGAAUGCAUCAACAAAAUAUACUUGACCAAAACAAAGAAAAUCAGUUAAAAAUCACGGUUCCAUUUAUGUCCAUCAUCUUAAAUCAUUUGCAAGCUUAGACUUAGCUCAAUAAUAAACGCCAUUUGGAAUGAUUCACUAAAAACAUUUCCUCAACAAAGAUGUUCAAAAUCAUUUGCACUUCAUGGACCUAGUUCAUGAUAGAUUUAGAAUCCACUAUCUUGAGUUCAAGAAUUUGGCUACCACAAAUUUCUCAGUUUUGUAUUUCUUUUCUAAGGAUUCCCAUAAUUGUCUAAUAGUUUCAAUGUUACAAUAAACAUGAUACAAGGAAUUUGCUAGAUAGUUAAGGAUAUAGUUUCAGCAUAGGAAAUCCUUGUGCUUCCAAGGCUCCAGCUCCCCAAGCGUCGUGACAUCUUUUGCUCAUCUGGACUAAUUAUUGAGCACACCUCUAAUGAGUACUUGACUAAAUUCAGUGUGGUCAAUAAAAGAACAUCUUCUAUUACCGUUGCUUAAAGCCCACACUAGUUAACUCACACGGUUUCUCAUUCGGUGUUAUUGGAGAAGGUAUCAUCAUAUUAGGCAAAGCUUGUUAAACCAUCUCUCCAGAAAUUGAACCAUACACCAUUAGAUAUGUACUUUUUUGAAAAAUAGUCCCUAGUGUAUCGGUCAAGCGACUUCUACUGGUACCACCAUAGAUGGUUUCGGCCUGAAAGUUUGCAGCAUUUGUUGUCACAACACUAGACCAUGAGGUUUGAACCUCCCUCAUUGAAACACCAUAUGAACGUCUCACAAACAUUCCAACAUUAUUGGGUACUUGAUUGUUAUUAGUCAUCUCGAUUUUUUGAUAAACCCAACAAAAACAGUAAAAGAUAAUCGCCUUAAGAUUGUGGGAAAUAUUAAUACGUAUUGGAGAAAAUAAUAAUAAUUUUAAGAAAGCAAUAUCAAAAUAAACAAGAGGUGAGGCACGGCUAAUCAAAUCUCCUUAAGGCGAUUAGUUCAUGUCAACCAAUUAGUUUCGCGAACUAUGCCUAUCAAAAUACAACACCUCAAACCCGUUUGUAUAAGCACUAUAUGAACAAGAUUUUAUCGAACACUUCUUUAAAUCAGCACACUUAAAGAAACUACCAAGAAACUAGAGGAAUACUUUGAGGAUUUUUUGUUGUUAUUUUGAAUUAAGAAGACGUGUCUAUUUAUAGACAAGGGAACUAGCUGUAGAAAACUGAAAGGACAUGAACUCAAGAGUCACACUGAUUAUGCUCACAUUAGUUGAGCCAUUAACCCUUAAUAACAACAUUAUUAGAUCAGAAACUACAGGAGAACAAAGAGUCAUGAACCCAUAAUUGCAACAAUUAGGGCAUGAUCCAAAGAGACAAACUGGUUGCAUGUGAAUUGAAAAAGGCGUGAAUUGAAGAGACGUUUCAUUAACGUUGAGCCAUUAAAACCUAUGAUUACAAUAAUAAUUACAACACACUGUGCCUCCCUUAGUUCUUGUCCCAAGAGCUUCUAAUUUGAAUUCAUCAAGUACGCUAUGUGCAUCAUAAAAGCAUCUUUCAGUUUCUCAAGCCAAAAUUAGGUCACAUAAACUUGUUAUACAUGUGUCCCUGAGCACCCCGAUCUCAUGCUUGAUGCCCUCUAAAUUUCCAACUUUUUCUAGUGCUUGUGGAGCCAUAGCUCUAGCAAUGCUAACGAUGACAGAUGCCAUCUCUCUCUCAUAAUAUAUUAGUCGAGUCAUUCCAAGGCCAGAGACUGCAGGUAAGUAUAAUAAGUUUAUGUGACCUGAUUUUUAACUUCUUCGAUGGAGUCGAGUUGUUGAAGGUAGGAUUCUCAUCAUCCACGCAAGCCUAUAUCAAUAAUGCAUAUAGGACGCACCGAUUUGGUUUGUCUAAGAUAUUUUGUGCUUCAAGAGUUUACUCGUUUAACGUGCUUGCAAGUCGUAAAGGCAAUGAAAAGGCUGGCGUUGAAUUGAAAUCCAUGUUUAUUUUGAAUAUUAAAUUAACAAUAAAAAAAUUAACAGUAAUAAAUUAGAAGGAUAGAACUAAGUUCCCUAUGUUCACUUUUUUUCCAUAAAAAUAGCCGCCUCCUUGGAAAGUCCUAACCACGUGAUAUAUGCAAUACCAAUCAAAUGUAAAAAAUCAUAAUUGAAUCUAUUUAAAAUGGGUAUAAUUAUUGGUGCAUCAUUUUCUAAUUAAAUCACUGUCCCCACAUAUCAAUCUUUUAAGAAGAAUAUGGCCAUUUUCAUCUAUUCUUUUCUUCAGGCUUAUUUGGAAACUGUUUCGAAAACUAUUCUCCAAAAUUUUCAAACAUUGCGCUGAUUCUCAACUUUUAUUCUUGACACAAGUGGAGAGCGAUCUGAAGAGGGUUAAUGCGUUUCUAGUUUUUGGUUACUUCAUGAUACAAUGGAUGUUGUUAUAAUUAUCAUUCAAUGAAAUAAUUUGCUUAGUCAAUAUAUAUGCUUACUGCUGUUCGUGGAAGGCUUCGUUCUUUAUUUUUAUUUUUUUCCAAAUAAUGGGGAAUCAUUAUCUAAAUUCUUGGGAUGAAUUUUGGGUAUGACAAGUUUGGAAUCAUAACUUAGGUUAUAAAACCAGUUUAGCUAGCAUUAAUUCGGGCACCGUGAUGUGCGAUGAGUUAGUAACUAGAUGUGUGUGCGUGCGCACGUCACACACAAUAUGCACUCAUGCAUUACAUGUAGCUACUCUUUCAAUGGAUAUAGAAAGUUCUAUAUGCAUAGGUAGCAUGAUCGAUUUGUUAGCAUUCUGAUGCAAAUGUCAUUGCUCUUGGCUUGAAACUAUUCUUCAUAUUGUCAUGAGACAUUAGUACUAUUAUUUUACUAAAACAUUACAAUUUGGAUAGGGAAGUUCACUCUCCUUGCUAAUCUCUCAGAUUUAUUUGCUUCCUAUGAGUAAAAUGCUUCUAUAUAGUUUAUUUCUUUCUUUAGCUUUCCUAUUCUCUAAGUAAAUGAAUAAUCUCUUCCCAUACUAGGCAAUAACAAAACUUGCACAUUUUGCAAACUCCUAACAUUUAGACAUUUUAUGCAUGUCACUCCUUUUCAUGAAAGGGAUGUCUACUUUUUUUUUUUUUUUUUUGAGAAGAAAGAGAAGCCUUUUUUGCCGCAAAUUGCAGGUAUUCCGAUUUGAGAUAUUUACUCGCGGGAAACAUGCAAACGAAGAACAAGUCUUAUGGGGGAAUCUACUCCGAGCACUGAAAGUCCAAUCAUUGAAUUUAAUGGACAAUCCGGGGAGGACACAAGUCAACCGCAUUCCAAGCACAGCCCCUAACAUGACUGUGACACAUCUCAUUUGACAAAUCACCUGCGAAGAGUACAUAUAUCGCAAUAACGGGGGGCAUUCUAGUUCAUUUACCCUGAACGCUACAGAUAUUCUUUUUAACUUACUUAAGAUAAAAGAAAGUGAAUUUGAAACUAUCCCGUCAAGAACCACACCACAAAGGGAGAAAAAUGAAGGUCAGAAUGAAACAAUUAUGAAGAUGUGGAGAAACAAAACUACCUUGUUUCGCUUACAUCAUUCUCUGAAUAAGCAAACUGGAGAAUGGGUUUUUGUAUUGAGUUGGAAGUCCUUGAAAGUUCCUCAAAUUCUUGAUCUGGGGGCACAAUUGGAGAAAUUUCUAUAUUCAUUCCCAGCCGGUAACGAAAAAUAUGAAGUUCUGCAUGCUCUGAAUCGGGUUUCAAGAGUGCAAAAAGGUGAUUAACGUUAAAGAGAAAACGAACAAGAAAAAACAAAAAAGAAGAGAUCAUUCCCAUCAAGGUUUUUCUGUCUGCUCAAGCAAUUUAUUUAUCAAUUUGAUAGUGUUACUUUCUUGCUUCCAUAACUGUAUGAUCAUUCAUCGCAUGUUAGUGGUUUAAGACCAAUCAAUCAAGGCUACUUGCAAAACAUUUUGUGAAAUAAAGUGAAGAUGCCAAAGGGAGAUAGAUUUAUCUAGCAUAAUCAAGUUCCUUAUUCAUGAAAUCUCUAGUUCAUAAAGUAAAGUGUUCUCUCACAUUUUACUUGGGUUUUUAAUCAACCAAAGUAGACUAAUGCCAAUUCUUAAAUGAAUUGAAUUGGAUGUCUAAAUAAUGUAAUUAAAACCCCAAAGUUGUGAUUGUCGGGGGUUUGAGAGAACCCACAUUAGACAAUGGUACCAUCUUUUUAAUGAGUAACCAUUCGCACUUGCAUAAUAAUCCAUUAGCUUUCUCUUAGUGGUCCACCUCUAAGAAGGUCAUGACAGUUGGCAAUUAGAGAGUGGCAACUAAAUUAAAGAAGGAAAAGUGAGCUUGUUGGAUUAGACACGAGUUGACCGAGCAAUCGCAUGGAAACGAUGAAUACACACUCCUCAUUUAUCCGAUUGCACUAAAAUGUCGAGGGGAGUUAGUCAACAAGCCGACGAAGCUUGUGUAAAAGUUUUAGACCAAACGGAUAUUGAAAAGUUUAGUUUUGAAGGCUUGACAUCAUUUUUUUUCCAGGCAUCCUUGUGUAAGAUCAUCCAGCAUUCCUUGAAAAAAUGCAAAUUUAGGAACUAUUCUUGGAACUAGCAUGUGAGCCAUAUAUUGUUUGAAAAUAGACGUAAAGACACUCGUCGUGAUACGUUUUUUUUUGUCAAAAUUGUUGUGAUACUUAUCUUGCAAUCGUUUUGAGCUUGUUUGGGUCUACAAUUAAUCAAGAGAAGUUGGGUAUAAAUUACUAGGAAGAAAAUUGAGUCCAAGUGUGAAUUGGUGCUGUUAAAGCUCUUUGGAGUGAUCAUAAUUUUAGCCGUGGGGCUUGAGGUUCUCAUACUACAUUGUCCCUAGUUGAAGAGUGUAGGAGAUUCCUAAUAUUCAUCAUAUGCACAGAUGACCUAUGUGAACUGAAACCUAACUAUUAAUGAACGAUCAUGCCUUUGGUUUAUAUGUGCAAAAGGAAUGCUGCGAGAAAAAUGAAUGCAAUGUUGUAUAAACUGAUUGUUUUGUUUUUAUCGUGGGUCAAAUUUAUGAGAUGCAAAUGUAUGAUAAAUUCAUCAGUGAAAUUCACGUGUUAGCAUCAAAAAGUCCUUUAAAUAGUGAAGAUUGGAAAUUUCGAUCAAAUUAAUGAUUGGACUUAAAUAUAUGAUGUUUUCGAAAAAGACAAGCCAUCUUACUAAGGCAAAAGUUGUUGGAGUUAUCCCACAUCAAUUAUGGAAUUGUUUGGUGGUUAGUUUAUAAAUAUGAAGGAAAGUUUCACCCUUUGAAUAAACGUUUGAGGUGAGAGAAGCCCAAGACUACCAAACAUUGGUGUUAGAGCCAAUGGUAGAUUGGUGGCCCCAAUCUGUUCUAGAUAUCUCAAUAAAAGGAAUCUAGUGACCAACCCAAUUUAUGGGCAAUGUGUGUUGUGGUAUAAUGCAAUCCCAAUGGUAGUCUUCAUGGUUCAAUUCAAAGAAAAAAAACAUGGAUAAAGGUGGGUGUUGGAGAUUCAAGUUAAGAUUAGUUAAUAUAGAAAGAUACCUAAAUUCAGGGGAGCAAACCUAACAUUGAGCUCAAAUGUGAUGGGGAGAUUGUUGAGAUAUACAUGUGAAUUAUCUUAAGGAAAGGAAUCUAGUGACCAACACAGUUUCUGGGCAGUGUGUGUGGUGCUGUUGCAACACAAUCCCAUGGUAUUUUUCAUGGUUCAAUCCAAUGAAAAAGAACAUGGACAAAGGAUGGAUGAAGGUGAAUGUUGAAGAUUCAAGUUGAGAUAAGUUAAUGUAGAAAGAUACUUGAAUUAAGGGGGAACAUACCUAACAUUAAGCUUACACGUGAUGAGGAGAUUGUUGAGAUACAUAUAUAAGUUGUGUUUGGGAAGUCCCACAGUGGAGAAUUGGUGUAGUGUGAAGUAAUUAAUUUAUCUAGUUGGUCAAUAACUCAUUACUUUAAGCUUUUGAGUGAAGAUGGGUUCAAUUAGAUAUGUUGAUAGACUUAGACUUCGGCUCCCUCUUAGCAAUCUCCUAGGGUAAAGAUAUUGAACAUCUGUUAUACACUCCCAACAAAAGUAAAUACAUAACUAUCCUAUUUUGAUAGGACAAAUUAGUUGAUAAAUCAAUCCAUGAAACCCAAGAAAGAACAAGGCAUCAUAAUUUUGUGGAAACCAGAGGAUUAUAUUGAGUACUAGAGUAAAGUUGUAAGAAUUAAAUGCACAAAUUAAGAGUUAUGGAUUUGAUUGCAUAAUUCAUGUAAGUUGUUUGACCAAAAAUGAAAUUAUUCCAAUGAAAUAAGAAUCGAAUUUAACCUAAUUCGAUGAAAUGGAUGAAUCACCAGACUCCACGUGACCAGCAUGUUACUCCUAUUCAUAGCCGAAAGAUAUAUUAAUGUUUUCUCCUUUUUAUUUUGUGGAUGGCAAAUAAUAGCAUCUCCUGUUUUUUCUUUAUUGUUUUGGGUUGCUUUCUUGUGAACAGGAUAUAUUAUAUCAUUUUUUCCACGCAAUAAUCGCAUAAGUGCAAGGUGAGCAAUAGCUCAAAGCUUAGCCAAUGGAGUACUGCCCUACUUUGCUCUUUUGGCUCGGCCUCCUCCUCCCGGCACUUCUAUUUUUCCUUCUCAACCGGAAGCGCACCAAGCUUCCCCCUCAGCCCCCCGCAUGGCCCGUGAUCGGCAAUAUCCUCGACCUCGGGACCACGCCGCACCAGAACCUCCACAACUUCCGAGCCAAGCAUGGGCCUGUGACGUGGUUGAAGCUCGGUUCCGUGAACACCAUGGUGAUCCAAUCAGCUCAGGCCGCCGCAGAGUUCUUCAAGG